GAAACCUGAUAAUAAAGUUGACGCUAAUGCUUAAAUGAAACUCAUGUUUUCAUCAACAGAGAGAAUUAGCCCCUAAUGAUGUUAAGCAACUGAUCUACUCUCGUCUGUCGUGAUAAUAAGCGUUUGUAUUAUGUUUUUUAUUUAAAUAAGUGGCCGGCGGCUUAGUGCUCUUGCUAUGUUAUUGUGUGUGUGGUCGUUACUUUCGCUGUACAUGGUAAUGUGAAAGAGCCAAAGAGGUAUGUAAAUAAGUUGAUGCAGUUGAAGGAUGUGAUCAGUGCAAAAUGUUAUUGGAUAAAAGAGUAUGUUUAAGUUCUUCUUUUCUUUAUUUAUUUUUGUAAAUGGGGCUAAUUGAAUUUUCUUACUGAUGAAUGAUAUAAAUAACCAUUAUCAGCGCAAUGGGAAAACUAGCAAACGCAAUGAAAUCAAACUAGCAAAAGAUUUAAAAGUUUUCAUGAAAUUUUAGUUUAUUAUAGAGAUGAUAAAUUGAUUGAUGAGCACCGACCCUCCAUUUAUAUAGAGAAUCAUAACAUACAAAAGGAAAUAAUGAUACAACUAUAAUUUUGAGAAUUUAAUUUAUUGAUAAUGGUUGAGUCAAUUAUGGGCUUAACUAUGUGCCUUCGCUAUUAGCAAUAGCCCAUCCCAAAGCAGUCGUCCUGUAAUCUCUAAAAUUAAAUCCCAAAACUCAUUAUAUAUAAACUACUCAUGGUGCGUUUAAUUCAUAGAAUGGGAAUGUGGUGGAAUGAGAAUGAACUAAAAUAAGAACGAGAUUUCAAUAUUUACUUAGCAAAAAUAAAUGAGAAUGAAAAUGUGCUGGAAUGUCAUUGAUGUGUUUACUUGGCAAAAUAAAUGAGAAUGAGAAUCAAUUCACCAAAAUACCCAUAGUAUUAAAUAAUGUAAUUUUUAUUAACUAGAUACAUGUAUAAAUAUUUUUAUAAAGAUGAUAUUAAUUAAAAUAAUAAUAAUAAUAAUAAUAAUAAUAAUAAUAAUAAAUGUUAAUAAUGAUAAUAUUAAUAAUAAUAAUAACAAUAAUUAAUAACAACUAAAAUAAUAAAGUUAAUAAAAUUUAAUAAUAAUAAUAAUGGCAUUUAAAAUAAUAAAAUUAAUUGUGAUUUGAAUGAGGGUAAUUCAAAAAAUAUGAAAAAAUUAAAUAGAUACAAAAGUUAGUUUAAGGAAUGGGAAUCCCCAUUCCCAACCCCCCAUGAGAAUGGGAUUCCCAAUUUCCUAUUCCUUAUUCCCAAAUUGUAUGGGACCCACACAUUUUAUUCAUAUUUUCAAAUUACAUUUUACUAAAUAAACAUGAGUUUCAUUCUCAUUCCUUCAUUCAUAUUCCCUAAACCCUCAAGUAAAUACAUCAUCAAGUCUUAGCUUCCUUUCAGAUAUGAGAUCAAUUAUUUUUCCUUAAUUUUCCAACUAUAGGAGAGUACUUUGAGUGCCAAUUUAUUCUUUACUCGAAAGCGUCAAUAUUCGUUUAUUUUUUAUAUUUUAAUUUAAAUGUUCACUUAGUUCUUAUAUUUUGAAAAAUGUCUCAAAACACCAGUGCUGUUAAAUAUAUUACACUCCUACCCUUACUUUUUCUUUUUGUUUUAAAAUAAUACAACUGUAACAAUAUUUUUUUCCUUCUUGAGGAUAUUAAUGAAAAGAAAAAAAUGUUAAUUUAGCAAAUUAGCCUUGUAAUUAACGUAAAAAUUUCCACAAAAUGUUAUUGUUUUACUUUUAGGAUUAAUUUGGUAAAUUAUUUUUUUAUAAAAUAAAUAUUAGUAAAAUUGUAACAAGGAUACUGAACAUUUCUUUAAGUUGGCUAAUAUCAAUUUAUUUAUAAAUCAAUUAUUAACAAAAUUAUUUCACAGGUACAAAAAAUACUAGUUUUUUAUAUUUAUAUUAUUGGUUAAUUUUCUAAUAAAUAGUUAUUGGUCAAUUUACUAAUUAAAUUUUUAUAGACAAAUUAAUUAAUGUUAAGAAUAUUAUUGUAAGGGUAUUAUUGUAAAAGUAAAGAACACUUAAAAGCAAGAAUAUAACAUAUUUAACUACAACAUUAAUUUUAAGGCAUUUUUUUAAAAUAUAGAGAGUAAAUGGACACUUAACUCAAAAUAUAUGAAUUAAACAAACACUUACUCCCAAAACAUCAUUUUGAGCAUGCAAAUAUAUCAUUUCAAAAAGUUCUUGUAGAGAUAACGCAUAAUCUUUUACUUAUAAUGAGGACCACCCUUAUAGUUUGAAAUAAUUUCAUUUGAAUAGCAUGUUUUAUUUGCAAAUGACUUUUCAACCUCCUUUAAAUUUGCUAUAUUGUUUUUUUUCUUAACAUAAAUCUUUAAGAAUCUAUUACUAGUAGGUGUAAGAUAUGAUAUCUAAUAACCUAUCUAACACAAAUUAAAUAAAUAAGUUGUAAUUUAUUAAAAAAUUAUUGCUUUUAUGCUCAUAAUUAAUGGUGACAAUAAAAAAAUAUUCAACUCAAUAAUAAGAAAAUUCUAUGAUGGAGUGACUAAAAUUACAGUAUCCAUGACGAGAUAAACAUAAAUUUUAUAAAUUACAUAUAAGACUAGUAAAUAGAAGAUAUAAUAAGUAAAUUAAUAUAAGAGUGGAAAUUUUGUGUUUUAAAAUCACAAACAAAACAAACACUUAGUAAAAAUAAUACAAAACUUGUAAAUCAACAUUAAACUUUAAUUAAGUAAAAACAGUUUAUCCAUUUAAUUUAAUUAAACAAAAAAUUAACUCAUCAAUUGGAAACAAAGAAAAAUGUAUUGAAAACAAUUGGAAUAAGUUUUAUUGAAUUGGUUUAACUAUAAAUUCUAUAUUAAUUCUAAGACAUUCAUAAAUUUUCUUUUCAUUUUCUAUAAUAGUAUUUAUUUAGUACACAAGUUAAUUACGUGAAAUUAUUUUUCUUAAUGUGGAUCAAGCCAAAACAAAAUAAAAAGAUAUUCUUAUAUUACUAGACACAGGUGAUAUAUCAAUACAAUUGGAUCUAAUUUUCAGUUUAACACAUAUUUUAUGUAGUUUUAAACUCUACUUCUUAAUUGUACUUAAAGAUCAUUCAGGUUUUCUAUCAAUAAGGUUUAGAAUAAUGCAAAAUCACAUUAUCUUACAAAUAGCUAGCUUUCAAAAACAUGAAAAGAGUAGUUUUUUAAAAUUGAUUUUGAGAAUUAGUUUUAUCCUUAAUAGAAUUUUACAUAUAUUAAUACAUAUAUUAUAUAAACCCAAGACUAUCAUUUUUUUGUUUAAAACAAAAAAUCAGUAAAUAUAUAAGGUAAUUAUUAUUAUAAAGUUACACAUUUUGACAUUUGUAGUAAGAACAUGAGAGGAUACCUGGAGUGUAUUGGGAUUUGGGCGGAAGAGAAAGGAGCCCUUGGAAUUGGGAAACAAAUGAAAUUAUCUGCAUGGUCCUUGUACUCAUGGAGGGACUGUUAACUUCUGAACCAACAAUGCUGAAAUGCAGGGUCAAAAAUCAACAUCAACUUGAUGAAUAAUUGUUUGAAAAAGAAAAAAGUAAGAAAACUUGAUUAAUAUAAAAGAGAACAAAGGAGCACAACCAUACAGAAGUUGUACAAAGGAAUAUUAAUCAAGCUUGAUUAAUAUUCUUCUUCUAUCCAAUACCUAGGGGUGGGCGUCGGUUUGGUUCGGUUCAGUUUGAUUUUGGAAUAAAUUUUUGGUUUCGGAUCGAUUCGGGUUCAAAAAUUAAAAAAAAACUCUUUGAUUUUUUAAAAAAUAAAAUCUGAUCCAAAACUGAUAGGUUGGUUUCGGUUCGGUUUCGGUUUUCGGUUUCGAAUCAGUUUUUGUUUUCUUAAUGGUUUUAUUUAUGCAAUCAGUUUUUUGGUUCAUCUUAACGAUUUGGUUUUCGGUUCGAUUUUUUGGAUUAUUUUCUAUUUCAAACCAUGUACAAUAAUUUCCUCAUUUUCAAUAACUAUAUAAUAUAUUCAAAGCAUGUACAAUCUACAAUUUCAUCAAUUACUACUACAUCAUUAAAAUAAAAUAAAUUACAAAAUCAUCCUUCAUAAUCUCCUCUACAACAUUGUUAUUUUCUUCCAUCCUGCACACAAGGCCUACUAUAAUCAAUGUAUAAAUCAAACAAAAAUAAAAUAAUUUAAAAUUUUGUAUUUUUUUUUUUAAAAAAAGGCAAGAAUUUUAGACUAAAACGAAGAAUUUUCAGAAUUAUAGUUACUGUUUUUAAUAUCAAAAGUUUUGGCCUAAAAUGUAAAUGAAAUAAAAUAAGUAUUUGUGUUGUAAUAGCAAUUAGCAAAACAUUAGGGACUAAAUCAUAUUUUAUCUUGUUGACCUUUGGUCAAGGACUAUUAUGAAAAGUUAGCAAACAAAUCAAAUCAUAAUAAAAUUCCUAUAUGCAAACAUAUCCUAAAUAUUGAGCCAUAAUAAAAUUUUAUGAAAAAAAGGAUCUAAAUGAUAUUAUCCCUCCAUCAUCUUCAACAUUUCGUGAUUUUCUCAACACUGCCAGGAGCACAAUAUCCAAACAAAAAAUUUGAAAAAAUACAAUAACAUACUCAUAUUCAAGCAAAACUAAUAAAACUAAUAAAACUAAAUAAUAUUAAUAACUAAAACAAACAUGAAAUAAGAGCAGAUCAAAGAGUCAUUUCAAAAAAAAAAAACCAGACCCAUUUCCAAAAAAAAAAAAAACUGAGCAAGUUAGUCACGAAUGAAAACAAACAUAUUACCUGACUGGCUAGCUAUCGACGGAGUAAGGAAUGAAAUGAAGCGGAAGGUCGGCAGUAAGGAGAACGGGCAUUGGCAAAUGCAAGUUAGGGUUUGGGUCGUGGGUAAGCAAUUAUGCUGCAGCCGAAAGUGAGAGAGAGAGUGGUGCAAACCGCAAAUGUUUAACUUGUGUAUAUAUGUAUAUGUUCUAGCAAAAUUACGAAAAUGCCUUAAAUUCGGUUCAGUUCGGAUUUUAUAAUUUUUUAUCCGAAAACUGAACCGAACCGAACCACUCAGUUCGGUAUUUAUAAAUCUAGAUUUUUUGUUUUAAAAAACUAAACCGAAACCCAAAAAAAAACCCAUCCAAACCAAAUUUUUUUCAGUUCCCAUUCAGUUUUGCCCACCCCUACCAAUACCAAAAGAUGAAACCCAAUAUUCCUGUUGUAGUAUAUGGUGAGAACUGUGAAGUGCAGGAAGUAGUUUCCUAAGAGAGAUGAUUGAAUGCUCUUAAUUUUUUUUUUUAGAAAAUCAUUUUAUUUUUAAUAAAAGUUUAAUUUUUCUUAAUAAAAAAUUUCAUUUGUUUUUAUUAAGUCAUGUCUCAUAUUUACUAAUAAAAGGACGUUAUUUGGGUAUAUAAGUAGGAUACCUCAUCUAAUAUGCUAGUAGGAUAAAUCUCUCAUCUAAUAUGCUAGUAUUUUGGGUUAAAUACCUAUAAAUUCUAAGCCGAGUCCACAACAAUCCCCAAAUAACUAAAUUUUAGUCCUAGUUACACCAUUAGAUUGAAUAAAAGUGCAAAUAAGUUUAACUCUUUUUCAUUCAUUUUAGUUUUAUUUAUUUUCACAUACAUUGAAAAAUGAUAACUCUGUCGUGAUUGUCAUGGCAGAGCCUAUUUCAAACAGUGGUGUAUGCUAAAGGAAAUUAUCAUGAGAUGAGUGAUAAACCAUACAAUCAGUAGCUACAGCCCACCGUUACUCAGCCACAUGGCCACAAAUAUUAUUGGCGGCAAAUAUCUCAACAAAAUCACAAUAAAGAUGAGCAUCCUCGAAGAUUUGUCAUCAACAAUCCCUUAUUCUAGACACCAUCUUUAUUUUGAGCAAGUAUCCUUGAUAUUCCUUAUGUACAAAUGAUUCCAUUUCUUAAUGUAAAUAGGACAGCCUGUCUAGCCAUUACUUUAAAGUUGCGUUUACUUGCCGGAUUCAGAAAUGGAAAUCCAAAAUUAGAAUGAUUCCUACGUUUACUUACUAAAAUAAAGAGGGAAAUGGGAAUCAUUUUUGUGGACCCAUAAUAAUUCGGGAAUUAAGAAUGGGAACUUGAUUCCCAAGGCCCCCCUUGGGAUUCAGACUCCCAUUCCCGAAAUUUCCUAUUCUACCCUCAUAAAUUUUUUAUUAUUUCAAAAAUACCCUCACUUUAAAUAAAUAUACAAAUAGCAAAAAAUUUAAAAAAUAAUCCAAAAAAACCUAAACACUCUCUCUCUCUCUCGUACAAACCAGAAGCUUCCAUCACAUCUCCCUCCCCUGCUUUCAUUGCGUCAUCGGCACUCCCUCUCUCUCGCGCAUCAGUCAACGCCUCACUAGACGGAUUUGUCACUCUCUGGCCGGAUUCAUCAGCUCACUGGCCUAAUUCAUCACUCGUUUUCUUCUUUCCGGUUAGCUCACUGGCCGAAAUCAUCAGCUUGUCACCGACCAACCACUUCUGCUUGGUUUCUCUCAGAUUCGUCAGCCCGGUUCUCUCGCGUCACUCACCAGUCUGAUUUGUCAUCGGUUGCUGCUCGGUUUCUCUCUAAUUCUGUUGAUGUUGUUGAUGAUGAUGUUGAUGAUGUUGUUGAUGAUGAUAGUGAUCAUCUAAUUGUGAUGAUGAUGUUGUUGAUGAAAGAAUUCUUAAGAUUGAAGAGAGAUGAGAGAAGCUGAAUUUAACUGUUUUAUUAAGCUUAAUGUAAAAAUACAACGAGAUUUAUAGCUGCUUUGCUCAGCAUCCAGCUUAUUCAUUGAUUUACAAACACACGAAAUGCAUGUUAAAGAUAUGAUCACAACCGUACAUUUCUAACUAAAUCAUUCCAUCACACAAUAUCAGAGGAAUCUCUGUAUAGCUAUUUUGCCAACUGGAAUCUUCUGGCUUGUUACAUGUGAUCCUCAAUCCAUUACUCGUGUGAGCAACAUCCUUGGUUAGCAAGUAUGCUUCUGCUAAUACUCCCACAUGACUUGAUUCAAGUUCAGCUUUAUUCAAUAUUUCAACAUCCCUUCUUAAACUUAAAUCUCUGGAAGAGACUUUAAGUUUGUUUCUGAAGAAGCUGAACUUAGGAUAAGUAAGUGGUUUGGUUAACACAUCAGCAAUUUGAUCAUUGCUUGAGACAAAUGCAAUUUCUACUUCUUUCUUUUCAACCAUGUCUCUUACAAAAUGAAUGUCAAUUUCUAUGUGUUUCGUUUUGGAAUGAAGAACUGGAUUUGUGGCACUUGCUGCUGCACUAGUACUGUCACUCAAUAAUAAUGGAGUGCAACUGAGCUUUACAUUUAUCUCUUUGAGAACUGAGCAAAUCCAAGCUAUCUCUGCACAUGCUAAUGCCAUGGCUCUAUAUUCAGAUUCUGCUAAUGAUUUUGACACUACACUUUGUUUCUUUGAACUCCAGCUAACCAAAUUAUCACCUAAGUAAAUGCAAUAACCACUAGUAGAUCUUCUGUCAUCAGGAUCACUACCCCAAUCAGCAUCUGAAUAAGCUAUCAAAUUAAAAGAGUCUGACUUCUUGAAGCUUAAACCAUAGUCAACAGUUUCUUUCAAAUAUCUUAGGACUCGUUUGCAAGCUAACCAAUGAGGCUGCAAAGGACUUGCCAUAAACUGACUUAGCUUAUUCACUGCAUAUGCAAUCUCUGGCCUAGUAAGUACAACAUAUUGAAGUCCUCCAAUAGCUCUUUCUAUACUGAGUAUGAUCAGAGUAUUUUGUUCCUAUAAAUUUACUCAACUUAUCAGUUGUUGUAAGUGGAGUAUCAGCUCCAUUACAAUUAUGUAAAUCAAACUUUUCAAGUAACUCCUUUAGAUAUUUAGUUUGAGACAACACUAGAGUGUUUCCAUUUCUUGUUACCUCAAUACCAAGAAAGAAAUUUAAUUGUCCCAAAUCCUUGAGAGCAAAAGUGCUACCUAAGUCCUAAACUAGCUGUUCAAUCUCAAUGUUAUUACUUCCAGUGACUAUAAUAUCAUCGACAUAGAUCAAUAGAAUAACCACAUCAUUUCCAUUAUGUUUGAAGAACAAAGAUGUAUCUGAUUUUGCUCUACAGAAAUUCUAUGAUUCCAGAACUGAUUUAAGUUUGUUAAACCAAGCUCUAGGAGCUUGUUUCAACUUGCAGAUAUGCUUUGGAUAAUCUAGAUUUACAAACCCUUAUGGUUGAGGCAUAUACAUUGUUUCAGUUAACUCCCCAUUCAGAAAGGCAUUAUUGAUGUCAGCUUGUCUUAGUUUCCAGUCAUUUACAACCGCAAGGUUUAGAACAAUCCUUAUGGUUGCAACUUUAACUACUGGACUAAAAGUUUCCUGAUAAUCCACUCCUUCAGUUUCUAAGAAGCCCUUUGCCACUAACCUGGCUUUGUAUCUGCUUAUUGAUCCAUCAAAAUUUUGCUUAACUUUAAAAUCCACUUGUUCCCCACCAGCUUCGUAUUUUGUUCUGGGGGGACUAAGCACUAAGUUUGAUUAUUUAUUAAAGCAUUGAAUUCAUCUUGCAUAGCUAGUUUCCAUUUUUGAUCAUUCAAAGCUUCAGUAACACUUGAAGGUGUGUCUAGAGAUAAGGCUUUUUCUGUAUUGAAAACUUUAGGUUUAAAAAUUCCAGCUUUAGCUCUAGUUAUCAUAGGAUGUGAGGGUUUUAGUUGAGGUGUGACUUGAGAUAUUUCAGGAGUUUGAUUUUGGAGAUUAUUGUUUCCAAAUGUGAUAGAACAGUUUGAAGGAUUUUGAGUGGCAGAUUGUACAUUUGAAGCAUUGUUGAGCACUGAACAAAUGAUCUCAUUAUUGUUAUCAAGACUCAGAUCAUUAGGAGGAGUAAUUUCCAGAUUUUGACUAUCAGAUGAAUUUACAUCAGCUGCUGUUGCUUCAUGAUUAUGACUCUUAGAAGGAAAAAACAUAGUGAGGAAUUUACUAAAAGUGUUUGUGAGUUCAAUUGACUGUUUUGGUUUGGUACAUAUGAACUCUGAAUCUGUUUGGAAAUGAAAAGAGUUUUCAUUGAAAUUUACAUGUGCUGCAAUGUAUAUUCUUCCACUUGAGCUAAGGCACAUGUAACCUUUAUAUGAGUGACUAAACCCCAAGUUUACACACUUUGAAGUGUGAAAGCUGAACUUAUGACUAUUGUAAGGUCUCAAGAAAGGAUAACCCCCACAGCCAAAAAUCUUUAUAAUGGAAUAAUUUAGUUUCUUUGAAUAAAGAGAUUAAAAUGGUGUUUUGUCACUGAGGACAAGAGUACUGGUUCUGUUUAUGAGGUAGGCUGCAUUUGAGAAGGCUUCCCACUAGAACUUUAGAGGUAAGUUGGCUUGAGAAAGAAGAGUUAAACCAGAUUCUACAAGAUGUCUAUGCUUUCUUUCAGCCUUCCCAUUUUGGGGGUGAGUAUAUGGACAAGAAUAUCUUAAGGAUAUUCCUUCAUGUUUGAGAUAGGUUUCAAAAGCUUUGUAUUCACCCCCCAUAUCACAUUGUAAGGCUUUAAUCUUUAGCUCUAGGCUUUUCUCAAUCUGGUUUUUAAAGGUGAUGAAUGAUGUAAGUGCUUGAGACUUGUGUGUUAAACCAUAAAUCCAAGUGUAGCUUGUUUUAUCAUCAAUGAAAGCUAUGUAAUAUCUAAACCCUUGAUUUGAAAUUGUGGGAGCAGGACCCCAGAGGUCACUGUGAAUGAUUUCCAGAGCAUUUUUUGUUUUUAUUUUACUACUUUUGAAUGACAGUCUAUGCUGUUUUCCAUAUUGACAUGCUUUGUAGAAAGGUAAAUCAAACUUUUUAUUUCUAAGAGAAAUGUUACAAGCUGACAAAGUUUUCCUAAGUGCAACGACAUUAGGAUGACCUAAUCUCAAGUGCCACAGGUUUAGCACUUUGCUACUUGUACAUUUUUCACUACAAUUUACUGAAAGCAUAGACUCUGGUUUGUGAGCUUUAUUUACUAAGAAUAGGCUUGAAUUGACAGUAGAUGAUGAUAGAACAAACUUGGCUUGAUUGGAAUUAAUAGGCAAACACAGCAGCUUGUACAAUCCAUCUUUAGCCAUUUCUCUCAUAAGAACACUCCCCCUUCUCUUGUCCUUAACAGCACAAAAUGAUUCAUUGAAUUCAAUAUAAACAUCAUUAUCAUGCAAAAAUUUUGAGACACUAAUCAAAUUCUUGAUUAUUUCAGGAACAUGAAGAAUGUGAUUGAGUUUAAUAUGAGGUAAGGUGUGUGGUUCAAGUGUACUGAGCAAUGAAUGACUAAUAGAAACUAUUUUAAGUUUAACUCCAUUACCUACUGCAAGCUGAUCACUUCCUUUAUAUUCUGAGUUGAUUUUGAGAUUGUUGAAGUCAUUUGAAAUGUGAUUUGUUGCUCCACUGUCGAGAUACCAUGCACCAUCUCUGUUUCCUCCAUUUUUAACUACAUAAGCACUUUUUCGAUUUGGCAUUUGAUUUGGUACAUAACUCUUUUUGAACCUGUACCAGCAGUGAGCAGCAGUGUAAUUCUUCCUGAAGCAGAUCUGACAAGGUCCCUUAGGUUCAUCUUUAUCAAUCUGACUUUUACCUUUGGCCUUAUCAGAUGCAUUUGAGCUUUCAUUAAAGUUGCCUCCACCAAAUUGCCUUACAAUUGAGUUUCCAGACCGUCUUCCACCAUAGCUGUUGUUAUUUCCAUUGAAGUUGAAAUUUCCUUGCCAGUUUCUUCUCUGAUUUCCUCUCUAAUAAGUUAGGUUAGCUUGAUAAUCCAUGUGACUAACAGAAUGUUAAUGCUCAAUCCUAUUUUCAUGACUCAGUAGCAUUCCAUACACAUCAGAAGGCAUAGUGCUUUCAGACCUAGCAUUGAUUGUAGUAACAAUCGAGUCAUACUCAUGUCCUAAGCCAGCAAGCAAGCAGAGUAUAAAAUCUUCAUGGUUCAUGUUGUUACCAGCUGCUUUUAAUGCAUCUAGAGUAGUUUUCAUUCUUGUAUAGUACUCAUGCACUGUCAUUGAUCCCUUCCUUGUGGUUUGAAUCUGAGUUCUCAAGUGCAGAACUCUGGAUCUGGGUCAUGCUCCAAACUGAGUAGCAAGGAUCUGCCAUACAUUUAGUGAGGAUCUUGCUCCAACAACAGCACUCAAAACUUCUUCACUCAAGGUUGAGAGUAGCCAGCUCAUAAGUUGUUGAUCAUUCCUCCUCCAGAUCUAGAACUGUGGAUUUGGUGUAGUAAUCACAGUCUGAUCACUGUCAAUGUUGAUCAUCAUGCGAUUUAGUGGAGUCUUUGAGCUGUCAAUCAGAUCUUCUAGAUCAUUUGCGUUGAUAGUAGCUACAACUUGAGAAUGCCAUAGCAGGUAGUUGUUAUUAGUGAGCUUAAUAGGAUUAUUGAACACAAGUGAGCUGAGAACAGAGGUACUGAUGUUUGAGACUUGAUUUGAGUUUGUGGUUGAGCUUAAAGCUCCAUUACUGUUUUGAUUCUCAUUGUUCACCAUUAUUGCUUCUCGUCUAGCUUUGAUACCACGAAAGAAUUCUUAAGAUUGAAGAGAGAUGAGAGAAGCUGAAUUUAACUGUUUUAUUAAGCUUAAUGUAAAAAUACAACGAGCUGGUAUUUAUAGCUGCUUUGCUCAGCAUCCAGCUUAUUCAUUGAUUUACAAACACAAAAAAUGCAUGUUAAAGAUAUUAUCACAACCGUACAUUUCUAACUAAAUCAUUCCAUCACACAAUGUCAGAGGAAUCUCUGUAUAGCUAUUUUGCCAACUGGAAUCUUCUGGCUUGUUACGUGUGAUCCUCAAUCCAUUACUCGUGUGAGCAACAUCCUUGGUCAGCAAGUAUGCUCCUGCUAAUACUCCCACAUGACUUGAUUCAAGUUCAUCUUCAUUCAAUAUUUCAACAGUUGAUGAAGAAGAUGAAAUUGACGAUGGAGAGAAGUAACGAAUAAAUUGCAAAAGAGAGAGAAAGAAAAAAGAGAAGAAGAAGAAGAAGAUAAAAGAAGAAAAAAACAAAAGAUAGAUAAAAUAAUAUAAAAACAAAAGAGAAAAAUAAUAAUAAUUAUUAUUAUUAUUGUGAUGGCAAUUUGCUGGAGAAGUUGUCAUUUGUUGAUUUUGGACCAUACAAAUUUUAUAUUUAUAAUAAUAAAAUUAACCAAUAAUAAUAAAUAUUCUAAUUAUUGUUAAUAUUAUUAUUUUUUAACAAAAAAAUAAUAUAUUAUUAUAUUAUUAUUAUUUUUAAUAAUUUUUUAAUUUAUUAUGUAUAAUAAUAAUAACAAUAAUAAUAAUAUUUUAUUAAUUUUAUUAUUAUUAUCAUACUUAAUUUAUUUUAUCAUUAUAAGCAAUAGGUAUAUUUUAGUAAUUUGAAAUAGUUUAUUCCGAUUCCAGGAUAAAGUAAACAUAUCAAUGGAAAUGAAAUUCAUUUUGAUUCCGAUUCCAACUCAUUUUAAUUCCAGCUCAUUACCAAUCCAAGAAGUAAACGCACCAUAAGAGAUUUGGUUGGCUUUGACACUUGUAUAUAAGCUUGUAACCCUCUCGUUCUUUGCAAGAAAUAAGAUAAUAUUUUCAGCAUGAUAUUUCUUUUCAAUGAGAUCAAAGAAAUGAAAAGAGAUAUAGUCUAUUAGGUUGGUAAAUCUACUGAAACAAUAUUGUUUCCAAUCAACUCCGAGAUACAAACAAUUGAACAACGUUCAGAAAUCGAAAAUCAUUUAUUACCAGCAAGAUUUAUUAUUAUACGCUAGACAUAUGGCUUUAACAGUCACAUUACCAAUGCAUUUUUAAUCAUGGUAGGUAGGUGCUGGAAUGUAUACAAUAUUAUCAGCCUGGAAGAAAUGGCAGACGUGGGAGCUCCCUGGCUCGAUCCCAAGCACACGAAACGAUGCAUGAUCUCGACUCCAAUGAGACGUAUCCAUGUGGCAAACUGCUACAGCAUCCACUCUAUCUCCAUUAUCACCACCUAAUGAAACACCGAAUAACUUGUUCUCAGUCAUUUGGCUGUGGCAGUAGAAGAUUGCAUAAGGGUAAGGCAUGAUAUGACAUGCCACCAUCUUGGGAGCAAACAUUGGUUUAGGCACUUGUAAAAUAGUGUAAUUUUGGAAAAUGGUAGUUGAUUUUGUGAGAAAUUUUGUGCUUAGAACUUGGAAUUUGGUCUCCAAUCCGAAAGUUCCGUGUACAAAAUCAAGCAUGGAUUCCAAAGAGGUAGCACAAAUUUUGGUUUCUCCUUCGAUGGGAGGAACUUCGCAAUGAUUCAGGGUCCCUUCCAUGGCUUUGGCUAGGGGUGAGUCAUCUGAGAACGAGAAGAAUUGAAGAAGGUAAGGCAGUUGUUUCAAUGAAAAUGGAAUGGAAUCUGCUUCUUCUCUAGGCAAAGCCUGAGGAUAAGCUGAAGGAUCUCUCUUGCGAAAAUAAAUCGGCAUCGUUUCGCCAAUCUUUAGAUCCUUCAAGGUGAAGAACACCAUCGUUGAAGGGUCCAUGUGAUUCAUGUGGGAUGGUAUUGAAUGAGAAUCAUGAAGAUUCUCCGAAAGCACUGGAGCACACUGUAAAACAGUUCAGAAAUUCAAUAUCACAACUUAGAUGAAAAAUCAACAACACAAGUUCUAUAAAGUGUAAAAAUGAAGAAACAAAAUAUAUCUUUUUGAGUUGUUGCUUUAAGACGUACAACACUUAUGUACAUGUAUUGCACAGUAAGCCACUUAAUUAGCACACAUUGAGGAUUAUUACCAGAAAGAGUAGAGAAAGGAGGUUCCAAGCUGAAAAUCUUAACCCCAUCUCUUUUCUAUUAUCGAAGUUUCUUAUGUAUUUUAGUAAUGUUUUUUUUUUUCAGGGAGAGGAAACACAGAUAACAAGUAAAGCAGAAAGAGAAGAGAUUGUGUAACUAUAUAUGUCAACAACGAUAUGAUGUAUGUUAAUUUUCAAGUGGAAAUUUAUAGCCUGCAUAAGCUGAACUUGUUCUUCUGUGCUGAUUAAUUGAACCACAACACAGUUUGAAUAAUGACCUUAAUAGUCCAAUCCAGCAGAGAAUUCUGCACUCCAAUCAUAUGGGGACACACGUAUUGCACCUUCAUCAUGUCUGGGGAUUUUAAUAGUUUUGACUGAGUGAAUGAUUACUUCAAUAAAUAACAUUGCAUAUUAGAUUACUAGACCUAAAAUUGAUUUCUUAUUAAAAAAUUUACUUGCAAUUUGGAAACUCUCUUUGACACAUUAAUUACAGACUCGAAAUCUGUAUCAAUAUUCCCCAUACAUAGACAGAACUGAGAAGAAAAAGUGGGAAGGCAGAUCGUAAACAAAUUCAACAUGGCAAUUUCCAAGGAUGAAUAGCAUUUUUUUCAUUUGAAAAUGGGAUAAUAUAUCAUUGAGUCACGUAAUGUAUACUAAUGGUGCUUUUACUUCAUGGAAUGAGAAUAUGGUAGAAUCGGAAUGGGCUGAGAAUGAGCUGGAAUGGAAAUGAGGAAUGGGAAUGAGAUUUCAAUAUUUACUGGACAAAAAUAAAUAAAAAUGAAAAUAAGAAUCAAUUCACUAAAAUAUACAUAAUAUUAAAUAAUGUAAUUUUCAUUAACUAGAUACAUAUAUAAAUAUUAUUAUAAAAAUGAUAUUAAUUAAAAAAUAAAAUUAAUAAUAAUAAUAAUAAAUGUUCAAAAUGAUAAUAUUAAUAAAAAUAAUAAUAACAAUAAUUAAUAAUAAUUAAAAUAAUAAAGUUAAUAAUUUUUUUAAUAAUAAUAAUAAUGACAUUUAAAAUAAUAAAAUUAAUUUUGAUUUGAACGACGGUAAUUCAGAAAAUAUGAAAAAAUUAUAGAGAUACAAAAGUAAACAAAGAUUUCAUUCACAUUCCUUCAUUCUCAUUCCCAACUCCCCACGGGAAUGAGAUUUUCAUUCCUUAUUCUCAAAUUGUAUGGGACCCACAUAUUUUACUCACAUUCCCAAAUUAUAUUUGACCAAGUAAACAUAAAUUUCAUUCUCAUUCCCUAAACUCUCAAGUAAACAUACCAUAAAGCUCUUCUCAACCUAGUGUGCGUCGAAUAUGUGAACUUAGGGCUCCAGUCUCCCGUACAAUCUUUAAAAUUUUUUUCGGUCAAACUAACAGGCUGCACUCACUGUAUUUCCAUGGAUCACACUACUUCAACUAAAAGAUAAGAUAAUAUCUUUAGGAUUUUACUGAAUGAUUUUUAAGUAGUUUUUAUUAAUUAAUUAUUCAAAUUCAAAUUUAAAAAAAGACUAAAAAAUUAAUCUGAAUUUUUCUCACUCCCAAUCUUUAAAAAUAUAACAAAUAAUAAGUCAUAUAAAAAAUGUUUUAAACGCAAUUUUCACUUCUCACAUCUUUCAUUUGAAGUUUAAUUGUAUUCUCCCGUGGGACCUGGAUAAGUUGAAACAAAAUUUUAUUAAAAAGAAAUGUACAUUUAAUUGUCUUACACUGGAUCAAGAACAAAAUGUUAAAGGAUAAUAUACGCGGACAUGAUAAUGCAGUAACCGAAAAUCAAAAUAGCACAGGUUUCAAAUGCCAGACAAAGGAAAGAGACAUGUGAGCUGGUCGAUUUUCUUCUCAUCACUAGCCACAUGCACAUUGGUAGUGGUUGAACUUCUAUUAUUUAAUUAUGUUGUCAUUUUCCAUCACCACAACAACAGAUGAUUCAUGUAGGAUCGGUCAAUAAUUGUCGCCCAAUGUGUGUCUUCUUUAAUAAUUUAGUUAUUUUUGUUCAUAAGUCUGAUGAAGAAGUUCUAAUUUUGCAAGUGGAAUUCAAGUUGAUAAGACCUUGUCGACUUGUCUUCUGCUGAAGAAUCUUAAAUAAUCAUGCAAAAUUCAAAAAGUGGCAAAAGCAAAAGGCUAACUUCUUAAUGAAUUCAAUAUUACUAUGAAUUUGGUGCUAGCUUAAUCUUGAAAAUGAUCCAAAAAUUAAAAAGUAAACAUAUAUAAUCACAUCUACAUAUGUACAUUAGUAAGUCAUUGAUGAUAUAUCACGAAUAUCAUUAGUUGAUUAAUUAAACAUACCAUGAAUAUAUUAAAUCACUUUGAUCAUCACCUCACCUGUCACCAACUUUUUCAUAAACUUCAGCCGGAAAUUAAAAAAAAAAAUGAACCAAUAAUUGUAUGAAUUGGCUGGCUUCUUCUCCUCUUCACAAAAGAUUAAGUUCUCUUUGAAAAGGUUUGUUACUGAAGUACAUAUCCUAUUAGACCAAUAAUCUCUAUUACCAUAUGAAUUUAGAUCUUCUCCUAACUUAAUCUUUCAUAUACUAUUGUACCAAUAAUUUUUCUCCCCACAGAGAUUAGGAUCUUCUCCUAACUUAAUAUUUUGUAAGUGUUGUAUGUGAUUAUUUAACACGUCAUUUAAAUUUUUUCACAGCUAUGAUUUAGCAUACUUUAAACUUACCUUAUUAAACAUUAAAACCCAUAAUUUUCUAGGCUAAAACUCUGAAUUCAAGUGUGCCGCCUUCAAACCAAACUGUUGCUUCUUUCUGUACCUUUUUCUUUUUUUAAUUCACAAACUUUAAACUUUGGAAUAAACUUGAGCAAAGAAGAAUUACUGGCAAUUAAUUCUUUUAAGAAUUGUUUAUGUCAUGAAAUCAGACUGGAACAGAAAUAUCCGUAGUCUACAAUAAUAACAAUUGAGGACACCGGAAGACAAUAUCAAUUAAAGACAAUUGUCAUUGCAAUAUGGCAAUUCAACGCAUUAUUGUUAUCGCUCGUCUGCAACUAAUUUAACAUAAAUUAAGUUGAUAUACCUCAUUUCAGUUGAACGUUGAUGCAGCCACUGAUAUUUCCCGGAACACAGCAUUUUUAGGAGCCAUUAUUCGUACUGUGAGAGGGAAGAUUAAUUAUGGCAGUAGCUAUCUAAAGUUUUUUUAAAAAAAAAAUUGAGAUGUUGAAUUCGCUGAAGCAGAAGCAAUUAGAUUUCGGAUCGAAAUAUGCAAAUGAUACAGGUCUAUUUCCAUUAAUUAUUGAGUCAGAUAGCCGCAGAACUUGAAAGUACGAGAAAGAGAUCCUUUGAGUGGUCUCUGAUAUUUAAUUGUUGGAUAGACAACUGGCAGUUUCAAAUUUGUGUUCAUUCCUAUAAUAUGUAAUGUGAGAGUUCAUAGAUUAGCUAAACUUAGCAGUUAGCAAUCAGAAAACCGUAUUGUUUGGAUUGAGAAUAUUCCUAUAGAUGUAAAAUCUUAUCAUUUUUGAAGAACUUUUUACUUUGAAAAUAAAAUAAUAAAGGGCCAUCUGUAUCGUUGCGAAUUAUAAUUCUCAUAGACUUUGUGGUCCACAUUAUGAAUUUAAAAUUCUUGCAUGAUUAAUCACCCACAUGAGCAUGCUGCACCAACCUGCCACAUCAUGUUAACACUUCUUCCAAUCUGUGUCUAUACACACACACACACACCAGUAUGGCCUCCGUUCAAAUUACAAACGCAGUAUCUAGUAUUGUUUGUCACUGGCCAGAAACAUGAAUAUUAAAGCCUUCUUUGUUCUCUCUACAGUGCUCUCAUUGCUUCUCUUGGUAUGUAUCAUUUGAUCAGUAAUAAUGUUAGGUUAAUCACAAAUUCAUUAUAUAAAAUAUUUUGUACAAAAUUGAUAACACAUAAUGUACAGUAUCACGAUGUGAUGAACACCACACAACCCGAUCAUUAUUUUGUAUUUUCAUUCAACCAAUAUUAUUUUUUCACAUCAGUUUUAAGAGUAGCUUAAUUAUAGCUAGCUCUAGCAUUACUCAUUUUGAUUCAAAUGAUUUUCGAAUUUUAAUCGUUUGCAUGGUCAAUUUAUAGUUCCUCUCUUUUUUUUUUUAAUUAAUUGUUUUCCUUGUGUGCAGUUUGCCAACAUUGUAGAUGCAAGAAAAGACCUGAGAGACGAUCGGAGUAUUGUCGUAAAAAAUCAAGACAUGCCUGGGGAAUCAACUCAAGGUCUCAUUCCCGAAGAUCAAGGCUCGACCAUCUCUAAAACCAAAGCCUAUUGCCAUACACAUGAUGAUUCUGAGUACACCAUGGAGAAGCCUUUUGUCAAUAAGAACUUGGAGCUGAUGCCUGAUGUUUCAAUGUAUGACAACGGCAUUAAGCCGACAAAACAAAAGGCUUUUGUCAAGGACCUCGAGCUAAUGCCUGAUGUUUCAAUCUAUGACAACGGUAUUAAGCCAAAGGAUCAGCAGAGAUCAUUUCCCAAUAACUUCGAGCUGAUGCCUGAUCUUUCAAUUUACGACAACGGUAUUAAGCCAACCAAACAAAAGGCUUUUGCCAAGCACUUCGAGUUCUUGCCUCAUGUUUCAAUUUACGACAACGGCAUUAAGCCAACCAAACAAAAGUUCUUCGCCAAGAACUUCGAGCUCAUGCCUGAUGUUUCUAUUUAUGACAAUGGUGUAAAGCUAGCCAAACAAAGGUUCUCUGCCAAGGACUUCGAAUUCAUGCCUGAUGUUUCAAUUUAUAACAAUGGUGUAAAGCUAGCCAAACAGAAGGCAUUCACCAAAGACUUCGAGCUCAUGCCUGAUGUUUCAAUUUAUGACAAUGAUAUUAAACCAACGAAGAGGAGUUCAUAUGCCAAGGACUUUGAGCUGAAGGCUGAUAUUUCAAUUCAUGAACCGACCGAACAAAAAUCGGUUGUUAGCAGUACGGAUCCGCAGCCAGAUGCUACAAUUUAUCAUAAGAGGAUAAAAAAUAUAUUAGCCGUUUUGAUUUUUACGAUUUUACAAUUGAGACUUAUCUUAUUCUUAUUAUUAUUUAUGUGGGUUGGGUUGGGUUACAUGAGUUCAUAAUAAUUAACCAAAUCCAACCUAAUUGUUGAUUGGGUUUGAAAAAAUUGACCCAAUUAACCCAUAAUAAUCCACUCAACCCGUCAAAAUUUAAUUGGGUUAGAUUGAGUUGGGUUGGAUUGGAUUUGCCCACCCCUAAUUGAUAGUGUGUGGUAAAUAUGAUUUAUAAAUAAUAGUUUUGACAAAAUUGCAAAGAGGCCUUUAUUUCCCAAAUAUUAUUUAAAUUAUUAAACCAACCAAACAAAAAUUGUUUUUUCUAUUAUACAAAUACGAGAUCAAAUCAGGUUAGUUUCUGAGUUGCAAUAGGUAGUACUUACUAAACACUUUAAUGUCAAUACCAAAUAGGCCUCUUUUUUCCUCUCCCUCUCCAAUUUGUAAGACUACCCAACCAUAUUUUAUAUAAUAUUCAAUUAUUAUAUUAGCUAGUUUUAUUUUCUUAUGAUCACGUGAUAUGUUUUUUUUUUUUUUUAAAGAAUUUGAGUAGGUAAUGGUGUUAAAGCUCAUAAGUAGAUCUAAUUCUAAAUAUUUGGAAAAUGGAAAAAAGAAAAUGAUUAACAUUUACAGAAGAAGGUAUAUACUUGAACGCCAUGAUGGUAUAUAGUUAAAUUUAACUAUUUAACUAUUUUUAUUUAUUAAUUACUAAUUAUCCACAGUGAAUUUUAUUUGAAUAAGUUCAGACCAUAGUAGGACCUUAAUUCACAUACAUAUGAAAAAAAAAAUCUAUGACCGCACUAAUAAGAUAUUCCAUUUAAUCAUGUGAUAUUAGAAUGAAAAUUAUGAUAGACAAACUUAAAUUUUCCAUUUUUCCCCCUUUAUCAUCUCAAACCGGCCACUUCAAUUCGUUGAAAUCCUGAUGAUUCGGCCUUCAGAUGUAAAAUAACAAAUGAGUCACAUAUAUUAUUGGUAGAUGCAUGAGCGGAUCACAUCUAACUCAACCAACAAAUUGCAUGCCAUCUGGAAAAUGAUUUAAAUAAAUGAAUAAACACUCAUUUAGCCUUCUAUUUUAAUUUAAGUAUUCGUUUAUUUCUUAUAUUUUGAAAAUUUUCUAAAAUACAUUGUAGUUAAAUAUAUUAAAUUAUUAAUCUUGCUGUUUUUUUGCUUUUAUAAUAAUGCCCUUAUAAUAAUAUUCUUGACAUUAAUUAAUUUAUCUAUAAAAUUUUAAUUAGAAAAUUAACCAAUAAUUAUUUAGGAAUAAAUUAACCAAUAAAUAUUAGUAGAAAAGAAGUAGUAUUUUCUGUACCAGUGAGACAAUCAUGCUAAUAAUUUGUUUAUAAAUAAAAAUUAAUAUAAGCCAAGUUAAAGCAAUAUUUAUCAUCCUUACAAUAAUUUUAUUAAUAUUUAUUUUAUAAAAAAUUAAUCUUAAAAGUAAAAUAAUAGUAUAAAAAAAUUUUACUGUAAAAAUGUUUAUACUACUUUUAAAGCUAAUUUGAUAAAAAAAAAUGGAACUACUAGCACUCCUUCAAAAUCCUUUUAAGACCCCUUCUUAAAUACACCCAAUCAAAAAUAGGAAAAAUUAUAUCACUUCUAAAAACACCCAUCUUUAUUCCACGAUUACCCUUCAAUCUUAUCUCUCAUAAAAUGAUAAAAUUACCCAAAAAAAAAUCUUUUUGUUGAUACUAUUGAAAUAAUUAUUAGCAAUCUUCUCAAAUUUGAUUAACAAGUAUGGAAUGGUGUGUAACUUUAGGGCAUGUUCGGUAUUGUUUCUGAAUUUGUAUUUUUUUAGAAUAAAAAUGAGAAUGAAAAUAGUAUUUUGCAGAACUGUAUUUCGAAUUUAAAUAUAAGUUUGGUAUCAUUUUCUGCAUCCUGUAUUUUAAAACUGAAAAUAAUAAUAUAUGUUCGGUAGACACAAUUGAAAAUGAAAAAAAUAAUGAAUAUGUGUUCGAUAGUAUCAUUUUCAAAAACAGUUUUUACUAAACAUUUAAUUCAUACUUAUAGUUAAGAAAAUAAUUGUUUAACUAAUACAUAGACAAACAAACCAUAAAUAAUUUAAACAAAAUAAUUAUAAAAAAUACAUUAUCAUAAAAUUUUAGUAUUAGUAUUAAUAAAAAAUUGUAUUAAUUUUUAGUUAUACUAUGUUUGGUCUUUCACUGCAUAACACUGUAUUAAAUAUUUUUGGUGAUUAAUUUAAAUUAUAUAUUAGAAAAUAAUUUAUUAGUAUUUAAAAAAAAGAUAUGGAAGAAUUUAAGAAUUUUUACAUUAAUUUAUUUACUAAAAAUGUGAAAUAAAAUUAUCAUUAUUCUUCAUUGAAUACACGUAAAUUAAGCAAAUUUUAAAAUUUUUGUAGCAAUUUUCCCCUGUAAAAUAAAAAUCCAAGCAAAUAAUUUAUCCAAAUAACCUCCUAAAAAAUAUCACGACAUAAAUAAAUAGUUCAAACGUACAAACUUCAUUGAAAGUCAUCUUCGGAUAAUAGCAUAAAAGUGUACACAUUUCUAUUUGCUACAACAUAGUUACAAAAUAAUAAAGUGAUCUAAUAGUUGCAAUAUAAUCACAUAAAAUAUGGAUUGUGUUAAAUAAUCCAAGUAUAUACAUCCACAUGCCCAAAUACUAUUGCAAAAUAUCAUUGUUAAGUUAUAAAUGCAUGCUCCCCAAUCAAAAGGCUAGCUAAAUAACAGAGAGUAAAUUCUUAACACCAUUUACAUCCUUCAAUGCAGCAAAUUUUUCAAGUUGAUUUGUUGGAGAUGAAAGAACUAACAUGUCAAUUCCUUGAUCAAUGCCACCAGCUUUUACUUUCCAUGAAACCAAUGUCAUAGGCUUUGGACCAUCAGCUUUUACAAAUGUCACGUCUGGUUCCUUAUAGCAAGUUUCAUCUAACUUGGUUUCCCAAUCCAAAGGACUUUGGAUUUGUAAUUAACUAUUUAGAGACUGAACUAUUCAAAUCAACUAUUUCAAGCAAAUUGUUAGCUUGUUAAUUACAAAUGUCAGAAGCAUCAGCUUUUACAAAUCUUUGAUUUGAAUAGUUCAGUCUCUUCAAUUUGCUUCAAUACUUGUUUCUGAAAAACCAAACACGAAGCCUAAAUAUUAGAAAAUAGAGAUUUAAUUAUAUAAAUCUUGAUAAUUAACCAGCUUUAAUUACUUUCUCUAUUUUAUUUAAGAAAACACUGGCAUAUUCUUGUCUCCAAAAAUAACAACACACUUGACCAAGUCUUUUAAAUCAAAGGACACUGAUUUAAGUAGAACAGAGUACAAAAUUUCAGUACCCUUUACAUCCUUCAAUUUUACAGCAGGACAUUAUAAAUGCAAAGAAAACAUGAAGUUUAGACAAUCUGUGUGCAGUCAAAAGGCUAGUUAACAGUUAAAAAUAAACCAAGAAUGCCACCAAAAUUCAAUAACGCAUUUGCAUAGCUUUCUCUUCUGAUAGAAUAAUUGAAAAUUUCCAACAUAUAUGAUGAUGAUAUAGGUCCAACGAGAUGAAAGCUAUCAUGUAAAUUAGGUAAACCCAACCCAAAUGAGAUAUAAAAUAAUCCAAAACCCAAAUCACCAUGACUAAAAUAAUUCAAAAUCUAAUUAAAAUUUUUAAUAAUUUACCUUGAUACUCUGCUACAAUUGUGUGAUGAAGCUCCAGUGAAGGAUUCAUCAAUGGAGUCCGGAGGCUACAGCCUAGAUUUAUACGGCAAAGUUGAACAAGUUCAGGGUGCAGGCAGCAAAGAUGAAGUGCGGCGACGGCUUUAUGUGGGCAUUUACUCAAAUAAAAAAAACAGCAACUCACAAUAAUAGAGACAGCCAACAGAGCAGUAGCAGUCGAGACGGAGCAGCAGUGGAGACAGCAGCGACGGUGGCGGAGAUGGAGCAACAGCAGUGGCCCAAUGAAGCGGCGGCGGCAGCGGCGGAGACAGAGUACAGCAGCCGAUUUGGGCACAUUGAGAGAGAGUAAGCGCUGUGAGUAGAUCGCGAGACAGAGUCGAAGAGAUAAAGCACACCAAGAGAGUAAACGUUGUGAGUAGAUCAGGAGAGAGAGUUGAAGAGAUCAGCCCGAAGAGAUAAGGAUGAAGAGAGUGAAGAGAGAGUCACUAGAGUUUGUUUUUUGAUCUAUUUUUUAGUUUAGUUUUGGAAUAUGUCGAGAACAUGUUAAACACGUUAUCACUUUGAUAGAUAUAAAAGUGAAUCCCAAAUUAUUUGUUUUAUAAUUUGUUUUUUGAAAUCAAGCCACCGAACACGUACUAACUUAAAUUUAAAAAAGGAUAUAAAAACAGGGCCACUAAAAUGAUACUGAACGGGCCCUUAGAUUUCUAACUUUUAACUUAUUUUUCUGUUUUGCAAUAAAUAUACCUUCUAUUUGAAUAUAUGAUGCCUAUUAAUUUUAUUUUUUUUCAAAUAUCAAAACUCACUUGUUCAAACAAACAAUGAGACCAAGAAAAGUGAUAUAGAGGAAGUUUAAAGUUCGAAAUAUUCUAUUGAUUCUAGAAAAUAUUGGAAUAUAAGAAUAAUUAAAUUCAUGUUGAUUUAAAAAAAUACUACAAAUUUAGCAGUUAAGACUCGUUGAUUCCGUAGAAUAUCGAGAAUUAACUAUUCAAAUACUCACAAAAAGACUUGAAAAUUGAAAAUAUUAUUGAAAUCGAAUCUCUGUUUAUAAAAACUACAAAAGACACUUAUUUAUACUAAUAAUGACUUAUCCUAAUUUGAUUAGAAAACUUAUUUUAAUAAGAUUUAUACCUAAAUUAGGAAUAUUAUUCAAAUAAGUAAUGCCUAAACAAUAAGACUCUAAAUAGGAAAUCAAUUUAAACUAGAAUACAAAUUAAUAAAAAUAUUCCUAAAUAUUAUAAAUUUAAAUCUAAUUAGGAUUUCUUCAAUUUCAUGCUCUGCAUCAUUCCUGCCGGGGUGGAAAAAAAUUCGUCUUCGAAAUUUGUAUUUUGUAGUCUUUAAGAACAUCUUUAUAUGUAUAAGGAUUAAUUUUCAAAAUAUGGCUUUGACAUACUCAACGAACUUUAAGUUUUCCAACUUUUGUAAUAAUGUCCAUCCAAUCACUCCAACAGCGUAAAAUAAAUUCUUCUAUCAACAAUUUCUCUAAUAAUGCCUCGUAUUGUUCACAUCAAACUUCAAUAUAGUUAAGGAAAAACAAUUUCUUCUCAUAAUCCACUAACUGUUGAAAAAUAUCAUAACUGUUUUUGUCUUCUUUUGGCAAAUCAAGAGAACAAUAAGAGAUUGUAUCAACAACUACAUCUCUUUACUCCACAAGACCAAAAGAUGUAUGAAAAAUUACCUCUUCUCGUCCCACAAUGUCAAGACACUCAUUAAAUUUCAGUAGUUAUCCAAAUCAAUGUCUGUGUGUAGAGAAUUUACUGCAUAUAUGAAUUUUCAAUUAAUAUUCUCCUCGGAAGGAAUGAUAUUGUUGAGUGAAACAAAGUUAUUGUUUUCCUCAUUCUCCUCAUAACAUAUAUCAUCAUAAACAAUUUCGUCAAAUCCAUAUGUCUGCUUUAUAUGUAAAGAUUUUGUAUUUCGAAGUUUCUCUAAAUCUUUAUAAUUCGUUCUAGGAUUAUCUAUCAAAAUCUUGAAAAAAAAUUCUAUGAAGAAUAUAAUUCUUGUUAUAUUUUUGUAAUGAAAUUUACAGAGUUAUUUACACAAAAUAAAGACAAACUAGCCGUUGAAAGGCUUAAAAACAUUAAAGGAGAUUAAGUGAAUACUUCCUAAACUAUUGCACAAUAUCUUUAUAAAAUAGGAAUGAAAUAUUCCUAGGUGAUAUUGGCAUUCAAGUGCAAAAUCAUGCUGGAGAUAUUCCUUGACAAAUAGCUUUGACUUGAGCAAGUUUUGUGGAGUGAUAAACCCGUUAUUGACUUGACCGUUGAUGACUUUCCUUUCGGUAAUCUUGGUAAGCUUGCUUAACAUGCCCUUUCAAGUUGGCAAGUGACAUUUAAUGAAUGCCAAGCUUGUAUAUGAAAUCGCCUUAAUGAAAACAUCUGCAGUUUGUAAUGAAGAAGGGACAAACUUCGUAACCAAGGCACCAUCAACAACCGUUUCUCUAAUGAAGUGAUAAUCUAAUUCAAUAUGCUUCGAUCGAGCAUGGAAAACUAGGUUAAUAGUCAUAUGUAGGGCACUUAAAUUAUCACUUAAAAGUUAUGGAGGUUAAGCAUAAGGAAUGCCAAUUUCUCAAUACAUAUAUGUGAUCCAUGUGAGUUCUGCUACUGUGGAUGCAAGGGCUCCAUACUCAGCCUCAGUAGUGGAUCUAGAGACAGUUGGUUAUCGUUUUGAAGACCACGAGAUGUAAUUUGCACCCAUGUAGACACAAUAUCUCGUGGUGCUUCUCUAAGUGUCUGGACAACCUCCCCAAUUAGCAUCAUAAAAGGCAAUAAUAUUAAGAGAGCUUUGUUGAAGAAAUCUGAUCCCAUAAUCCAAGCUCAUUUUUAAGUACUUGAGAAUACAUUUAAUAGCAUGUAAAUUAGCCUUAGUGGAUGUUUGAAAAUGUUGGCAUACCUUAUUGACUGCGUGAACGAUGUCCAGCCUUAUUAAAGUGAGAUAUUGGAGCCCUCCAACUAAUCUUCUAUAUUCGAUUGCAUUGACAGGCUUGUGAGCAAUGGGGUUGGCUUGUUUUUUUAUGGCCAUAAAAGUUGACAAACUAGUGCUUUCUAGCAUCUUUUCUUUGGUCAGCAAGUCUUUGGUGUAUUUGGUUUGAGAAACAUAAAUACCUUCAGAGAAAUAUUGAAUCUCAAGUCAUAAGAAGAAAUGGAGUUGUCCCAAAUCCUUUAAACCAAACUCAGUGCUUAGUCAAUGAACAAGUUAGUCAAUUAGAAAAUUAUUGUUACCUGUCACCACUAUAUCAUGAACAUAAAUUAGCAUUAGGAUUAAUGAGUAAUCGUUAUGAAAUAUAAAUAAGGAAAAGUCAACUUUAGUGCAUAUGAAACCCAAUUGAAGUAAGUAAUGAGAAAGCCUAUCAAACCAAGCACAGGGUGCUUGUUUAAGACCAUACAAUGACUUGUUAAGCUUACACACAUAAUCAAGAUAUAAAGGAUUAGAGAAACCAUGAGGUUGUUCCAUAAAAAUAGUUUCUUUUAAAAAACCAAGUAAAAGCAUUUUUAACAUCAGGUUGUCGUAUUGUCCAAUUUGAUGUUUUAAUAAAAGAAAAAAAUUACUCGAAUUAUAGUAGUUUUAAUCACCGAACCAAAGGUUUCUUCGAUAUCCAAACCUGGAAUUUGUGUGUAUCCUUGUGCUACAAGAUGCCCUUGUAUUUGUCUAUGGACCCAUCUUCCUUAAACUUAGUUCGAUACACCCAUUUUGAUCCCACUAUGUUUGUAUUACUGACCUUGGUACCAAACUCCAUGUAUUAUUCUGUUGGAGAGUAUCAAGCUCUUCUAACAUAGUCGUGUGCCAAUGAGGUUGUCGAAUGGUGGUUUUGAAGUGUUUUGGCUCUAUUGUUGUAGUAAGAGCCAUCUUAUCAACUAACUCUGGGUGAUGAUUCAACUUGUGUCUAGUUAUCAUUUGAUGAGUGUUGCUCGUUUCCGACUCUUUUGGAAUGCAAAGGUCUACAAAUAUAUCAAUGCAUUUAGUUGACGAUGGAGCAUUAUUUUCUAACUCUAAAUGAGUGCUUUCAGUUCCUAUAUUGUUCUCUAAUUCUUGCUCAAUUAUUGUGUUUAAAGUGAUAUCAACUUCUCCAGGUUGUGCUGAGCUAGAGCUUAAACUGGUUUCGCUAUUUGUAGAGUUUGAAUCGGUGUGGAUGACUAUAUCAUGAAUUUGAUGUGGAACUUGUUGGCUUGUGUCCGAAUCUUACAUGUUUAAGUUCAUUGUGUUUUGAAGACCUAUAAAGUUUGGAUUCGCAUGGGCAACUUGUUGCUGAUUUACAUGAAAUUCAUGUUGGUCUUGUUGAAUUGGGGAUCUAUUUUCAAUUGAAUCAAGUACAUCAUGGCAACAAUGUGUAGGAUUCUAUAUGUUUGUUGCUUUCUCUUUUUUAGUCCAGAUCUCAACAUCAGGAAAUGUGAUGAUUUCUUAGCUAAUCUGUAUAGGUAAACUUGGCAGACUAUUACUUUUAAAGGAAAACAAAUUCUUAUAGAAAAUUACAUGAUGUGAUAUAUACACCUUGUUUGUUAGUGGAUACAAACAUCCAUACCCCGUAUGUGAAGGGUUGUAUCCAAUAAACACACGAGCAUUUUUUGUGAGAAUUUGUUCUUUUUAUAAAUAGAUAGACAUGGAAAGCAUCGGCACCCAAAGCUUUUAAGCCCUCUGUAAUCAAAAUUUGUACCGAAAAGUUUGUAAAAAGGAGUUUUCAUAUUUAAAGUGGAUGAAGGCAGCUUAUUAAUAGCAUAAACAGCAGUAGAAAAAGCAUCAACCUAAUAUUGUAAUGGUAUAUUUGCAUGAAAGAGUAUUGUCAAAACUGUUUCUACAAUAUGCAGGUGUUUUCUUUCGGCAACAACAUUUUGUUCAAGAGUUGCAGGACAUGACAAUUGAUGUUGUAUUCCACAUUGGUUGAGAUGACUUUGAAAUUCAUUUGAUAUGAAUUCACCUCCUUCAUCACUUUGAAAUAUUUUUAUCCUCGUAUCGAAUCGAUUUUCAACCUGUUUUUGAAACUUGAUAAAAACAUCAAAUAAAUCUAAUUUAUUUUUCAAAGAGUAUAGCCAUGUAUAGCAUGUGCAGUCAUCAACAAAGAUAACAUAAUAGCUAAAAUUUUGAAAGAAAGAAAUAUGAGCAAGACCCUACAACUCACAGUGAAUUUUAUGUAAAGGAACGCUGGAAAUUUUAUUGGAAAAAUUACAAGGAAGUUUGCAGUUCUUUCCCAUUUGACAACUGGAACAUACAUAAUCUUUUGUUAUCCAAUUUGAAACAUCAAUAAGAUUGUUUUUAUUAAAAAAUUUAAUGGACUUGAUUUGGGAGUGUCCCAUUCUUUGGUGCCAUAUGUUGUAAGGUGCUUUGCUACCUUUAGAUAAGUAUAGGGCUGCAUGAUAUCCUUCAUCUAAGGCAUAAAACCAUUUUGUCUUAGUUCCCUUUGCCAAGAUGUUUCCUUGAUAAUCCUUAAAAAUAAAUUUGCUAGAUGAAAACUCAAUAAUACGUGAAUUAUCAUGUGUAAGCUACCCUAUCGAAAGCAAAUUCUUUUUCAAGCCUAGAAUGACAAGCACAUUUUUUAAAUAUAAUUUACUAAUGCCAGUAUCUAUGGAGGUAUUUCCUAUAUGUGAAAUAUUAAGACAAUCACCAUGUCCAACAACAAUGGCAUCAUUCCUUUCAUAAGGUUUAAGUUCAGAAAUUUUACUUGGAAUAUUAACCAUAUGGGCAGUUGCUCCUGAGUCAGCAUAUAAUUUGGCAUCAUUUGCAUCCAGGUUCAUUGUAGCUAAGGCUUGUGGAAUUUCCUCAGUAAGAUGUGAGUAGUCAUACCUACGUUGACAUUCAAUGGUUGUAUGUUUCAGUAAAUGACAAAUUUGGCAUAUGACAGUUUCUUCUUUGGCUUCUUUAGCUUGUUUGGAUUGAUUCUGAAUUUUGUGCCAAUGUUGUCCAGGAUUAUUUUGCUAAGAGUUGCUGCCACUAUUGUCCCAAAUUUCCUUGCCAUGACUGUUGCCUUUGUUGACUUGGAUUAUUGUUUAACUUUUGCCAUGGCUAACUUGCAUUAUUAUUCCAACUUUUUCCACCAUUAUAGUUGGAUUUUUGGCCACUCGAAUCAGCCAAAUUUUGUCCUCCUGCUGGUGUAAAACCACAACCUUUUUCUUGCCUCAUUGGCUAAAAAAGGCUUGAGCUAGAUUGAUUGUAUUUUUCUUUUCUUCUUCAAAAUUAAUAAGAGUUUGUUCAUGAUUUUCAAGGACCAUGACAAACUGCUUAAAUGAAGGAUAAGGUAGUUUUGAAAAUUGAGCAAGUUUAAAGUCUUGAUACCUAUAGCUGAGACCUCUUGCAAGACCAAAGACUUUAUCUAAGUCAUUCACUAGUUUAUUUAUCGUAGCCAAACAAUCACAAAUAUGCUUGUAUUUGUGCACAUACUCUUCAACUGAUUGAGAACCCUUUUUUAGGAUUGCCAAUUUGUCCAUGAGAUGUACCUAUUUUUCUAUAGUCACUGGAAGUAAUUGAUCCUCCAAAGAUGACCAAAUUUGUUGAGCAUUUUCCACUCCAACGAUUCCACUCAUUACCUCUUAUGUCGUCAGGCUUAACAACCAAGAUGUUAACAGCCCAUCAUUGUUGAUCCACAUUGUGACAUCUUCGUUGCCAGCCUUUUCCUCAUCGGACAACAAUAUUUCUUUUGCGGGUCUCUCAACAUCUAUAAUAUGGUGCAGAAUGCCAAGGCUUCUGACCAAAAGGAGAACUUGUGAGCGCCACAACAAGAAGUUCAUGUUGUCUAGUUUAAUUGACACAAGACUUGAGCAUUGAUGGAAAGACUGAAUAUUUAGACUUGGCUCUUUGAUAAAUGAUGAAGAGGUUUUAUUGCUAGUACUCAUGGUUGGCUCUGAUACCAUGAAAAAAAAAAUCUAUAAAGAAUAUAAUUCUUAUAUUUUUCUAAUGAAAUUUAUGGAAUUAUUUACACAAAAUAAAGACAAAGUAGCUGUUGAAAGGCUUAAAAACAUUAAAGGAGAAUAAGUGAAUACUUUCUAAGGUAUUGCACAACAUCUUUAUAAAAUAGGACUGAAAUAUUUCUACAUGAUAUUGGCAUUCAAGUGCAAGUGGAGAUAUUCCUUGAAAAAUUGCUUUGACUUAAGCAAGUUGUGUGGAGUGAUAAACCCAUGGUUGACUUGAUCGUUGAUGACUUUCCUUUUGGUAAUCUUGGUCAACUUGCUUAACAAAUCUCUCUUGUAGAGUUGUUUAGAUUACAGUGUCAUCUAAUCUCGCUUCAUGUGUUAUUAAAAAUCUCAUUGAGUCAUUUGGAUUAGAACACGAUCCAAUCAUUCUUUGAUUAAAGUGUAAGCUAAUCGCAGUGGCUUGGUUCGGUACUAGAACGAUAUCUAGUGUUUCCUACCCUAACAAUUUCGCUUCUACUACUCACUCCAUCAAUCUGGUAACAAAUUCCGUUCAAGUGAUGCCAACAUUAGCCGCACUGUCGCGUCGUACGGUGACGGAAAUUUUACAUUCAUUUCUGGCUCUAGUUGCAAUUUUAUGUAAUUUUUGUGCGGAUGUGUGUUACAUUUAAAGAAUGGUUCAGUCCCUUCAAUUGAAUGUGUUUGGAAAGUCCCAUGAUGCUUCAAUGACCCUUGGAUCAUGGGCGAGUUAAUCCUCACCCUUGAUCAGUUCUUAUGGUUUUUAUAAGAUUAAUAACAACACUUUGGUCAUGACUUAUCAAGUAACGAUAUAGGCUUUUCAAAGAUAAUGAUAUCACAUAGUAAUCAUAUUCCAUUAAUCCUCAAACCACUAUUUGGUCAAUUGGCUGAGGUGAAUAAUUAUUGAUUCUUAAUGAAUCAAAUGUUUAAUUAAAAGUUUCUUAGAUAGUUCAUAAUGACAUCCCAUAGUAAUCAUAGUCCAUUACUCCACAAGCCAUAUCCUUUUCCUUUUCUUUUUCCUGAUUAAGAUAAAUGGCGAAUCGUGUGUGAGAUUUGAUUUUCCGCUAGUUCAGUAGUUCAUAAGAUAAGAUAGUGGAAGUCCACUAGUACAUAAAUUUGGCUAAUAUCAUAUAGAACUAACUCAAGAUGUAAUUGAGAAUUCUUAAUUUUCUAUUCUUAGUCCAUGAACUAUUCUCAACUGAGCUAUGGAAUAUUAUCAAUAAAUAAAAAGAUAUUUAUGUAUGCUAACAGAAACAACUGUGAGAUCAAGAAAUGAAAGCAAAGAAGCAUGGAUAUACUUUUUUUAUCUUAAUUAAUGAAAUGCAAGAAGUGACGAUUUCAAUGAAAAUCACAGUUAAUUUACAAACAUCAAACUUAUUUAUGAGGAUGAAAAACUAUUUUUAGUGACGAAACAAAUUUCUAAAACUAUUCAUCGCCAACACUUUUUUUACCGAUUGAUUUUUUGGCGACUAAUCUAAUUUUUUGUCGCAAUAUGUCCUCUUUACAGAUAAAUCUUUUGUCGUUAAAAGUGAUAAUUAAAUAUUAUUUUUUCUUGACAAAAGUUUUUUUCGUCACUAAAAGUUUCAUUGCUAAACACCAUAUUCUUGUAGUGUGAAGAUAUAGGAAAAAACUAAAAGCAAAAUUGAUUUAAUUAAUUUCUUGGUACCCAACAAAUUGAGAAUCUCAAAGAUAGAGAUAUCAGAUUUAUAUGAGUAUUGAAUCUACAGAUCGACAAAUGAGACCAAACUAAACAGAAAGCCAUAAGUUUUAAAAGUGAAACAAGUUAGUUUAUCUAGCAUUAGCAGCUCCAUUAUUGCAAUACCAACUCCAAGUUCCAGCUAUGACUCGAUAGCCACGUUUGUGUUAUUAGAAGCAUAUGUGUCAACUGUUGAAUGGUACCAACGUUCUUUACCACUUAGUUCCCUAAUUUAUUUAUUAAUUAACUCAUAAUAUAAAUUUUUACCACUUACUCAAUAGAAACCGAGAAAGCCACUUCGAUUCUUAAUAUUUAUCAUUUUUACCAACUAGGUUCAGAAUUUAUUUUUAAUUAUUUAUUACAUCUCUAAUAUACAACAAUAUAAUUUUAUUGUUCAAUUUUUUUGUUGAAAGUUAAAUGUGACUUUUUAAAACGAGAUAACCAGAUCUUUUCCCUUUUGACAAACAUUACAUUGGAUUGACAACAAAAGUAUUAAAAAAAAUAAAAAUGGAUUUGUUUGUUUUGUUACUAUUUUAACGUCAAAGGAUGUGAAAAAAGGUUAACUAUUUGGGACCUAAGUGUUCAAAAUAAAUAAAUAGUAGGGACCAAAAUUUAACACAAUCCUUGUCUGUUCUCUGACUUGGAACCACAAACCUAGCUCACUAAUUGUUGAUUUUCUAGGCAACUAGGGCUUCGUUUGUUUUGCCAAAAAAUGGAAAAGGAUGAGCUAAAGCUGAAAAAGAAAGUUAACAGCUGCUAUUUUUCAAGUAUUUUCUAAUGUGGAAUUUGAUUUGUGUGACUCUGUUGUAUUAAGUACAGUGUAACAGCUACAACAAUCUUUCAUCAAUUAGAUAAUAGCACGAAAGCAAAGUUGAAAGUGUACCAAAGCUUUUUAUGUAUUUCAAAACCAAUAAUUAUUUGUUGGAUGCAUUUUUGUAUUUGUCAGAUAGUACAUGAAUGAUCAGUUUUUAGUGAAUUUGAAAAUGCAUUUGGUUAUUUAUUUUUAAAACAAUGUUUGAAAAUGAAAAGAUGGUAAUGUGCAUGUAUUGGUUAUUUGUCUGCAAAAAUAAGGAAAACGAAAGAGAUGAAGAAAAAAAUAUAAUAAUAAAAGAGUUUAAUUUGUGUCUAUUAAAUUUUAAAAUAUUUUGAUACAUUCAAAAAAAUUACAAGUUAAAUAAAAUCCAGUGAUAUUGUUUAUCUUAAUUUAUGAAUAAUUUGCUAGUUUUGAAAUGUAUGCAAUUUUUUAAAAAUAAACAUAUUUUUUAUAAAACCAGAUAAUAAUAACUAAAUAUUAGUUUGACUGGCUUAAAAAGGUUUAUAAAUUUUUCAAAAACAGUUGAAUUAAAUAGAAAGAGGUGUCCCUAAGGACAUGGCCAAGUGGUUUUUAAAUAGGUUUAUUUAGUUAACCACUUGGGUAUGCUGAAUCUUGGAGGAGAUAAGGGAUUGAAAAAAAAAAAAAAUUGUCUUUGCCAACACCUUUUGAAAUAUAGAAAAGACGUUAAAUCGUACUAAUUAUGUUUGGUACUUUAUAUUAUUGCAAAAUGAAGAAUGAUGAGUGUAAAACAAUAGCAAACGCCCCUUUAGCUUCUAUCACGUUAAAUUAUAAUUUCAAAGGAAUGAAUCAAUGAGAUUCCACAUUUACUUCCUUUUAUUCAUGUUAAACAACUGUUAACACCUCUUUUGGUUUGUUAAGGCUGAUAACAACGAGAACCGAGAGUACUGACUUUAAUUUCAUCUUUCUUAGAAUUUGUUUUUACAAUCACUCACGUCCCUAACAAAUGUUUAAUACUUUAUAGUGUUAGAAUAGACAAAAAAAUCACAGUUGAAGCGUAAACACUUUUAUUCCUAGAGGUAUGACUUCUGCUAGUAAUUAAACGGAAACAUAAUAAUUGACAUGAAUUUAUUAUUACCACUUAUGUCCCUAAUACAUAUUUAGUACUUUAUAUAUUCUUUAUCAUUUUAUCUUUCGUUAUUAAUUUCAUUUUAUUUUAGAUGAAUAUUCGUGAUAAAUAAUGCAUUGUUACUCGUCACACAUAUAAAGAACGGUUAUCCAGUCCUUAUCUUAUUUUUCGUAUGUCCAUAUAUAUAGGGCAAGCAAUGGAAGGCUUUCGCACCAACUAAAUAUCAUAGCUAGAGGUGAUUUAUUUUGAGGAUUAUUGAAAGCAUGAAGCCUCUCUUUUUUCCCUGCACGCUCUCUUUACUUAUCUCGGUAUGCUUUCUGAGUUAGAAUGUUAUUACAACUAACUCUACAUUUCUGAAAAGUUUUGAAUCAUUAAUUUGCGUGCUCUAAUUGCUGUGUUUCUGUUAAUUAUUCUCUUGUUGCCCUGUUAUUUCAGAGUGCUAGCACAAUUGAUGCAAGGAAGGACCUGAAGGAAUAUACGAGAAUUGUCAUGAAAGGGCAGUCCAUGCCUGAAUCAAUCCAACGCCUACUUCCCGUGGAUCCUGCCACUUCUAGCACCAAUGACAUAGCUGAUCAAAAGCCAAAUCCAUCAACUUUAUCCAGUAAUGUUCAACUGUCCAAGAUGAAAUCUUUUUCCAAGAAUUUUACCCCAAGGCCAAAUGUUUUUACCUACCCGUCCUACCAAAGGCAGAUUUUUCUUCACCAUACAUCUUACAACAGCCAUAACAAUAACCCGUCUAUGGUGAAAUCCUUUUCCAAGAAUUUGAACCCACGAAAGAUUAUAUUUUUUUUUACGAUGUUAAUCAACCAUCUAAAGUGAAAUCUUUUGCCAAUAUUUUUGACUCAAGGUUGAAUACAUCUUUGUACGGCGGCAGUAAUCAACCAUCUGAAGUAAAAUUAUUUGCCUAAGAAUUUUGAUCCAGGGGUUAGAAGCGGAAGUUUAUGACAUCGAUAAUUAACCAUUUUCCAAGUGAAAUCCUUUGGUAUAAUGACAAGUUGAAACCUAAUAAUAAGAUAAAUUGAGGCUGAUGGUCAAAGGAAACUCAUGUUUUCAUUAACGGAGGGCAUUAAGCCCAUAUCAUUGUCCCAUAAUUACAAGACUCAUCUUUUGAUCUGCUUCUUUGAUCUUUCCUAAUAAUAAGCUAUAAAUUGUGUUUAAAAAAAAAAAUUAAAUGAGUGGCGGGGGCUUAGCGUUCUACCUUUGGAGAAAUUCUAGAAUAUACAGAGGUACCAUAUCAACCAUAUAGUAAGCAAGUGAUGCUAUGACAUGUGUGUAUUUGUUUUGAAAAAUUAUUAUGCAAGUGGUGGUUAUAUUAAAUUCAACUACACAUGUCAUUCAAACAUCAAUUAGAUGUAAUACAUUAGAGGUAUUCUAAAAUUUCUUCUACCUUUCAUGUGUAAAAGAUGAUUGACUUAAAUAAAUGGCUACGUGUAACAUUUUCUUUUAUCUUUUCUCAACCUAUUAAUUUUUGUCUAAAUAUUAUAUUUCUAAAGAAUUCAAUUUGUUAAAGUUUUUAGUGUAUAGACGAUGAUGGGCCUGUGUUAAUGAGUUUGAAGUUCAUUUCUUGAAAAUAAAUUUAUAAAAGAAAAGGGUUUGAAACCGGAUGAGAGGAGGAAUUCUAGCUCUGAAGUAGUUAUAUUAAAUUUAAUUAUAUAUAUCAAACAUACAUUAAUUAAUUAUAAUAUUUCUAAUGUAUCUUAGAAUUUCUCAUUAUAGAGAAGAUCCAAAAUCGGUUGCCUAACUCACCCGAGAGGAGCCGGCUGCACAAAAAAUUUUACUAUUAUUUAAAGAUAAUUCUAACAAUGCUAAAAGCAUUUCCGUCCCCAUAAAAUUAUUCUAUAUAUCCACUUAUUUCAAUUUCUACUUGUUUUGAUCUGGGAGUUGUUUGUUUAAAGAAAAUUACUCCAACGCAAGAGGUGAGUCCGAGUCCACUAGUCAGUAAGUGCCUACAUAUAAUUAGCCUUUCUUGAAACUUACUUUUGUGAUUAGUUUCACAUAUUUUCCUCUGACAAGAUUAUAAUUCAAUUCUCUUUGAUUGCAUAUUUGUUACUCUACUCAGAAUUUAUUGAGCUUCUUUCAAAGGAUUGCAAAGAAGGGGCUGCUUUGCUUCUUUGUAUGAUACAAACUUUAUGUGUCAAAAACAAGGACACGGUUGUUAAUUCUCACAAUCAUGCGAAUGAAAGUGCGUAAAAGACUAUUUUUUCUCCAAGUGAAUCUUUGGAUGAUCAGAAUUUUUCCCAGGUGAAUCUGUAUAUGAAUAUAAUGCUGGAUUAUUGUCACUUGAUCAGUACAUAUUGUCCAUAGAAAUUAGCUUAGAGACUAAUGUUUAAAAGACACAUUAUUUAAGUCUUCCGUAGUUAAGUUCUUAUUUUUAUUUAAUUUCUUUAUCAAAUUAUUUGCUAAAGGAGUUACCAUACCAAGGACAUUUUAAUCCAUAUUUUAGUCCAUUAGUUUACAUAGUUUUUGAUUAUUUACAUCCCAUGGGGGACAAUAAUUAUAAUAAUGUAACUCUUAGGCCCUUCAAUCUUUCAGAAGCAGAGGAUUUCUUGUCGUGGGCAAGAGAUUAUAGAGUGAUUCAGGCUUUCAUUAAUGUAAAUUUAAGAUCAGAAGAUGGCAUCAAAUUCUUCAAAAGCAAAUUUGUAAGGCACACAGGGUUCAAAGCAAUAUGCCUCAACAAGCAGCCAAUAGGUGUUGUGCGCAGAACGUGGAAUCAAGCAUACCAAAUAAUUACAAAAAAAUAAAGGACACAAGAAUUACAUGGUUUGGCAAUAUGCCUACGUCCACGGGAGCAAGAGAAAAAUAAUUGUAUUAUUAACAAUUAUUUGAGUACAAAUUUGAGUAAAGAAAUCUCACUUUCCUAGAACCCAAAUACACCCAGUACUCUCACACACACUCUCCAAUUGCUCACACUCUCAGAACUCUCAAAAGUUUAAAAACUAAUAAGCUUAACAAAUUUUUUGGGAUGAUUUAGAAUUAAGAAAUGGCUUCAAUUUAUAGGAUUCAAGCUUGUACUAUUCCACCUAACCCAAACACUAUUCCAUCUAGCCCAUACAAAUAUGUCAAGGAGUUUGGUAUUUCUUUGGCCAAUCUUGAAAAAUUCUCCAAAUUUGAAUCCAACAUUUUGGCUAACCUUGACAUUUGUUAGCAAAAUGCAAGUGGUUUUCUUAUUUUUCAACAAUUCUCCACCUCGGCAAAGAUUUGUCCAAAUCUGAGCCGACUACCAACGGCUCAUCAUCCCCAAAGUGGCUGCAUCUUUGUGACUGCCUACGUACCCAAAAUUUGAGAUCAAGCCAAUCGUAGUUCAAAAUUCCCGAAGGACAUAUCUUAACACAAUCGAAGGAUUUGAAUUAGUUUCAAGCAAUGUUGAAACUUAACUCCAGAAACUACAUUCGUCAACAUAUCUGAUGGAUUAUCUUUGGUAUCAAUCUUUCUCAACAACACAACACCGCUCUCGAUAAUCUCUCUCACAUAAUGAUAUUUCACAUCUAUGUGCUUCGUCCGAGCAUGAUAUGUUUGAUUCUUCGCAAGAAAUAUUGCACUUUGAUUAUCACAGAAGACCGCAAUGUUCUCCUGAAUUACUCCUAAAUCACCUAACAAGCCCUUCAACCAGAUAGUUUCUUUUACAACUUCAGUUGUUGCCAUAUACUCUGCUUCCGUAAUGGACAGAGUAAUUGUCGAUUGCAAAAUCAACCUCCAGCUAACCGGACCUCCACCCAAUGUGAAUACGUAACCCGUUGUUGAUCUUCGCUUGUCAAGGUCUCCAGCGAAAUCAGAAUCACAAUACCCAACACAUUGUUGACCACAAUCCUUCUUGAAUAAUAACCCAACAUCAACUGUCCCAUACAGAUAUCGGAGAAUCCACUUUACUACAAGCCAUUGAUUUUUACCCGGAUUGUGCAUGUAUCUACUAACCAUGCUCACUGUUUGAGAUAUAUCGGGCCUUGUGCAAACCAUAGCAUAGAUAAGACUACCCACAGCACUAGCAUAUGGAACACGAGUCAUGUAAUCGCGCUCCUCUUGAGAUCUGGGACAUGAAGAAGAGCUUAAUUUGAAAUGAAGAGCUAAAGAUGUACAUACCGGUUUAGUUUUGUCAUCUAUGCCGAAUCUUUCUAGCACUUUCUUCAAAUAAGACUCUUGAGUCAACCAUACGCUCCCAUUCUUCUUGUCUCUACGAAUCUCCAUCCCAAGUAUUCUCUGUGCAUCACCCAAAUCUUUCAUCUCGAACUCAGAAGCCAGCUACUUCUUUAAUCUUUCGAUCUCAUCUCUAAUCUUCGAAGUUAUAAGCAUAUCGUCGACAUAAAGUAACAAAUAGAUUAAAGCUCCAUCUAGUAGUCUUCUAAAGUAUACACAAUGAUCGUGUUCACUUCUGGUGAAUUUCUGCCCUUGUAUAAAUUGAUCAAAUCUUUUGUACCACUGCCUUGGCGAUUGCUUCAGUCCGUACAAAGAUUUAAUCAACCUACACAUAUGAUUCUCCUUUCCAGUAACUAUGAAACUAUAAGGCUGAAUCAUAUAGAUUUCUUCCUCCAAAUUUCCAUGUAAGAACGCCGUCUUAACAUCCAAUUGAGCCAACUCUAACUCAUAUUCUGCAACUAAGGCAAGUAGGAUACGAAUGGAAGUAUGUUUUACAACUGGAGAGAAAACUUCAUUGUAGUCAAUACCUUCAUUUUGAGCAAAACCUUUUGCCACAAGCCUUGCCUUGUAUCGAGGAGUUGUUUGAUUCGCAGAUCCUUUCUUUUUGGUGUAGACCCAUUUAUUGCCAAUAGCCCUUUUUCCCUUUGGUAACUUUACAAGUUCCCAAGUCUGGUUUUGAUGGAGAGAUUUCAUCUCUUCCUCCAUGGCUAACUUCCACUGAUCACUUUCACUGCUGUGUAAUGCUUCACCGAAAGUAUUAGAGAUGUCAUCAUCAAUAACUGGAAGUGCAUAAGCUACCACCAUAUCUUUAUUAAGCCAUUCGGGUUUCUUUAUCUCUCUUCUUGGCCUCCUUGUUGCUAUAAAAUCAUCAUUAUCUACAUCAUCAAUUGUUUCUUCAUUUUGUGGGACAUCAGAAGAAACAACCUCUUCUUCAACUUUAGGUGUCACCUCCAUAGUUGAACCCUUCUUUGAUGUAGAACUAACUGGUAUAUAUGGAGUUGCAUCAAACUCCACCCGCUGCAAUACCUCUUUGGUCUUGUUCUCCACCUGCUGCGAACUUGAAGCUUUCAUCAUUGAAGCUUCAUCAAAUGUGACAUCUCUGCUACACACAAACUUUUUAUUUUCGAGAUCUCAAAGCUUGAAACCCUUUACUCCACUUUUGAAUCCCACAAAGAUAGCUUUUUUAGCACGAGGAUCCAGUUUACCAUCUUUGACAUGAUAAUAAGCUGGACACCCGAAUAUACGAAGGAAAUCAUAGUCUUGUGCAUGCUUUCCAGACCAAAUUUCCAUAGGAGUUUUACCUCCAAUUGCAGCAGAAGGGAACCGGUUUACCAAGUGACUUGCGUAGCUCACAGCUUCAGCCCAAAACUUUUUAUCUAAACCAGCAUUAGAUAACAUACAUCGUACCUUCUCCAGUAAAGUACGAUUCAUACGCUCAGCCACACCGUUCUGUUGCGGAGUAUGUCUCACCGUGAAAUAUUUUUUAAUACCCUCGUUCUGUCAUACUUGCAAGAAUUGAUCAGAAGUAUAUUCACCCCCAUUAUCAUAUCGUAAUACUUUGAUCUUUCUGCCAGUUUGAGUCACCACCAAUUUCUUCCAUUUCACGAAAAUCUCGAGAACCUCAUCUUUUGCUCGCAUGGUGUACAGCCACACACGUCUAGAGAAAUCAUCAAUAAAUGUAACAAAAUAAUGGCUUCCACCAAUUGAUGCAGUCUUGAUUAACUGUGAACAUAUUCAAGGAUCUUAUAAGUAUCGUGAUUAGCUGUACCAAACUUGACCCUUGUUUUCUUGCCUACUACACAAUGCUCACAGAAAUUUAAUUUACAGGUUUUGGUACCUUUUAAGAGUCCAUGCCUCAUCAGAGUUUGUAAAAACUUCUCGCCAGCAUGUCCUAAUCGUACAUGCCAUAACUUGGUGGUGUCACUGUGCACCUUAACAACAUUUGUUUCAUCAGUUGUGCCUCUCUUCAAAUAGUAUAGAUUGUGACACCGAACCCUUUGCAGAAUCACCAUAGCCCCAUGUGUAAACUUCAUUGUGCCAUCUCUAAUGGUAACCUUGUAGCUUUUAGCUUCCAAAGCACCCACAGAAAUUAGAUUUUUCUUUAAAGCUGGAACAAAUCUGACUUCUUUGAGUUCUCUGAUUAUUCCAUUAAACAUUUUGAGUUGAAUUGUUCCUAUCCCCAUUAAACGACAAGGUUGAUCAUUCCCCAUCAUAAUUGCACCAGAUUCCAAUUCGCUGGAAUUCGUAAACCAUUCCUUAAUGGGACACAAAUGAUAGGUUGCUCCAGUAUCAAGUAUCCACUUGCUCGAACUAGCUACGUAUGCUGCAUGAGUAAUACUUAGUGAAUAAUCAGAGUCUUCAUCUUUUCGUGCCAUGUUUGCUGCUGUUGGUUUCUUCUCAUCUCUCUUUUGAGCUUUUUGACAAUCUUUCCUCCAAUGACCCUUUUCAUGACAAAAGGCACACUCGUCUCGAGCUAUAUUUUUGCUUCUCGAUUUGGAUCGAGAAUUCUUUCCACCACGCUUUCUCUUUUUCUCCAUCGCCCAAUCUCUGCUUACCAAAGUUUCAGACGAUGCUCGUUCAGAAUUUUUAUUAUUAUUUCAAAUCUCUAAGUUAGUCAAUGCUGUGCAAACAUCUUUGAAGAUGAUCACACUUUUUCCAUAUAUUAAGGUAGUCACAAAAUGACUAUAUUCCUCUGGUAGUGAGUGUAACAGAAUCAUAACCUUGACUUCAUCCUUAAUAUCUUCAUCAAGAUUCUUCAAAUCAGCAAGUAACUUUUCAAAUCUUGAGACAUGAUCUUGCAUUGACACCCUAGGCUUCAUUCGAAAACCAUAUACUUGGCUCAUUGCAUGAAGGCGAUUUUCAGGACUUUUUAGCAAGUACUUCUCCUCUAAUGUAUGCCACAAAGUCAUCGCACACUCCUCAUCCUUCACCAAUAUUUCACCUCCUUGGUCAAACACGAUUUGAUCUGACCACAAGCUUUUUCAUUCAUACGAUCCCAAAUUUCUUCAUCAUACAAGUGUCUUUUAUUUUUCAGAACAACAUCGAGAUCGAUUUGAAUAAGGGCAUCCAUAACUUCGCGCCUCCACAUGCCGAAGUUGAUUUUCCCAUCAAACUUUUGAACAUCGAUCUUCUGGCCUCCUAUAACAGGUGCUGAAUAGCGAUUUGACAAAUCUCACCUCCCACCUGAAGUGUCUCCUAAAAUAGUCUCGGUAGAUCUCUCCCCAAUUCUGGAAGUUUCACCUUUUACCAUUUUUUUAACGAACUAUUUCCACUUGAAAAACAAUCUCUAUGAUGUUAAUUUCAUGUGAAUAAAUGCACCAGGAAAGUUCCCAGGAGACUGGAUGGGAACUCGGUCCUAAUUAAAAACCAGAAUCUUUAGACUCUUAUCGCCUUUGUUGACAGAACUUUCCUAAACAUACAAAAAUACACACCACUUACAAUAGACUGUCUCCCAAGUACAAAUGGUUAUCUCCACUGUAUUCGUGAACAGUACUGUAUACGGGAAUAGUACCGUAUACGUGAACAGUAUCGUAUCCCCCUAAGUACAAACUGUCGGCUCUGAUACCACUUGUUGUGCACGGAAUGUGGAAUUAAGCGCACCAAAUAAUUACAGAAAAAUAAAGGACACAAGAAUUACGUGGUUCGGCAAUAUGCCUACGUCCAUAGGAGCAAGAGAAAAAUAAUUGUAUUAUUAACAAUUAUUUGAGUACAAAUUUGAGUAAAGAAAUCUCACUUUCCCAGAACCCAAAUACACCCAGUACUCUCACACACACUCUCCAAUUGCUCACACUCUCAGAACUCUCAAAAACUUAAAAACUAAUAAGCUUAACAAAUUUUUUGGGAUGAUUUAGAAUGAAGAAAUGGCUUCAAUUUAUAGGAUUCAAGCUUGUACUAUUCCACCUAACCCAAACACUAUUUCAUCUAACCCAUGCAAAUAUGUCAAGGAAUUUGGUAUUUCUUUGUCCAAUCUUAAAAAAUUCUCCAAAUUUGAAUCCAACAUUUUGGCUAACCUUGACAUUUGUUAGCAAAAUGCAAGUGGUUUUCUUAUUUUUCAGCAAUAGGUGCCAUUGCAGUAACACCUUAUCCUGGAGAAUCAAAUAGGUGCAGGGCUGCAAUCAGCUGUGCUAUACACCCAAACUACUGGAGCAAAAGGAUUGGAGAAAGAGCUGCGAGAAUGGCGGCUUGUGCUAUAUUUGAAGAGUGGCCACAUUUGGAGAGACUCGAGGGUUUGACGGAAGUUGAUAACUUUGCCAUACAGAAAGCGGCUCACAAGGUUGGAUUCAAGAGAGAAGGUGUCCUGCGGACGUACUGUAUUUUCCAGGGAAAAGCUACCGACAUUGUCAUGCUCAGUCUUCUCUCUACUGAUGUCAUUCCGAGGCGGAUCCGGGCUAAAUUAUAAUUUUGUAGCAACAUCUCGCGUCUUUGUUGUAUCAGGCAAUUCUCUUUGUAAUGUAAAUUAAAUGUCUUUCAUUGCAACAGUACUCAAGUUUAGUUGAAAAGCAGACCUUAUUUCCUCUUCCAAAACGAAAAACAUACAAUUGUUUGGCCACGGCUAUAACGCAUCUGAUGCAUUGAUAGAUCGGUCUAACUAAAUGUGGAAUAGUUAGUCCCAGUUCCUACGUGUAGCACCAGCUAUGAUAGAUGAUGGUUCAGCUUGCUGUAAAAGCCAUUAAAGGUGGUUUUUUGAUAGGUCCCAAUCAAAGUUAAAAAUUUUUUUUAAUGAAUUUAGUAUUUUACUUAGGCUGAGAAUAGACCAUAAUAAUUUUAAUUAAAAUAAACUUGCUUCAUUAAUGACUAUAAAGGAAUUUAAAUACAAAAAAGAAAUUAACAACUAUUUCUAAUUAUCAGAUCACAUCUCUAAGAAAUAGGCACUAACGGCUAAUGACACAAGGCAGCAGAAAAUUAUUAAAUGCAACAACUACUGGACCUAUUCUUAAGCAAACAAGCUUGUGGACAUGAGCAACAACUUAGACCAAGUCUUUAGAAAUCAAGAAUCUCUUUGAAUGGCUCCAUCCCAACAUCCCAUUUCUUUCCGUGGCUUAUGCAAUUUACGUCCCAUGCAUCACGGCUCUUAGUCAAAAUACUUUGGGUUCUUUAUUGGCACUCUUGGGAUCUUCUUGGCAUAUCAAUACCCCCUCCUUUGGCCGAAAUUCCUCAACUUUCAUAUCGAGGAACUUGUCAUUCACCUCUUGAGUGUUCUCCCAUGUAGCAUCAUCUAGUGGAAGUCUUUUCCAUUUGAUCAAACUUUCUUCGACAAAUUUGGACCCUUUUUUAUCCAACGGGUGUCCAAUAUUUGCUUCUGCUUCCAUAAUUAAAUCACUAUCUUCAGCCAUUGGAGGUAACUCAGUACUAGUAGCAAUUGUUUCUCCUAACUUUUUCUUCAAAAGAGACACAUGAAAGACCGGGUGAAUGCGAAAGCCUUGUGGAAGCUUGAGCUUGUAGGCCACCAUUCCAAUUUUUUCUUCAAUCUGAUAUGGCCCAUAAAACUUGCUUGCAAGCUUUUGAUAGGCUCUUUUAAACACAUAUUGCUAGCGAUAGGGAUGAAGCUUCAAAAACACAAAUUCGCCCACUUGAUACUCAAUGUCCCGACGUUUUGAAUCUACUUGCUGCUUCAUUCGGUUGUUUGCUGCAUGUAAAUUAUCUUUAAGCUGUUGUAGCAAGGCAUCUCGAGAAGCUAAGCUUUGGUCAACUUCAUUCACUGGAUAGGAACCUUCGUGGUAAGGUGGAAUUAUUGGUGGGGCCUUCCAUGUAGAGCUUGGAAGGGAGUCAUCCUUGUACAUGCAUGAUAGGUAGUAUUGUACCAAAACUUAGCCCAUGGAAGGAAAGAAUGCCACUUACGAGGCCGUCGGUAAGCAACGCAUUGAAGAUACUGUUCAGUACAACAUUUUACAACUUUCAUUUGACCAUCUAUUUGUGGAUGGUAGGCGGAACUCAUCUUCAACUGUGUGCCCGACAUUUUGAAGAACUCUCGUAAAAAAUGACUAGUGAACACCAGGUCGCAAUCACUUAUGAUGGACUGAGGCAUGCCAUGAAGCUUCACUACUCCUUCAAUAGAUUUUUCAGCCACCACUUUUUUUGUAUACAGAUGGGAAAAAGCUAAGAAAUGGGCUGAUUUACUGAACCUGUCAACCACAACAAAAAUUGAAUUUUUAUUGUUUGAGGGUGGAAGGCCCUCGAUGAAGUCCAUAGUAACAUCUCCCAAAUGUGACAAGGAAUUGGAAGUGGGUGUAAAAGUCCAGCUGGUGAUAAAGUCUCAGUUUUAGUUCGUUGGCACACUUCACAAGAGGCAAUAUAAUUCUUCACUGCUUGGUGCAUGGAUGGCCAAUAAAAUUGUUGUUCUAGUCUUUUGUAUGUUCUCAAUAUACCCGAAUGCCCACUCAAUAUACCCGAAUGCCCACCUAUUGGAGAAUCAUGAAAUUCUUACAAGAGUUGCUAGAUGAUGUUACAAUGAAGAGGCACCACCACUCGAUUUUUGUAACAAACCAGCCAGUUUCGCCUACUGUAAGGAAAGCCUGGGUUUUUAGUUGCUUGUUUGCUACAUGUAAGGAUUGUCACUAGCUUCAGCUUUGAUUGUAUCCCAUAAUUGAGUUUGAGACACAAACAAGGCACUAAGACUAGGACUACCUGCCACCCGUGAUAAUGCAUCAGCUGCAUUGUUCUCUAGGCCUGGUUUAUAUUUGAUUUCAUAAUCAUAUCCAAGCAAUUUAGUCACCCAUUUUUGUUGCUCAGGUGUUGCUAUGCGUUGCUCCAACAAGUACUUAAGGCUGUGUUGAUCAGUUUGGAUAUAAAACCUCCGGGCCAGCAAAUAUGGUCUCCAUGUUUGAAUUGCAUGAAUAAUUACCAACAUUUAUUUGGCAUAAACAGACCAUGAACGCUUGGUGGUGCCUGAGGCCCGACUCAUAAAUGUAAUAGGCUUCCCUUGUUGAGUCAGAUCCGCCUCGAUGCCGUCCCCUGAAGCAUCUGAUUCAAUGAUAAAUGGUUCACUGAAGUUUGGCAUUGUAUGUGUUGGUGUAGUAGUGAUGGUCUUCUUGAGUUCUUGAAAGCAUUUUCAGCUUCAUCUGACCAUCCAAAAUGUCCCCUUUUUUACGAGGUUGGUGAGGAGGGAUGUUAUGAUGCCAUAGUUGCGGACGAAUUUUGGAUAAUAACCUGAAAUUCCUAAAAAUCCACACAGCUCAGAGACAUUAGUAGGCCUAGGCCAAUUCAACAUAGUUUUAAUUUUUUCUUGAUCCGCCUUGACUCCUUGUGGUGUUACAAUAUGCCCUAAUUAGUAUUCGAAUUCUUGUAGAUCGAAGGCACAUUUAUUCAAUUUGACAAAAAAUUGGUGUUGCCUUAAUAUUUCAAAAGCUUUUCCAACAUGCUCAAGACGCAUGGUCCAAUUGGGGCUAUAAAUUAAAAUGUCAUCAAAUAAAACUGGUGCAAAUUUUUGGAGGUAAAAGCAAAAUAUUGAAUUCAUAAUUGCUUGAAAAGCAGAUGAAGCAUUAUAAAGACCAAAUGACAUAAAUUAGUAUUCACCAUGACCAUUAUGAGUACAAAAGGCAGUUUUAUAAAUGUCCCUAAUUUUAACAUGUCCUUAACUUGUUUUUCAAUUUUAGCUUCAAAAUAGGCAUACCUGUAUGGUUUCACAUUAAUGGGCUCGGUUCCCCUUUUCAAAUUAAUGUGAUGAUCCACUUCUCUUGAAAGAGGGUGUUGCGUCGGCUCUUGGAACGAGUCUUCAAAUUCCUCCAAUAAUUUUUUCACCUCAGGAUUGACAUCUUGUGACGGAAGAGUGGCUAUGGAUUGAAGACAAAUACCAAGCAUGGAGUUCCCUUAUCGUAUAUCUUUGGAAAUGGCUUUCAUUGAUGAGGGUUGAAUUGAUUGCAUAUCAAUCCCUUGUAAUUUUUGAGUUUGGUUGUUCCACUAGAAUUCCAUUGUUAAUUGCUUUUAAUUAUAUGCUACCGUUCCCAAUUGCUCUAACCAAUAAACACCUAAGGCCAAGUCCAACCCAAUUAAAGGUAAAGCAUACGAUCUUGGUUAGUAAACUUACAUAUCCCAAUACAACGGCCACGGCAGUAUUGAUUAAUAACUCUCAAUACCGAUGCUGGAGCAAAGCUUGCAGGGUAAUCGUUACUGAUAUGAAGCUCUUUAUUGUUUUCUAGGUCUUGAUAUACUUAUUUAUUUAUUUUUUCACAUAAAACUAUGGGGGACUGUCACUAAAAUAAUUAUGCUGAUGAGGAAAGAAGAACAAUAUCAGCGAAUAAAUGAAGGAUGACAGAUCAAAUGAAAUACUCACUUUUAUCGACGGCAUCUAAGAAAUUCUAUAUAUUGUUAUACAUGUUGCCCAUCAUUUUAAACCAACAUAAUAGGAUAGAUUAGAUAUAAAAUUAAAUUAUAAUUUUAAAGUCGGGUGGAUUAUUUGAACCUAUUUUUUUACUGCAUUUUCCUUUAUGGUGGACCAUCAUUAAAAUUGAAAAUAUCUUAUUCUACUUAACAAACCCUUAUAUUUUCCAAAAGUAACCCCUUCUUCUCUCAUUCACGCUUUUGUUUGUAUGUGAAAUAUAACACUCAAAUUUCAUCAGGUAAGAAUUUUGCCCAACUUUGAAAGGAAAAAAUAAGAAAAAGGGCUUAUCCUUCAAUCAAACCCACCAAAGAGUAAUAAAUAUAGAAAGUUAUUUUCUCAAAAUGCUACAAUGCUACGGGGCUGACUAUGUUGUAACAGUGGUAUGAUACCAUAUUUUUUGUCUUUUUGUAAUCUAACCAUUGGAUCCAAGGUAAGAAUGGCAAAAACAAAUGCAACGGCAAGGAUGUAUUUAUUAGGUUGUUUUCAUUACAAUCCCUCUUGUUUUUUGAAAUGUCAAGAAAAAAUAUAAUAAUUAUUAUUUUAUUUAUUGGCUUAGUUGUUAAAUGAUAUGAAUAAGGAAGAAGUAGGAAAUUUUAAGAGGACUUUUAUUAUUGAUAUUAGGCAAUUACAAUGCAUGAUUCAAUACUCGUUUAUAAGAGCCACAGCCCAUUAAAUAUAAAAUAAAGCCAAUGUUUACUUCCCAACUUCAAAAAGAUAAAUCUUUUUAUUUAUUCCACAAAUUCAUAAAUAUUUCAUAAUUAUCUAAUUAUUACUAUCAUUUCUAGAUCUACUCUCAUUAUUUAAAUUUAUUAUUAAUUAUAUUUAAUUAUUAUUUAUAUAUUAAUUAUUAAUAUAUAAAUAUAAUAUGAUAUAAUAAAAUAAUAUUAUAAUAUAAUUUAUUUUUAAUAUUAUAAUUAUUAUAGUAAAAAUAAAAAUAUAAUUUAGAUAUAUUUAAUGUUUCAAUUAAGGAAAAAGUUAGUACAUUGUAGUGAAUUAUAUAAUUGACCACAAUCUAGCUUUCAAAACUUCCAAACAUAGGUAAGCAAUAAAUUAAUGUGAACAAUAUUAUAACAAUAUACAAUACUCUGUUCCAAACACAUUCUAAUGGUGCAUUUAUUAAAUAAGAAUUGAAAUGAACUGGAAUUGUAAUAAGAGAUUUGAAUCAGAAUAAGUUGUUUAUUUGAGCUGUAGGAAUUGGAAUUGAAAUGAACAACAUUCCCAUUGAUGUGUUUACUUUAUUUUAGAAUUGGAAUAGACUAUUAUAAGUUACUAAAAUGCCAUUUGUUAAUUGUGUCCCUAAUAUUAUUUGUAUAUAUUAUAAUUAAAACAAUAAAGAUAAUAAUAAUAAUAAUAAUAAUAAUAAUAAUAAUAAAAACUAAAAAUAAUAAUGAUGAAAAUAAUGUUAAUUAAAAAAUAAUAAAAUUUAACAACAAUAAUAAUAAUAAUAAUAACAAAAACAACAAAAUUAACUGAAAUAAUAAUAUUAAUAAUUAAAAUAAUUAAAAUUAUUAAUAAGUUUUAAUAAUUAUAAUAUUAAUAAAAAUAAUAACAACAAUAAUUAAUAAUAAUUAAACUAAUAGAGUUAAUAUAUUUUAAUAAAAACAAUAAUUUUAAUCAUAACAAGAUAAAUAUUAAUAAUAAUGAAUUACUUACGGUAUGAUAACAAUUAAAAUAAUAAAAGUAAUAAUUUUAAUAAUAAUAAUAAUAAUGACAGUAAUAAUCAUAAAUAAUAAUAAUUAUUAAAAUAAAUAAAAAUAAUAAAAUUUAAUGGUAAUAAUCUUAUAUAAUAAUAAUGAUAAUAAUAAUAAUAAUAAUAAUAACAACAACAAUAAUUAAAAUUCUUUUCAAAUGCCAUUUUAUCCCAAAAAAUGACUUAUAUGUAAAAGCUUUUAACUUCUUGUGCCUAUUGAAUUUUACAAAAAAUAUAAGGUGGUGUAGUGUAAUCAAACACAAAAGGACAAAAGUAGUGGUAUGUUGCAACUGUUGCAACAUAGGCCUACCCCCAAUGCUACGAGAAUUCUUAUGAAGGCAAUGAAUUGAUUUUAUUUUAUUUUUUCGGAUGCAAAAGCUAAUGAAUUGAUUAAUAAUAAUUAAUAUAUAUUUGAAAAAUAACAUAAAGUGGCUAUUUUGAAGCCAAUUUUGAGCAAGAUGAAUAUUGGAAAUAUAUACUUACAUAGAUGGUUCAUAGUCUCCUUUAUUAGCUCUUUGGAACAAACCAUAUCGAACUGGUGCGUGACUAAAUAAGAAAUUGGAUCCUAAAGAGCACUCAUUGGUGUGAAAAAAAUGAAGAAAAAAUCUCACAUGGAAUUUUAACUAACUGAUGCCCUCUCUUGAAACAUAUAUAUAUUGGUUUCCAUGUUCAUUUGCAAAAGACACCAAUAUCCAAGCGAUUUUUGCUAUUCUCUUUUAAGUAAAUACCUUUAGUUUUAGGCUUUAAUGUGAUAGAAUUUAAACGUCUGUUUGAAAUUCUCUCGAAUAGAGAGGUUGUGCUGCCAUCACUAUUUAAGCACCAUGGUAAAAGUGGCGUAUAUGUUUUAAGGACAUUUUAUAUUUACAAGUCUCGAGUGAGUGGUUUUUGUAUUAUUAUAUAUUGUUAAUUUAUCUAUUAUAUUUUUGCUAUUUCAAUUUAUUUUUAUUAUUAUUAUGAACUUGUGAUAAGUGUGUAAGAGAUUUAUUAGUAAGUUGAAGUACACUAAAAAGAUUUUGUCACUAAGUAGAGCUUUUAGUAGUAGAACUUUUAUAAAUAGAGUUUUUACCCCAAAAAAUUUAUUUGUUUGGUUGUCAAUAAGAGUUUUUAUUAAAAAUCCAUGAAAUUACUUUAAGAGGCAAGUUUUUUUAAGUUACGUUAUGAAAAGAAUAAAAUAAGAUUGUUAAAUAAGUAGAGGAUAUUUUAGAUAUUUUAACAUUUAAAAAAAGCUUUUCAACCUCUACUCCCAAAAGCCCAAAAUUUGAGUUUUUACUAGUAGAGGCAAAGUAGUUUAUUUAAGCUCUAAAAGUUCUACUAAAAAAACAACCAAACAACAAUAAAAAUUAUGAUAAGAGCUUAUGAGAUUAAAUAAUCACUUAUGGCCAUUAGAUUAAUCAUUCUAAACAGGCACUAAGACUAUAAAUAUAUUGUUUAAGAAGUCUGAGUUUCAAACAAGACCAUUAUAAACCUUUCGAUCUUUCUUGGAAAUCUAACUAGUGUGUUUUUACAUAAAAAGUGUGUAGUCUUAUAUCACUUGCUAAUUAAUGAUAAUAUACCCAAGAAUAUAAAAUAUGAACUUGGGCUUUUGAAAAAAAAAAAAAUUAGUUCACGUGCAAAUAUUUGGAGCUUAUUACCGAAAAGAUCUACAGCAGUUUAUGAUUGUCUUUUAGAAAACAAAUUAUCUUUUAAUCAAUGAUAAAUAAGAGACCAUUCAACUUGUGUAAACAUAGUUGAAUUAGCUAUUGAUAGAUUGUAUAAUUUCACUGAAUAAUUUCCUUCUAUCUUAAAAAAUUAAGUUAAGAAAAUAAAUAAAUGAAAAAUAGAUAUUUGAUUUGUGGAUUAGUAAUUUCGGAAUAUAGAUAUAAAAGAGGGAGAGAACAUGAGAGGUCAAAGGAUAAAAGAGAAUGAUUUUGUAAUUUUAUAUAAAAAUAGUUUUAUGAUAUAAAUUUUUAAUAAAAAUAAGUGCAAAGAGUAUUAAGUCGGGUUAAAUAGCCCGACCCUUUAAGGAAAGACCCAUCUCAUCAGUAGACUCAUCAUAUACCCAAAACACAACUCUGUAGCAACAAAUUAGGAAAAUAGCAUUCAACAAAUUAGGAAAAUGGCAAAAUGCUAUGUUACAUUAAUGUAACAUAGCAAGAUCCUAAUGUAAUAUACACACUCUACAACUAUCACAUAAAUUGUGUGUGCCUAUCAUUUGACUAAGAAAAUUACUUUAUACAACAGUCAACAGAGAUAAACGUGUCAACAUACGACUUGUUAAAUUGUUUAUUGUCUGUAAGUUGCAAAGUUGCAAAAUGGAAACGGCUUUUUCGGCUUCCAUGGGAACCGAAGUGGAAGUAUCGGAGCCGUUGAUUGAGAAAAUCACGGCGGAGGAGGAUCAGCUGAUUCCGGAAUGGAAGGAUCAGAUAACAAUCAGAGGACUGGCGGUGAGCGCGAUAAUGGGGACGCUCUUCUGCAUCAUCACGCACAGGCUCAAUCUGACGGUCGGAAUCAUUCCGUCUCUCAACAUUGCGGCGGGACUCUUAGGGUUCUUAUCCGUGAAGUCGUGGACAAGCUUCUUGUCGAAGCUCGGGUUCUCGACUAAGCCUUUUACAAGACAAGAAAACACCGUCAUUCAAACCUGUGUUGUGGCUUGUUAUGGCCUCGCUGCUAGCGGUGAUGAUUAAUUAUUGAGUCUUUUUCUAUGUUCAUUUCUUUUAGGUAAUAAAUUUUCUUGUAAGUGUUUGGUUAAAUUUGAAGCUAGGGAAAAAAAAGAAACAAAAAACUUGAAGAGUGUUUGUUUGUAGUUGUGUUUUUGUUGUUCGUAAAUUUGUUUACUUCUUCAGUUUGAUGUUAUUAUUAAUAUGCAACUCUCGACAGGGGGAUUUGGUUCGUCCUUCCUUGCAAUGGACGAGAGGACAUAUAAACUAAUUGGUACCGAGUACCUUGGUAAUCGGGCAGAAGAUGUCAAGAACCCUGGAUUGGGGUGGAUGAUUGUUUUCAUGUUUGUUGUCAGUUUCGUUGGUCUCUUCAGUCUUGUUGCGCUUCGGAAGGUAGCUUUUACUGUCUUUGUUUAUAAAAAUGCAUUUUUAUACAUGCUAAGAUAAAUUUCAAUUUAAGUUGAGUCCAUUAUUGGAUAAUUUUUCAAUCAUUUAAUUGUUGUGUUUGACUUAAUACAGUUUAUUUUCUUGUUUUUUGUUGUGUGUGCUGAUAGUAGUCGCAUUUCUAAUCCUUUCCCUCUGUGUUGUAUCAGGUUAUGAUCUUGGAUGGUAAACUUACAUAUCCCAGUGGAACAGCCACGGCAGUGUUGAUUAAUGGCUUUCAUACCAAUGCUGGCGCAGAGCUUGCAGGGUAAUUGUUACUAAUAUGAAUCUCUUUAUUUUUUUGUACGUCCUGAUGUACUUUUUUUUUUUUACAUAAAACCAUGGAGGAAGGUAGCUAACAUAAUUAUGUCGAUGAGGAAAGAUGAACAAAUUCAGAGAGUGAACGAAGAAUGUGGGCUCUGUCUAUCUGCAUGUAUUGUUGACUGAGCUUGUAGGUUUUAGUUAAGAAGAAUAUUUUUAAUGUGUCAUAAUCCUUGCUUACAUGAAGUCUGUGAUAUUUAUCAAUUUUCACAGUUGUGCCCUUGUACUUAUUGGAUGGUUUUCACUUUCCCCUGAAUUGUAUUUAUUAUAUUCUUUAAUAAUGUUAAUUAGAAAAUUCGUUAAUGAUUGUUUAAGAAAGCAGAGCUCGAGCAUUCCAGGGCCACCUACCACCCUUCCACCUGAAAAGAAAGCAAAAAAAAAAAAAAAAAAAAAAAAGAGAGAUAGAUUUCUUGCUAAUUACUAAUCUGUUGUUAUUGCAGGAUGCAAGUGAGGUGCAUUGGAAAAUAUUUGAGUAUAAGUUUUUUAUGUAGCAGCUUUAAGUGGUUCUUCAGUGGCGUUGGGGAUUCAUGUGGAUUUGAUAAUUUUCCCAGCUUUGGUUUGAUUCUAUUUAAAAACACGUAAGGCUCUUUUCGAUUUACUAUUCGUAUGUCUCUUUGUCUCUCUGUUUUAUUUGUGCCAUUAUCAUAUUUUCAUAUUAUCUGUGUUUCUUCCUUCUUUGGCCUUUUCCCUGAAGUUUUACUCCAUUAUGUUUUAUUAGAGCAAAGUAACCCGGCCUAAAUGUCCAUUUGUUGUCAUAUGGAAUAUCUGUUUUCCUAUAUGGGGUAGCAUAAUAAUUAGAAAGCGUUCUUUUGUAGAAUAAAAUAAGAGAGAGUGAGUGUAUGUGCACUCUAUCCUAAAGUGUUGUUUGUAUUUUCUUUCAAAUUUCACCACAUUGGUUUGUUUGCCAGAAUUGGUGUAUUCAUUAUUUACUUACAUUGGUGGUGUCCCUGGAAUUCUAAUUGUCUUUCUUUUUUUGGUAAUACUUUCUACAGAUUUUAUUUUGAUUUCAGUCCAACUUAUGUGGGAUGCGGUCUUAUUUGUCCUCGCAUUGUCAACUGUUCUGUUCUUCUUGGCGCUAUUGUAUCAUGGGGUUUUCUCUGGCCCUAUAUCUCCCAACAUGCUGGUGACUGGUAUCCAGCUGACCUUGGUAAUAGUGAUUUUAAAGGUCUUUAUGGAUAUAAGGUAUGGUGAAUCACACUCAUACGAUGCCUCUAAGACAAUUCCAUUACAGUUUACGUGUUUCGGACUUUUUCCUAUCUUACGUGUUGAGGCAUGCAAAUGAGCUAGACAUUUACUCUGUUUCUGAUCUCUCUUUUUCUUGCACUUCUGAAUUGGUGAAGCUGUCUCCUCUUGUUUCUCUGCUGUGAAUCGACUGUUCCCCCAAUUGCUUUUUGCAGGUCUUCAUAGCUAUUUCCCUUAUCCUUGGGGAUGGUCUUUACAAUCUGAUAAAGAUAAUCUCUGUAACUUUCAAGGAAUUGUGCAACAAAAGAACCAAAGUUAGCAAACUUCCAAUUGAUAAUGAGAUUCAAGGUGCAAAUGAAUGUUCCUCUGUUGCCUAUGAAAACUUGACCAAAUUAUUUUGUCUGGAAUAUUGAUUGAAAGUUCUGCUCAUCAUGUGCCCUCAGUAUAGUUGCUUGUGAUAGCCAGUUUGUUAUUUUUUUGGCACAAAAUUUCUACUUGAUUCGACCUAUUUGAUUGUUUUAAUUGGGAAACACUUCUGUUGCUGGUAUGUCUUCAGAAGCUAAUACAGUCAAUAAUCAUGCUCACAUGUACUUUUGCAGAUACUGAGAGUUCCAGAUUGCUAAUAGAGCAGAAAAAACGAGAGAAUGUAUUUCUAAAAGAUGGGAUACCCACCUGGUUUGCUGCUUCUGGAUAUGUGGGCCUGGCAGCUAUAUCAACAGCAACAAUUCCCACCAUCUUUCCACCUCUCAAGUGGUACUUAGUUCUCUUGUUAUACCUUAUUGCCCCAGCCCUAGCCUUCUGCAACUCUUAUGGGGCGGGACUUACAGACUGCAGCUUAUCUUUAACCUAUGCAAAAAUUGGGCUUUUCAUCAUUGCUUCUUUGGUUGGACCCAAUGGUGGGGUUAUUGCUGGGUUAGCAGCUUGUGGGGUUAUGAUGUCCAUUGUCUCUACUGCAGCUGAUCUCAUGCAGGAUUUUAAGACAGGUUACCUCACUCUAUCAUCAGCCAAGUCUAUGUUUGUAAGCCAGUUACUUGGAACAGCCAUGGGUUGUGUCUUUGCCCCACUCACUUUCUGGAUGUAUUGGACCGCUUUUGACAUUGGGUCACCUGAUGGUCCGUACAAAGCACCAUAUGCAGUGAUAUUAAGAGAGAUGGCCAUUUUAGGGAUCGAAGGCUUUUCGGAGCUUCCCAAGCACUGCCUGGCCUUAUGUUGUGGGUUUUUUGUGGCUGCUCUGGUUAUAAACCUUCUAAGGGAUGUGAUUCCAGAGAAAAUCUCAAAGUUCAUUCCUGUUCCCAUGGCUAUGGCAAUUCCAUUUUUUGUUGGAGCAUACUUAGCAAUUGACAUGUUUGUUGGGACCGUGAUAUUAUUCAUAUGGGAGCGAAUCAAUCGAAAGGAUUCGGAGGAUUAUGCAGGGGCAGUUGCAUCCGGUCUAAUUUGUGGGGAUGGAAUUUGGACUAUGCCAUCUGCAGUCCUCUCUAUUUUUAGUAUCAAUCCACCCAUUUGCAUGUAUUUUGGGCCUACUGUGAGUAGCUGAGCAGGAAAACUGGGAAACUCUCUGGCUGUGUUGUACUUGUCCCAUAGGUUGUAUGAACUGGAUUAUUUUUGUAAAUUUGUUUGUUAUAUAUGUUGAGGAUGGAUUUUUAGAAUAUCUUUUAUUUCUUCAUCAUACUUGCGCACAUAUUUGCACGAUGGCAAGAUUGAAUAAUAGGCGUAGAGCAACAUCAGUUAUAGAUGAACUUGGCUUAGAUGGAUGGGAUCAAUAUCUGCAGAUUUCCAUCAAAUUAUUGGCUAACUUCAUAAUUGAUAGGUGAUUAUUGCUGCAGAUUGUGAAGACCUUUGAAGAUUUGAAAGGAUCCACAUACAAGGUAACGUACAUCCCAAUUUCACUGAUGAAACCACAGCAGUGAAACUAAAGGCGAGCUCUAGCUGGAAUUUUCCUAUUUGUGCAGAUAGUGAGUUUGUAAAAACCUAUAACACGAGCUUUUAUCUUUAUAUAUGAUCAACAAUCAGCCCAUGCUUAUUCACCUGACAUCUCGUAACUUAGCUUUAUAUUGAUAAUUUUUUUUUGGCUUGUACAAUAAUCAAUGGUUUAUAUCGACAAUAAUUUUCAAACCAUUGAUAAAAUUUCAUAACCAAAAUGCUUGCAUAUUUCUUUCAUAGCAUGUAACAAAUUUAUGUUUUCAUAAUGGAUAAAGUCAUUCACUUUACGCAUAACAACCUUAACUUUAUUGCAAAAUUAUCAUGUAUAUAUGAAACUAAAACUUCAUAUCUCUCAUUAACCUUAAGAUUUAUACUUUGAUCAACAAUGUUCUUUAUAAACCAAAUGAGAUUAACAUUGUAACUAUUAUAAAUCAUAAAUGAGAGACUUACAUUUAGUUCAUCUUUAUAAUUUGCAAGUGAACAUAAGAUGAUGGCCAAUACCUUAUGAGAAGUUACAAUUUUUUUUUCAUAACCUUCAUAAAACUUUUACCCCCUGAGUAACAGAAGUACUAUCAAUUUUUCGCCACAUGAGAUUUAAGCUCAAUAGAUUUAAUUGUCCCAGUGCUCAAAUCCAUCUUGUUCACGUAGAGUACUUGAUUUUGCAAGAACAAGUUAUUCAUCGACACGAAACGCUAUAUAUACAAUCAAUUAGGGAAAAAUAUAUGCAUCUCAUGCUAUGUAAUCAAAAACUUAAUUUUAAUUUAACCAAUGUUAAUUUAACAGUAAAUUCAAACCUCUUGCCGGUAGAGUUUACAAAAUGCAUUGAAAUACUAUAUCUUUACUCACAUAUGAGAUAUAUAUGAGUCUUUAAUAAUAAGACUAGCAAAUAUGGUCAUAACAUUAGAAAAUUCCGUUCUAGGAAAAUUCUCAUAAAUUGAUGCCCAAUUCGCUAUCUUAUUCCAAUUAAAUCAUUAAAAUAAUUAUAUCCCUCUGGUGCCAAAUAACUAUUUACCGAACAACUACAAACAUUUGAUGCCAUAUAUCAUUUUAUUCAUCUUUAUAUGAUAUUAUAAUAAUUAUAUACUUCAUCAAAUAUAUAUUAUCGUAUCUUGAAAUGCUAUGCGUACUUUCAAGAUACAACAAUAUUUUAAAACUUUAUUGGCAUCACAAAAAUAAUUGGUCACAAAUAAUCGGCUAGAAGUUGAUGCCAAUAUUCUCUUUAACACAACCAAACCUUUAGUGUAGAUAAAAAUAUGGAUUCCAUUUAUGUAGCGUUAAUAACAAAAUUAUAAUUCAUAAUAAUAAUAAUGUCGUUUUUUAUCUUAUGCAUGAUAUCUCAUAUCAAAAUACCUUAAGAUGCUAUGACUAUUCUCAAGAUAUAUGAUAUUUGUUUUGUCACCAAUAAAUCAAAUAAUGCACUAAUGACAUUAAAUAUUUACCAUGGUUCACUUACAGCAAACAAAACCUUAUGUUAUCAAAUGAGACAUAUACCAACAUUCAAAUCUUAUAUAUACCUCAUGCAUAAUCAUAUAUUCCAAAAGAAUCAUUCAGAUCCACAUAUUACAAACUCGAAAGCCAAAAAUGAUAUUAAUUAAUCUAGUCAGGUUUCAAUUCAAAUUAUUACUGUAAAAAUUAUAGAAUAUAAUUCAUGAUAAUGGUAAAUAAUCAAAAUAAAACUACAUGAUCAUUCUCAUCGAUUAUUGUAAGCCAUAUAAUGUAUGAACUUUAGAAACAAUUGCAAAAAAAAAAAAAAAAAAAAAAAAAACGCAACAACUACAUGGAUGAUUCGAUCAUAAUAAAAUAGAUAUAUAAAAAUUUCUCUAACUGAGUUUCUUAUUAUUAUCAUGUAUUAUAUAUCAAAUUAAAAUGCAUGUACUUAAUAAAUCCAUGAAAAUUUAUUCGUGGGUAACCUCUGUAAUCAUAAUAUCAUAUGAUGUAAUAUGUAAUUCUAUGCAUUUUUUUAUAUAUCUAUUAUAAAUGCAAUCUGUAUCAAAAACUUAACUACAAUCAAAUACACUUCAACAUGAUUUCAACAUAUAAAUAAAAUGAUAUAUAUACCGAACAACAAGAAUUGAAGGUGGCUUUGAUACCACGUGUAAAAAAAUUAGAUUAGAAGAGGAUUGUAUCUCCAAUCACAGUUGUUCAAAUUUGAAGCAUUCUCUACAUUCAUUAAAUUUUACAAAGGUGUCUUCUACCCUAUUCCAUUUUAUAGCCUUCUCUUGUGAUGGAAAACAAAUUCUUGGUAAGCAUUGAUUUAGCUUGGCUAAGGACCCUUUUAUAGUAAUAAUUCUUAACUUAAAAAGACUUUGCACUUCCUUCCAUCAGAGAAGUGAUUUAUAAUCUUUAUCACUUCCAUUAUAAAAGUGACUAAUAAACUUUAAUAACCUUUAUCACUAUCCUUUAAAACAAGUAAAUGAGUCAUUAAUAUGAGUUUAUGUAUUUACUUACUUAAACAAUGGACUUUUCAUGUGUACUAUGUAAUGAAAAUUCUUUUAAAAUAAUCAAUAAAAAGACAUGGGAUUAGCUUAUAACUUUACUAUGAAAGCCCGCGGAAUUAACUCAUAUUAAAAAAGAAAACUUAUUAAAUGUUAAGAGUUUAUUGUUAUCUUGAGUUUAUAUACUUAGUUUGGGAAUUGCAUAUAUUCUCGUCCUCGAGAAGGUAGCAGUUUUAUUUUAGCUAAUCACCGAGUUGAAAUCUCAAAAAAAAAAAAAAAAGGGAACAAAAUUAAAAUUGAUUAAGGCUUUGCCUGCACUUCUACCUUUUAAAUAGGGAAAGAAAACUAAAAUAUUGAAAAAAAAGCUAUAUAUAUAUUCUCAUAUGUUAGAUUAUUUUAUAACAUUGUUCUCUUCUUUAUUCAACUAGCAUAGCCUUUCUGUCAUAUUAUGGCAAAGAUGAAGAAUAAAGAUUUAAUCAGAUCUAAUAUUAGUGUAGAUCUAACCCCACAAUCACAUGAUUUUUGUACGGAAAAACUAAUGUAGACUAUAGCAUCGAGAAAUGUUAUUUAAGUAUGGCUAACUGAGAGUUUGACAACUAAUUAGUUACACUUGACUGUUUUGGUAUAACUCUUGAGCUGAUAUGUAAGUUACAGGUGUUUUGUAAUGGAAUUGGAGAAAUGUAUCUUAAAAAUUACACCAAUAAAGUAUUUAUUAAUUAAAUAAUUUGUUCCUGUAACUUAGAGGUUAAGUUGAUUUAAUCUCUAAUUUGUAUAAUAAAAAAUCGAUACCAUUUUUACUAUUGAAUUAUUAUUUAAAAAUCAUAUUACCACACAUAAUUUAUUUUUAUUUUUUAAUUAUAAUUUUUUUCUACGCACGACAUUUCAAUACCAAAUAGACAUUCUUUUUUUUAAAAAAAAAGAUAAUUUUCCUUAAAAAGAAGACGUAUGGUUGGUAAUUUCAUAUCUAACAAUAAUGAUCUUUAACAAUGAUAUAAUUUUUUUUAAUGGAAAAAGAAAAAUGACGGAUUGGGCAAAGGUCUAAUCAAAUUACAAUGAUUCAUCUAACAGUAAUGAUCUCUAUCAAUUCUUCUCCUGAACGAAUCUUUAUUUAGGGUCUCAAAUCCUUUAUCCUUCAGCGAUUUAUUUAUGCCUGCUCUCCAUAAUUUGUAGAAAUCCUUAAUCAAUAGUUCGGUAUUUAUGGCCCAAUUGUUUAUAUCUCUCAAUGAAUCAAUCGCAGAUCUCCAGAAUAGAUAUGCUACGAAGCAGAGCUGAUAAAUACGGGUAUAUUAGUUAUUUUCGGAGUUCAACAAACACAGAUGUUUGUAAUAAUUUGAUAAGAUUAUUGUUUGUGUCAUUUGUUUCUUCUUAUUUUAUUAACUGAAGCUAUUGUUUUCAAGUGGUAAACAACGAAGAUUCAACAAUUAAUAUUUGUUCUUAAUCCCACAAGGCUACAGUCAUAUGGUUUAUGCAAGGGAUAUAUAAUUAAUGCAGCCUAUAUUUAGUCUAAAAAUAAUAUCUAAUUAUUACGUUUAGCAAAAUUCAUUGCUAAAGAGGGGCUAUUGUGACCACAAAUUUGUUUUGUCGCAAAAAAUUUGAGUGCUAAAAAAAUUGUUGGCGCCGAAAUCUUUAUCAACCAAAAAUACACCAUAUAGCAACGGUUCCAAUCAUCACAAAUUCCAUCAAUAGCGAAGAAAGAAUUUUUGUUGCAAAAGGUGGUUUUAGCGACAAACAUCCUCGUUGUAGAAGCCCUAUGGCGAUGAAAAUAUCUUCAUUGCUAAAACUACCUUUUGCGACCAAACCGUUUCAUUCCAAAAAGGUAAUUUAAAAUAGAAUGUUGGUAUAUGUCUUAAAACCACCAAUGGUCAUCUCCCUUUUGAAAUGUGAGUGGAGUAGACGUCUCUCUAAUAUUAAAAAGGGUAAAAAUUUAGACGGUGCUUCAUAAGAAUUAAUGUAAACUAGUCUCAAUAAUAAUAUGAUUUGUAAAUAUCAGUUGUAAUAUCAUGUAAUGAGUUGUACUCUUGAGCAAUAGUCAUAUGUAAUUAAAAAAAAGAUCAAAUAACAUAAAUAUUAAUAAAUUUAAAUUCUUGGUAUCUUCUAAUAGGAUCUUUUCUAAGAUGGAUAUAUGAGAUAUGUAGUGCUAAGUUAAUGCUUUGUUUGUUCGCAAGAAGAAAACGUAAAAGGAUGAGCCAAAGCUGAAAAAAGCAAAGUUAACAGCUCUGGCUGUUCUAGAGCAAUAAAUUAUGAUGUGAAAUUUGAUUUAGGGACGUUAUUGUGGUUGCAAAUGCAGGGUAACAAUCGUGGCACUCUUUUGAUAAUAGAACCAAAGAAAAAAAUUAAUUGAUUAAUUAUUUAAAUUUUUUCUAUUUAAAUAUUUUAAAUAUAAUAUAUAAAUAUAGUAUGACUUUUAAAUAAUUUUAGAAAAAUCCUCUUUUGCAAAAGGAUAUGGCUAACAUUGUUUACGUAUAAAAAAUCAUUCACCGUCAUUCAUGGCAAAAUUAGAGAUGGCCAACGGCCUAGGCAGCAUGUGGCAUGACACGGCACAACACGAGCAUAUUUUGGUAGGGCACGUAGUACAACACGGCACACAUGCGAAUUAGAUUGGGUUGAGAAUUUUAAAUAAAUUAGGAAAUGGAACAGCACUUCGUGCGGUUUUAAAAAAAAAUUAGUAUUAUAUUUUUUUAUUAUUUUGCACUUGAUGAAACUAAUAAAAAAUAUAAAUUAUUUUUUUUAAAGAUGACGUAGCCUUAUAAAACUAAUGUUAUUUAUGAAAGUUAAUUAUUUUUUUGUUAACAUUAAAAAUAUAUAUUAAUGUGUAUAGUUAAGUGUACACAACCUUUUCAUCAAUAAAAAUUAUGUUCGCACUAAUCAACUCUUUAUUUUUCUUGGUAUUAACAAACUCCCAUAUCUUAUAAAGUCUAACCCUUAUCAUCCAACUAUCUUUAUCAUUGUUUAACUCAUGAAGAAAAGAGUACUCCAUGAAGCACACAAUAUUAAAAAUUUAAAUAAGUUAAAAAAUAAAAACACAAGAACAUUUCUAAAGAGGAUGUUGGUUAAAUAAUAAAAAAAAACCCAAACAUAACAAAUCUUAAAUGCUUAAUAUUUAUAGAGUUUGAAGAAGUCAAAAGACACUAAAUAAAAGGUUGCAUAAUUAAAUAUGGGAUUAUGACAUUAAAAUUAGGUCCUAGUGGUAUUGGUGAGGAAAGAUGAAGGAACCUUCCUUCCUAUAUUAAUUAGUUGAUGUAUUUUAAACCACUAAAGUUUAGUUGUUGGCUUAAUAAAAUAAAUGAAUGUUUCAAAACUUAUAAUUAAUUUAUUAUUAAUGGUUACAUAUUGUUGAAUUUAAAUAGAAAGAGGAAGAGACAUGUAAUUUUUUGUAAUCUAUUAAUUAUUUUCUAUUUUUAAUAUUUUGUAAUGUAAUUAUUUUUUAAUCUCAACCAAUAGAUUAGAUAAUAGAAAAUAUAAAAAGAUGAGAAAUAAUAAUGCCACAAAUCUUAACUACUUAAUAUUUAUAGAGUUUGAAGAAGCCAAAAGGCACUAAACAAAAGGUUGCAUAAUUAAAUAUGAGAUUAUAGCAUUAAAAUUAGACCCUAAUGACAUUGUUGAGGAAAGAUGAAGGAACAUUCAUUCCUAUAUUAAUUAAUUGAUAUAUUUAAGCCACUAAGUUUAAUUAUUGGCAUAAUAAAAUAAAUAAAUAUUUCAAGAUUUAUAAUUAAUUAUUAUUAAUGGUUACAUAUUAUUGAAUUUAAAUAGAAAGAGGAAGAGACAUGUAAUCUUUUAUAAUCUAAUAAUUAUUUUUUAUUUUUAAUAUUUUGUAAUGUAAUUAUUUUUUUAAUAUCAACCAAUUUAUUAGAUAAUAGAGAAUACAAGAAGAUGAGAAAUAGUGAUGCCAUAUCACCUUCUCUAGUCCCAACUUUAUAUAUAUAUAUAUAUAUAUAUAUAUAUAUUUUGUAAUUGUUUUUUAAUCUCAACCAAUAUAUUAGAUAAUAGAGAAUAAAAAAAGAUGAGAAAUAAUGAUGACACAAAUCUUAAAUAUUUAAUGUUUAUGGAGUUUGAAGAAGCCAAAAUGCACUAAACAAAAGAUUGAAUAAUUCAAUAUGGGAUUAUGACAUUAAAAUUAGGCUCUAAUGGUAUUGUUGAGAGAAGAUGAAGGAACCUUCCUUCCUAUAUUAAUUAAUUGAUGUAUUUUAAGCCACUAAAAUUUAAUUGUUGGCAUAAUAAAAUAAAUGAAUGUUUCAAGACUUAUAAUUAAUUAUUAUUAAUGGUUACAUAUUGUUGAAUUUAAAUAAAAAGAGGAAAAGACAUGUAAUCAUUUAUAAUCUAAUAAUUAUUUUCUAUUUUAAUAUUUUAUAAUGUAAUUAUUUUUUAAUUUCAACCAAUUUAUUAGAUAAUAGAGAAUAUGAAAUGAUGAGAAAUGGUGAUGCCACAUCACCUCUCGUAGUCCCAACUUUAUAUAUAUAUAUAUAUAGAUAUAUAGAUUAGUUGAUGUAUUUUAAGGCACUAAAGUUUAAUUGUUAGCAUAAUAAAAUUUGAAGAAGCCAAAAGGCACUCAACAAAAGGUUGCAUAAUUAAAUAUGAGAUUAUGAUAUUAAAAUUAGGCCCUAGUGGCAUUGUUGAGGGAAGAUGAAAGAACCUCUCUUCCUAUGUUAAUUAAUUCAUGUAUUUUAAGCCACUAAAGUUUAAUAGCUAACAUAAUAAAAUAAAUGAAUAUUUCAAAAGACUUAUAAUUAAUUAUUAUUAAUGAUUAUAUAUUGUUGGAUUUAAAUAGAAAGAGGAAGAAAUAUGUACAAAGAAUAUCCACUAAUAUUUUAGAUAUUUUAGAUAAUAGAGAAUAUAAAAAGAUGAGGUUGAGGGAAGAUGAAAGAACCUCUCUUCCUAUGUUAAUUAGGUGAUGUAUUUUAAGGCACUAAAGUUUAAUUGAUAGCAUAAUAAAUUUUGAAGAAACCAAAAGACACUCAACAAAAGGUUGCAUAAUUAAAUAUGUGAUUAUGACAUUAAAAUUAGGCCUUAGUGGCAUUGCUGAGGGAAAAUGAAAGAACCUAUCUUCCUAUGUUAAUUAAUUCAUGUAUUGUAAGCCACUAAAGUUUAAUUGCUAGCAUAAUAAAAUAAAUAAAUGUUUCAAAAGACUUAUAAUUAAUUAUUAUUAAUGAUUACAUAUUGUUGAAUUUAAAUAGAAAGAGAAAAAAAGUACAAAGAAUAUCCACCAAUAUUUUAGAUAAUAUAAAAUAUAAAAAGAUGAGGAAUGAUAUAUAUUAAUAAAGUGAUUAUUUAUUAAAUGAGUUAAAUACAAUCAAAUUAAUUAUGAGAAGAUGAAAAGCCAAAUCUAAAAAAAAAUCUCUAUUUAUUAGAUAAUAGAGAAUAUAUAAAGAAGCAAAAUGGUGAUGCCACAUCACCUCCUCAAGUCAUAGCUUUAUAAAUGAAAGAACAUAUCUUCCUAUGUUAAUUAAUUCAUGUAUUUUAAGCUACUAAAGUUUAAUUGCUAGCAUAAUAAAAUAAAUAAAUAUUUCAAAAGACUUAUAAUUAAUUAUUAUUAAUAAUUACAUAUUGUUGAAUUUAAAUAGAAAGAGAAAAAAAGUACAAAGAAUAUCCACCAAUAUUUUAGAUAUUUUAGAUAAUAGAAAAUAUAAAAAGAUGAUGAAUGAUAUUUAUUAAUAAAGUUACUAUUUAUUAAAUGAGUUAAAUACAAUCAAAUUAAUUAUGAGAAGAUAAAAAAUCAAAUCUUAAAAAAAAAUCUCUAUUUAUUAGAUAAUAGAGAAUAUACAAAGAAGCAAAAUGGUGAUGCCACAUCACCUCCUCAAGUCCUAGCUUUAUAUAUAUAUAUAGAUAGGCCUUAAAAGCAUGACGAUAUUAGAGAUGGGUUAAAGCACGGAAUGUGAAAAGGCCCGCAAUAUGCACUUUCACUUUUCAAUAAAAGAAAACUUAAAAUUUUAUGAUUUAUAAAUAACUUGAAAUUGAAUUUUAAUAUAUUUUAUUAACGUAAGUUUUUUGAAUUCAUUUAAUUCUUAGUUUAAAAAAAAUGACUCUAGUUGUUUUCUGUUUAUAAGUUAUUAAAUAAAUAAAUAAAUGAUAUGAUGAUUUUAAUAAAUAAAAUUAUAAAUAUCACAAUUUUACAUCACUUUAUGUCGCUGAAGAAUCAUGUGUUUAUUGUGGUGAAGGGCACUUAUUUUGAUAAUUGUCUUGGAAAUCCAGUCUCAAUCAACUAUGUGGGUAACUUCAACAUGCAGAACUAGAACCAUUCAUAUUUAAACAUUUACAACUCUAGAUGGAUACAGUACCCAAACUUUUAAUGGAGUCAUCAAAAUCAACAUACUGCAGCAUCCAGUGGACAAAACAGACCUGCUCAACCACCUGGAUUUCACCAGAAAAAUCAAGGGUAAAGAAACACCAGCAAUGAUCAACUUAGUUCUCUUGAAGCUUUGUUUAAAGAAUAUAUUGUGAAGAAUGAAGCAAUUGUUCAGAGCCAAGCUGUGUCUAUAAGAAACUUGGAGAAUCAGAUUGGACAGCUGGCUACAACAUUGAGUAAUAGACCUCAUAGCAGGUUUACCCAGCAAUACAGAGGAUCUAAGAAGAGAAGGAAAAAUAUAUGGCAAAGUGAUUAACUUAAGGUCUGGAAAGGAUGUCCAAAUUCCUAUUGGUGUACCAAAAAGAAGAAUAGAACUUGUUUCAACCCAAGAGAAAACUCAAAUUAAAGAAGAGUCACAACAACCCACUUACCAGCCCACUGAUGUAAAUAGCCAAGCUAUAGCAUCAACAGAAAAUAAUAAUCCAGCAAUUAUGGAAGAAGAUUUUACAGUACCAAACACAUUAGCCUGAAACAUGGCAAAGGAAAAGCAACUUGUACAACUUGCUACAACACAGUAGUUUAGACAUCCACCACCUUUCCCUUAACGAUUUCAGAAGCAAAAGCAAGACAAGCAAUUCAACAAGUUCCUGGAAGUGUUAAAGCAGCUACAUAUCAACAUUCCUUUAAUAGAAGCUCUCGAACAAAUGCCAAUUAUAUGAAGUUCUUGAAAGAUAUUUUGGUGAGGAAAAAAAGACUUUAAGAGUUUGAAAUAGUUGCUCUAACACAAAAAUACAGCCAUAUGCUUCAGAACAAAAUCCCUCAUAAGUUGAAGGAUCUAUGGAGCUUUACAAUUCUAUACUUUAGUGGAACUAAAUACAGGGGUAAGACACUUUGUGAUUUAGGAGCUAGCAUCAAUCUUAUGUCGUUAUCAGUGUUCAAGCAAUUGGGAGUUGGAGAAGUUAAGUCGACAACAGUGACUUUACAACUUGCUAAUAGAUCUCAUGUUUAUCUAUAAAUGAAGAUUGAAGACGUGUUAAUGAAGGUGAAUAAAUUUAUUUUUCCAAUAGAUUUUAUUAUGCUAGACUUUGAGGCAGACAUAGAAGUGCCAAUCAUUCUAGGAAGACAUUUCUUAGCCAUGGGAAAGACCCUAAUUGAUGUGCAAAAAGGAGAGUUAACUAUGCGGGUGAAUGACCAGCAAGUUACAUUUAAUGUGCUGGAUGCUAUGAAAAAUCUUGAUGAGGUCGAAGAUUGUAAUUUUAUCAGUGUUGUGGACUUUACUGUGGCAGAGAGGUUAAAUAAUUGCUACAGUAAGAAUGAAAUCAAUGCGGUAACAUUUAAAGAAUUUAAAGAUGAAGAUCCUGAAAUAACAAAUGUAGCAUGAUUAAAAUAGAGGGAAUCCAUGAGGGGUGACAGACACUUUGAAUCUCUAGAUCUCUCAAACAAGGAAGUAAAACCUUUUGUUUUAUCUAUUGAGUCACCUCCUGUUCUAGAAUUAAAACUUUUACCUUCACAUUUAAAAUAUGUUUAUCUUGGUGACAAUAAUACACUCCUUGUAAUCAUUUCAUUUUCUUUGAAUGCAGAUCAAGAGAACAGUUUGUGGAUGUAUUGGGGAGAUAUAAGAAGGCUAUUGCAUGGACCAUGACAGAUAUCAAAAGAAUCAAUUCUUGUGGAGACGAUCUGAAUACUCAUCAGUAUAUUACUUGUUGUGUACACUUGCACACUGACACCCAUAACAUUAUAAAUCGUACACCAAGCCCAUAAUAACGUAAACAUUAAUAUAUCACUUUUAAUUGGGCUUAACCGUAUAUGACAGUCAAUAACACAUAAUUAUUCACAUAUAAGCCGAAUGUUGGAUUAAGGAUCUAACAAUAUUGGAUUAAAAAAUCCAACACAAUGUUCUUUAGUGGUAAUACAAAAGCUGAUUAAGUGGUUACAAUUAAAGGAAUCUUUCACUUGAAUGUUGUUUCUGGACACAAAAAAUACCUAGGGCUACCAUCAGUGGUUAGAAUAAACAAAAGAAUCUUUUUUGAUGAUAUAAAGCUCAAAGUGAUAAGAAAGAUUUUAAAUUGGCAACACACGCACUUUUCUAGCGGUAGCAAGAAGGUCAUCAUCAAAGCUAUAACCCAAGUCAUUCUAGCUUAUGUUAUGAGCGUGUUCAAAAUUCAUGUAGGGUUGUAUGAUGACAUCCAGAAAGUUAUAGCUAGAUUCUGAUGGGAAUUUAAGGAUAAAAAGAAAGGCAUUCAUUGGGCUAAGUGGGAGAGAAUAAGUAAAGAAAAAUGCAGAGGUAAGAUGAGAUUCAAGGAAUUCUCAUGCUUCAGUAACUAAGCAAAAGUAGAGGAUUUUAUUGUUUCCAAAUUCAUUAGUAGCCCAAGUUUUGCAAGCAAGAUACUUCAAACAAUCUGAUUUCUUGCAGGCAAGACUAUGGUCCAAUCCUUCUUAUAUUUUGGAAAAGUAUCUUGUAGAGAAAACUUGUAAUCCAAAAAGGCAAUAAAUGGAUGAUAGGUUCAGAAAACAAAGUGCAGAUUUACAACAGCAACUGGAUACCAAGACCAAAAACAUUCAAACAGCUUUCCUGGCUAAGUACAUCCAUCCCCAACAAAUCUAUCACUAGAAAAAGAAAACAAAAAAUAAAAAAAAUUGCAACAUUACAAAACCCUAGCCUCCACCUACCACUACCACCACCUUUCUACUAGUUGUUCAUUGUUGUUUGACCCACCACCAGAAUCAUCGUCAGUUGCUAACCAAAACCCAAUCGUCCUCUACAUUUGAAACCGUUGUGUAGCCACCACGAAUUACCCUAAAACGCUACAAGCUCUCCACCAGCCGCUGUCAUGAACCAACCAUUUUUUACCAACAACCGAUGCCAUUACCACACUCCCCUCUAGCCAUACAUUCAAAACCAAUCAACAAUUGCCACAAAUAUUGGCCAUAAACCGCUAUUAACCACUAUAAGUUGCCGCCAAUUAAAGUUGGUUUUCCAACCAAACUACUGCGAAUCUAACUAAUCCUCGGCCAUUAUCAUGCUCAUCAUCACUAUAUCUUCUAGAUCUGACCAUCACCACACUAAUUCAUGGCCACCAGCCGCCAGCUACACCAACUCGAAAGUUCACCCUUAUUUACAAUUUUGCAAUCAAGUUUAUAUUUGUACUUGAAAUAUUCAAAAGGACAUUAUGCUUUGGAAGCUUGAUGGAAAUUGCAGUAUUGAAUAUUUUCUUUCAUGGUUGGACAAGGUUGAUUAGGAAUAUAUGAUUAGAUUGCUGAGGUAUGAUUGAGUACAAUUUGUAGCUGAUUUUCUAUUAAUAAGGAGUGCUUUAGAAUGAUGGGCUAGAGUGCAAAGGCAUAUAUAGCUUUUCAAAGGUCUUUUUAAAAUUACUUCAUGGACUUGUAUAAAGCGAAUGUUGAGAUCAAGAUUUAUUCCUCUAGGUUAUUGUUUGUUAUGACAAGGUAUGAAAUCAAUUUCGGAUUAUGCUUCUAAGUUCGAAUAAUUUUAUAGAUGCAAAUAUCAAAGAAACUUUAAUGAUGUGAUUAAAAGACUUAACAAAGUCCAAGAUUUAAUCAAGUAAUGGCAUGUCUCUAUGAAAGUGUCUAAAGAUGUACCAAUAAGUUCACCUAUUGUUGAGAAAAAAAGACUCGCUUAAGAUGCCAAAAGAUGAGGUACAAUUUCUUAUUGAUUUAAAGUUCUAGUCUAACAAUUUGUGCAAGAAUGUGUAUGAUGUUUCCUUGGAAGACAAGACUAGCAUUGAAGAUGAUGAGGUUUUUGAUCUAUCUAAUAUUUUUAAAAAAUAAAAAUAAACUAUUCAUGAUUUGCACAUUGAACCUAAUAGUACGUUCGAGGUUGUGUAGAAAAAUCAAGUUGAAGAAGCUGAAAUGAUUGAAAUGGUUUUGCCUAUUCGGUUGAAGAAAAUUGUGCUCGAAGAAGAUUUGAUAAAAAAGGUGAAAUUUAUUAGAGAGGGCAUUGAGCAUCAAUUGGGAAAGGGCAAGGGUUAUUUGAUCAUUGUUCGUUCUUGGAAGUCUGAAAUACAAGUUAUACAACCCAAGAGGGGGGCGAAUUAGGUUUCUUAAAAAUACGUGAUUAGUAUUAAAAAUUGUUUAAUUAUCAAGCGAUAAUAAUGUUAUUUUGUGCUUAUGUUAUAAUUUAUAUUUGUGUUUAUGCAAUAUAUUAUGAAUUAUGAAUUAUGUAUUAAAUAUAUCUAAUUUUUUGUGUUUAUUCGGUAAAAUAUUAAUUUCACGUAAUUCGAGACUCCAAACAGAUAAACGAAUGUCAAAUUUAGAUUCUGAAGGUCCAAAAACUUUAAAAUAAGUCAAGAUCGGCUUAAACUUGGGCUUGUGUAAAAAUAGUUGACUUUUCUUGUUGACCGAGCACUGAUUGGAUGAUUAAAUGAGCUUACAAUAGAUAUGAGUGCAUGUGAUAGCUGGCAAUUUUGACUAAAUCCUAACCGUUCGUGAUUUAAUGGCCAUGAUUGUGCCAGGUGGCAAUAGUUGGUGAGACAAAUUGCAGGAUCCGAAUAUUUGUAUUUGGGUCAACCCGAUUCACCCAUUAACCCGCCAAAUUUCAACCGUUCUUUCGCUAAAUCAGGCGAGUCAAAUGAUGCCACGCGUGAUGCUGACUUUUGAAGUUUGACUAGCCAUUGGAUCUUGAUCUAAUGGUUGUGAGGAGCACAUGCAUGAAGUUUAUGAUGGACCGCAAAACACUGUAUUAUAAAUCUAUUUUUCUAGAAAUAGAGCUUCAUUUUUAUGCUUUUAAUCAUCUCUCUAUAUCUCUCUUUUUCUCAAUUUCUCUCCAUCUCCCUAUAAUCUUGAUUUUCUGGUGUGUUUUGUAUAAUUAUUUUUAUAAAUAAAUUUAGUUUUAUUUUCAAUUUUAGUUGUUUUUAUUACUUUUAAUUAUAAGUAAUUUAAUUUUAAUAAUUCUUUUUAUUUCAAUUAUACUUAACUAAAUAAUAAUAGUUAGGGUAAGGUGAAACUCUUAGGAAAUAAAUAUGAUUUAAUCAAAUUCUAUUUUUAAUUUUAUAAAUUAAAUUAUUUUCUAUUUAAUUUUAUACAUAUUUUAUAUUUUGAAAUUUUGAUUUAUUGUAGACAAACAAAGGAGUUUGGCACAAUAAAUUCUUAAUAUCUUAAUAUAAGGUAUGGUAAAAUAGUAUUUUGACUUAUUGUAGACAAAUUAAAUUUUAGCACAAUAAAUACUUAAUCCAUCAUAAAAUUAAAGGGAAAAUAAUAAUAAUUUAUAUAAUUAAUCUUUUGGGCAAUAAAUCUAACAAAAAUGGCAAAAAACAUUUAUUAAGUUUUAUUUACUACUAAGAGUGGAACUACAACCCUAACUAGUUCAAUUUCAUAGUUUCAUUUAAAUUAAGUUUUUUAUAUUCAAGUUUUAUUUUUAUUUUAAAUAAAAUAAAAUAAACAAAUUAAAUAUUUUCUCUGAGGAUCGACCUCGGACUCGCCGAGUUAUAAUAUAACAAGACACUAUACUUGAGAGUUAAAAAUUACUUUUAAGUUGUGUCAAGUUUUUGGCGCCAUUGACGGGGAAAAGUUUUUAUUUUGCUUUAUUUUUCCCUUUUUUUCCUCUUUGUGUAAAGUUUCAGUUAUACCCCUUUUCCUUUUCCAAUAUUUCGUUCUGACCUCAAAAUCUUUUAGAAUCUUUACAUGCGUCCCACAUGGCUCAAUUCUAAACUCUUAAACAUUGCGAUGUGGCCAAAAAAUUAUAAAUAAUGUUCAAUAAAAUCACUGGACGAAAUUUCUCACAAUAAUCAUCUUGGACUUAUUUGGACUCAAUUUGGACUUAAUUUGGACCAAGCAAACUAACUACUAACUCUUAUUUUUUAUUUAUUUUUUUAAUUUCAGUUAUUUAAUUUUUAGUACUUAGUUUAUUUCGCAUUUAUUUAUUUAUUUUUUGCUUUAUUUUAUUUUGUUAUUUUAUAUUGGUGGGUUCAACCACCAAAAUUGUUAUUUAAUUUUUUAGUUUUUUUAUUUUGCAUUUAUUUUACAUUUUAUUUUAUAUUGUUAAUUUAUUUGGUGGGCUCAACCACCAGAAUUGUAAUUUAAUUUUAAUUUUUGUACACUUAUAUUAUUUGCAUAUUUAAUUUUUUUUUUCAUUUAGUUCUUGUGUUACUAAUUUGUUUGAAUAUUACCUUUUUGACAUAACCAUUGCAUGAGACGUUGGUCUCAAACUUCAUGUGGCAGGUUAAUUUGAAGAUCUCAAUCUCCACCACCAAUCAUGGACGAGAUCCAAGACGAAAACCUUUUGGGUGAACCUAAUCCUCAAAUUGAUCAGGGAGAACCAUUCUCAACAUGGACGUGAUCAGAAUCAACCAAGAACUCUGAGAGGUUAUAUGAAUCCAACCAGAACUGAAGCACCGUCGUGUAUAGUAUUUCCUCCAGAGACAUCUCGAUUCAACUUCAAACCAAGUAUUAUCCAACUUUUACCAACAUUUCAUGAUUUAGAAUCUAAGAAUUCAUACUUGCAUCUAAGAGAUUUUAAGGAAGUUUGUAAUACAUACACAGACCAAAAUUGUAGCAUGAACAUAAUUAGAUUAAAGCUUUUUCCUUUUUCAUUAAAAGAUGAAGUUAAAACUUGGCUACAGAACCUUAGAUCUAGAUUAAUAAGAACUUGGAAUAACAUACAAGAACAAUUUUUGAAAAAAACUCUUUCCACCUUAUAGAACAAAUUUUUUUAAAAGAUAAAUCACUUCUUUCACUCAAACAAAAUGGAGAAACAUUAUACCAAUGUUGGGAUAGGUUUAAAGAAUUGAUUAACAUAUGCCCACACCAUGGUUUUGAAACUUCGCGAUUGGUCACUUAUUUCUACAAGGGCUUAAUACCCUAAAGUAGAUAAGUUGUUGAAAUGAUGUGUAAUGGUGAAUUUAUGGAUAAAAAUCCUGAGGAUGCACUAGAUUACCUUAACCAAUUAAUUGAAAAUGCACAAUAUUGGGAUACUGUUGAAAUUUUUUAAUUGACAAAUAAAUCACAAUAAUCUCCAUCUAAUGGAGGAAUCCAUGACCUUAGGGAAGAUCGUGAUUACAAGCAAAAUUUGCAUCCCUAGUUAGGAAAGUUGAAGCUUUGGAGCAUAAAAAAAGUGAUCAAGUAAAAUCUAUUCAAGAAAUUGCAUGUAAUAUUUGUAGUUCGAAUGAUCAUUUCACUCAAGAUUGUCCCACUCUGCCUACACUUAAAGAAUGUCUAAAUGAUCAAGUAAUGCCAUUAACACUUUCAAUAAACCAAAUCCAUAUUCACAGACUUAUAAUUCUGUUUGGAGAAAUCAUCCAAAUUUCAGUUAGAGAAAUAAUAAUAAUGCACAAUCUUCACAAGCACCACCUCCACAAAUUUUUCAAAAUACUCAGCCUUAUGCACCAUAUGUUCCACCACCUUGGAAAAAUCUGGAAGACACAAUGCAUUCAUUCAUCAGAAAGUAAGAUGUUAUUAACAAUCAAAAUGCACAAACUUUUUCCGAUUUGAAAGAUACUCUUGCUAAAAUUGCUUAUGCACUCACAAUUCAAGAAAAAUGAAAAUUUCCAGCCCAACCACAACCAAAUCCUAAGAUUCAACAAAAUCCACCCACGGACCAAGUCAAGUCAAUUAUAACUCUUCGUAAUAGUAAGGUUGUUGAUAGACCUAUGCCUAAAACUUGUGAAAAUGAUAAAAAUUCAAAGGGUAAGGAAUGACUAAAUGAACUUACACCUAGUGAAGAAAUAACUAGUGUUCCACCUGAACCACCAUUUCUGCAUGCAUUGAAUAAACCAAGGAAACCAAACCACUCUUCUGAAAUUUAUGAAAUAUUUAAGCAAGUGAAAGUUAACAUUCCUCUAUUAGAUGCAAUCAAGCAGGUACCUUCAUAUGCCAAAUUUUUAAAGGACUUGUGCACUGUUAAGAGGAAAUUGAAGGUAAAAAAGAGUGCUUUCAUGGCUGAACAAGUAAGUACAAUUAUGUCUACUAAUAAUAAGUUGAAAUAUAAAGAUCCUGGUUGUCCUACCAUUUCUUGUAUUAUUGGUGAUCACAGAAUUUAGCAUGCUUUACUAGAUCUUGGUGCUAGUGUUAAUUUGCUUCCAUAUUCAGUUUAUCUUCAACUUAAUAUUGGUGAGUUAAAAUCAACUUCAACUACACUUUUGCUUGCCGAUAGAUCAGUUAAAGUACCAAAAGAAAUAGUGGAAGAUGUUUUAGUACAAGUUGAUAAAUUCAUAUAUCCUGUGGAUUUUAUUAUCUUGGAAACUGAACCUAUUGUGAAUAAUUAUAAACCAAUUCCUGUAAUUUUAGGUCGAUUAAUUUUACCAAUUGCUAAUGCUUUAAUUAAUUGUAAGAAUGGUUUAAUGAAUUUAUCCUUUGGAAACAUGACUUUGGAAUUGAAUGUUUUCAACAUGUGUAGGCAACCUAAUAAAGAAAAUGAGAAUGAAGAUGAUACUGAUGAACAAGAGGAAUUGCUUGAAUCUUAUAUUGAGGAAAAUAUUCAAAAAGGGGAUUUCUUUGAACUCUCUUAUAUUUGUUUAAUUAAUUCAAUUGAGUCAAAUAAGCAACUUGAAUUUGAUAUUUCUAAUAUAAAUUCGUUGCUUGAUUCUGUGCAAACUUCACGAAAUUAUGAUAACGAGAUAAAAUUUGAGGAGUUUGGAAUUAUUUAAAAGACAAAACAACAAGAAGCACCUAAACUGAAAUUGAAACUUUUGCCUGAAGGAUUGAAGUAUGCUUUUCUUGGAGAAGAACAAACUUAUCAUGUUGUGAUUUCUUCUACUUUAACAACCGACCAAGAAGGUAAGUUACUAACUGUUCUUAAAAGGCAUAAAAAUGCAACUGGAUGGACUUUAAAUAAUAUUAAAGGCAUUAAUCCCUUAAUUUGCACACAUAGGAUUAAUUUGGAAGAAAGUGCUAAAAUAUGUCAAUAACCUUAAAGAAGAUUGCAACCACACAUGAAAGAGGUAGUCAAAACAGAAGUCCUUAAAUUACUUGAUGUGGAAAUUAUCUACACUAUUGCUGAUAGUAAGUGAGUAAGUCCUACACAAAUAGUGCCUAAAAAAUCAGGAAUCACUGUUGUUAAAAAUAAAAAAGUGAAUUAAUUCUAACAUAAAUUACAUUUAUUUGGCGCAUGUGCAUUGAUUAUAAAAAGUUAAAUGAAGCCACCAGAAAAGAUCAUUUUCCAUUACCAUUCCUUGACCAAAUCUUAGAAAGAAUAGCUAGACAUCCAUACUACUGCUUUUUAGAUGAAUAUUCAGGUUAUUAUCAAAUUCUUAUAGCACUUGAGGACCAAGAAAAGACCACAUUUACAUGUCCCUUUAGAAUAUUUGCAUUUAAAAGAAUGCUAUUUAGGCUUUGUAAUGCUCUUGCAAUACUUCAACGAUAUAUGCAAAGCAUUUUUUGUGAUAUGGUUGAACAUUGUUUAGAGGUUUUUAUGGAUGAUUUGAUUGUAUUUGGGAAUUCUUUUGAUGAUUGCCUUGAUAAUUUGGAGAAAGUUUUAAAAAGAUGUGUUGAAAAAGAACUCGUGUUGAAUUAGGAAAAAUGUCACUAUAUGGUUACUUCUGCAAUUGUUUUAGGUUAUGUUGUAUCUAUUAAAAGAAUUAAAGUUGACAAAGAAAAAGUAGAAGUCAUAUCCAAAUUGCCAUAACAAAAAACAGUUAGAGAUGUGCGAUCUUUUUUAAGACAUGCAUGAUUUUAUAGGAGGUUUAUAAAAAAUUUUAAUGUCAUAUCUAAACCACUUUGUAACCUAUUAUUAAGAGAUGCACCAUUUGAAUGGAAUGAUGAUUGCCAAAAAUAUUUUGAGAAAAUAAUUUGUCUUUUAACAUCUGCACAUAUUAUGCAAUCUCCUGAUUGGUCUUUGCCCUUUGAAUUAAUGUGUGAUGCAAGUGAUUUUGCUGUUGGUGUGGUUUUAGGACAAAGAAUGGAUGGUAAGCCCUUUGUGAUUUAUUACGCGAGUAAGACUUUAGAUAGUGCUCAAAUGAAUUAUUCUACAACUGAAAAAGAAUUACUUGCUAUGAUAUUUGCAUUAAACAAAUUUCGUUCAUAUUUGCUUGACUCUAAAUUUGUUGUGUUUACUGACCAUGCUGCUGUGAGAUAUUUGAUGAUUAAACAGGAUGCCAAACUGAGAAUAAUUCAUUGGAUUUUGUAACUUCAAGAAUUUGACCUUACCAUCAAAGAUAAAAAGGGUGUUGAAAAUGUCAUUGCUGAUCAUCUAUCAAGACUCACAUCCGAAUUUUGCACUGAUAUAACACCCAUUAAUGAUUCUUUCCGUGAUGAAUUUUUAUUUUAUGUUACUUCAAUGCCAUGAUAUGCUAACAUUGUUAAUUUUCUUGUUACAGAUAAAAUGUCUUUGCAAUGGAAUGCUCAAGAGAAGAAGAAUUUUUUUGUUGAAGUAAAGUAAUUUUAUUGGAAUGAUCCUUACUUGUUCAAAUAUUGCCCAGAUCAAAUUUUUUGGCGAUGUAUUCUGAAUAAUGAGGUAAGUAGUUGUUAACAUAAAUAUUUCUUUAUUGAUUUUGAUGAUAACAAACUUGAUUAAGAUUGAUUAAUCUUUUAAAAGCUCAAAAUAAUUUUCAUCUAUUUUGACAAGUUUUAUAAAGUGUUUUUAUAAAGAUUUGGAGACAAACAAUUAUCUUGCAAAAUAGUUCACUGCAGCAGUUUCUGUGAAAAAUGGUGAUCCGACAAUUUUGAUAAACGGCUCGCCGAUAUCAAACAGAAUUGAAGAUUGGUCUCUGGACCUAAACGGUGAUCCGACAAAUUUGAUAAAUGGCUCGCCGAUAAUGAACAGAACUGAAGAUUAGCCUCUGAACCUAAACGGUGAUCCAACACCUAGAUAACAGCGAUAUGAGAAAUUUGAAAAUAAGCCUAAUGGUCAUAUUGACCAGUCAAACGACGAUCCGACAUCUAGUUCACGGCGAUCCGAUAGUGUGUAGAAAGUCAAUAACGGCUAGUUUUUAGCUCCAACUAUAAAUAAGCUCAUUCAAAUUCAAACAAGAUUGAUCACAACAUGACCAUUGAGCUUAUAUUCGAGAAUACAAUCUUCAUAGAGCUUUAAAAACACAUUCUUGCUUCAUCUAUUCAAACAUUGGGCAUUGAUUUGUAAUCUUAAAUAUUGUGUGAGAGAAAAAUAAUUUUUAAUGUUUUACUUUGAGUGAUUGUAAGUGUUGAGAUACACUUGGGUUAAGAGAUUGGGGAUAAUCUCUUGUUUUAAAGGUUCAUUGACACCUUAGAAGUCAAGUGUAAGCAUUUGAAGCCUUGGAGGCGUGCUUAGUGAAAUCCUCAAGCCCGGAAAGCUUGGACGCGUGGACGUAGGUGAGGUUGGCCGAACCACGUAAAAAUCUUCGUGUUUGAAUCUCUCUUCCCUUAUCUUUUUUAUAUUGUAAUUGAUUUAAGUGUUAUUCCAUUAAAUUCAUUUUAGAUAUGGUUGAUAAUUUGUUUAGAAUCAAAUAAUUUUUUAGAAUCCCAAUUCACCCCCCCUUUUGGGUUGCACACUUGUAUUUCAGUAGUGUCAUUAAUUUUUGUCAUUCUAAAGCAUGUGGAUUUUAUUGGCCUACCAUAUUCAAAGACACAUACGAAUUUUGCAAAACUUGUGAAAAAUGUCAAAAAUUGGGAUCAAUUACUAAAAGAAACAUGAUACCUUUAAAUCUCAUACUUGAGAUUGACAUAUUUGACUGUUGGGGAAUUGAUUUCAUAGGUCCGUUUCCAUCUUCUUCUGGAUUUGUGUAUAUAUUAAUUGCAGUUGAUUAUGUCUCAAAAUGGAUUGAAGCAAUUUCUUAUCGAAAUAAUGAUAGCAAAACUAUGGUUAAAUUUUUAAGAGAAAACAUUUUAAGUCGAUUUGGAAUCCCUCGAGUUAUUAUCAGUGAUGGAGGUAAGCAUUUUUGUAAUAAGUCAUCUCAGUCUUUAAUGAAGAAAUACAUAAUUACACAUAAAGUUUUUAUCCCUUAUCAUCCUAAAAAAAAUGGUCAAGUUGAAUUAGCAAAUAGGGAAAUAAAACAAAUUUUGGAAAAAACGGUUAACCCAAACAGAGAAGAUUGGUCUCUUAGACUUAAUGAUGCACUUUGGGCCUACUGUAUUGCAUUUAAAAUGUCAUUAGGAAUGUCACCCUAUCGGUUAGUUUAUGGUAAACCUUGUCAUUUACCUGUUGAACUUGAACAUAAAUCACUAGAACAUAAAUUGCAAUUGAAUGAACUUGAAGAAUUAAGGAAUGAUGCAUAUGAAAAUUCAAGAAUUAUUAAGGCAAGAACAAAAACUUUUCAUGACAAAAGAAUUUUUUGGAAAAUAUUUGAGAUUAGUAAAAAAAUAUUGCUUUAUAAUUCUUACUUUAUAAUUAUCGUCUUCAUUUAUUUUCAGGGACGUUAAAGUCAAAAUGGAGUGGCUCAUUUGUUGUAAAAAAAAUAUAUUCAAAUGGGGCCAUAAAAAUUGAGGAUCUAAAUAACAGUGUUACAUUUAAAGUUAAUAGUCAAAUAUUAAAACCAUAUCUAGAACAUCACGUAAAAAAGACACCGAAAUUAAUUUGGGUGACCCACCAAUUCUUGAUUAAGUCAUUAAUGACUGAUUCAUUUUUUUUUUGUUUUACUGUUAUUUUUCCAUUUCAUUGUUUGAUUUUUUUUCUUUCUCUCUUGAUUAAUGCACUGUACAUAAUAUUUUUUAACAUUAUAUUUCUUGUUUAAGCAUGUUUGUUUGACAAUUAUAUUUUCUCUCAUCAAUUUUCAUUAUACGUCAAGAGUACCUCAAUAAGAAAGUUCUUAUUCACACACCUUAAAAGAUUUCUGCGUAUGAAAUUUCACUUAAGAAGCCUAAUACAAAGCUAUAAAUCACAUCCACUUUAGGAUCUGCAACCACCAACAUUAGUGUUCUAUGUUGAGGAUCUAGAAAGAUAAUUCAGAGCAGUAGAGAGAGGUAUAUAUGAAUAUCAAUUCGAGCUUGAAGUUAACUCAAUAAAAGGACGAAUGUAAAUUCAUUUUUCAUUUUUCAUUUUUCUUUUCUUUAUGUGAUUUGUUUUUGUUGUUUUGUUUACUUUCAUUUUUUAUUUGAUUUUGCAGUUUUAAUUCUCUUUAUUUUGGUGUAUUUUGGUUUAUUUUUCCAUAGAAACGGCAGAGAACAGUACUCCAUGACUUCUUAAGUCGGUAUCUUCAGUUUCCCACAAUAACUGAAACCCCAAAAUCAAACAUGGAAGAAAUAUAACAUAAACUGAAUAAGCAUUUUCUCUCUCUUCCUCAGAAUGCCCUUAAGAAAAUUUCCAAAGCUCGUUGUGAACGAUUGCGUUUGUUAAUGAUCAAUGGCAUUCCUUCUAAUAUUCGUUGGUUAAUUGAAGCAAAGGUCUAAUUAGCAGGUGUGUUUUCUGAUCCAUUUGUUUAUUUCAUGUCCGAUUUUGGUAAAAGUACAUUUGCUAAAAAAAAAAAGAGUUAAACGACUUGGCUCAAAAUAUCAUAGCUGUGUACGACUUAAUUGCAAACGACCAGAUUAUAAUUCUUUAGGAAUUGUGUCUGAUACUCGUGAAGUUAAAAUUAAAUUCAUUAAAGAUGACAUGAGUAAAGAAUUGUUAGAUAAUAUCUUACGAUCUCUUGAGACGCAUCGAAGCGGAUUUGUGCAACGUGAGAUUCAUAAUUUAUGGAUACUAUUCCAAAAAAAAAGUACACAGUUUAGUCUUGGGAAUCUGACUUAAAAAGACCUUGUUUGCCAGUUUAUAAGAAAAAUGGAUGGGAAGCCUAACCUCAACCCAUAGAGGGCGUUCAAGCCGUUACUGGACGUAAAACCAAAGGAAUAUGUGAGCCACAAUCACAACUACCCACAAAUAUCUUUUUAUUUUGUUGUUCUUUUAUCAUUUGCAUUAUUGAAUUUAGUGGUGUGAUUUUGUAUUUAAUAAUAUUUAUAUUCUUUUACUGUUUGCUUUUUCUAAUCACUAUUUUCUUUUUACUAUUUGCUUUUGAAUUAUUGAGCCACGAGUUUUACUCGUCGUUUGACAAAUAUGUCAAUCCAUUUACAAUUGUUUUUCAUUAUUUCUGUCACCAAGAUCUUUAAUAUGAGCUCGUUUUUCAAACACUCACAACUUGUUUUUGAAGAUUAUUCCAAUGGUAGCAUCUUCGAGUAAACAAUUCAAAAGCAUUUGUGUGCUUGUUGGAUUUCACUAUGGAAAGUACAAAGAAUUCAUUUAGGCAGUUGCAAAUUUUGGUUGUGUCAUAGUAGAGAGGAAACUACAUCUUGUAUAUGGAGGAGGUGAACGAGGGUUAUCAAGACUUGUCUCAGAAGCGGUUUUUACUAGAGGAAGCCAAGCACUAGGCCCACCAAUUAGAGAAGAAUUAGUGGUAUCAAUUAAGCAAGAGAGAAUAUCUAAAAUGCUAAAUUACGUUGAUGCUUUUAUUUUCUUGCUAGGAGAUCUUGCAACUUUUGAGGCACUGACUACAUUUGCAUCUUGAGCCCACUUGAACAUUCAUAAAAUACCCAUCGGUUUGUUAAAUGUUAAUAUUUUUUAUGAUGGCUUGAUAAAUUUUAUUAACCAUGCAAUAAAGAAUCAUUUUGUUCCAUACUCUGAAAAAAAAGACUCUUUAUCUUUGCUUUUACUGCUAAUGAAUUACUUAAUCUUUUACAAGCUUAUACACCAGAGCCAGAUCCCAAAAUAUUUGUGCUAGAUUGGUCGACUGAUUAUGGUAGCAGUAGUAGCAAUAAGAAGUACAAAUUAGAUUUAGCUCUCCGUCUAUAAAUAUUUUCUAUUGCAAUGUUCAUAUGAUGUCUUCUAAACUCUUCCUCUUUCCUUUUAAAACAUUGAGGACAAUGUCUCUUUCAAGUUGGGGGUAAGGAAUAAUUGAUAAUUGUGGAAUGUCUUAGUCCUGGUGAUGUUUUUACAAAAACAUUUCUGUAAAAACUAACUUUGGACUAAAUUUGAGUCGAAAAUGGCUGGAUAUGGAGAGUGCAGUACCUCUAGAAACGCAUAUUCUUAAUCCUAGAGUUUUAUUAAAAAAUUUGACUUUUUCUUGUUCUUUGUUAUAUGCUUUUAGGCUUCUACAUCGAGUUCAGGUGAGAUUUCCUCCUCUUCUUCUUUUAUUAUUUUUUCUCUUUUAUUAUUUUUUAUGCAUAUCUAUAAAAUUAUAAAAUGUUAAGAUAAUGUUUAGAUUAGGUUGGGGGGUAGGGAUAGUUGAUGGAUGUUUUUAAAUAUGUGUGUUCGUUUUUCUCUUUUCUUUUCUUUUUUUUAAAAAAACCCAAUUUGUUUUGUCUAGAAUGGCUGUGUAAAGAGUCACGACUUUUGAGACGCAUCUUAAUAGUCUUGUUGUAUUAUAUUUUGAUUUUGAAAUUCAUAGUAAAUUGUUUUUGUUCCCUUUUCUUUGAAUUACUCAAAUUUUUGAACUCUCCACUUGGUUAAUAAGUCAUUUAAUUGUUUACUCAUUUAACAGGUAUUAUUGAAUCAUUCUUCACACACACACACACACACACACACACACUAUGACACAUACUAGUGGGUUGUAAGUUAAAUUUUUUACAGCAUUUAGUUCUUUUGAUUUAUUAGGAAUAAUAUCUAAGGUAGUAGAAAGUGUAUAUUGCAAAAAACAAAAAAAAAACAAAAAAAAGAAAAAAAAAGAGAAAAAAAAUGAAUGUUUUUAAUUUUGCUAUAUCUAGAACCUGAGUAAUUAAGUCCGUAGGGGUGUUUCAACACCUAAUACCCUAAGGUCAACUGGUCUGGGAGUCAUUGACCUAAAGCUCACUACAUGGGUAAUAGAUAUAUUGUUUGCUUAUUAGAAACCCGAGUAAUUAAGUCUGUAGGGGUGUUUCAACACCCAGUACCCUAAGGUCAACUGGUCUGGGAGUCACCGGCCUAAAGCUCACUAUAUGGGUUAAAAAUUUAAUAUUUUUAAUUUAUAUGUGUGAAUAAUCUACUGCCUCAAGAUAGAAUUUCUAAUGAAUUUUAAAACAAAAAUGUUAAUUUUCUUUUAAUAAAGCCCCAUAAGUAUUGUGUUAAUUAUUUGAGUACAAAAGAAGGUUUGAUAAUAUUCUAGAUAAUGAGUGAAUACUAAAGAAGUAAAGAAAUUUGGGAAAGUUUAUUUAUUUGGUAGUUUAGAGGAUAGACGAACAACUAUUAACUUGCAUGUGAAUUUUGUAAAUCUUAAUUUAAUAUAACAUUAUAAUUGCUAGGGGCUAGCAAUAAGCUGAUUGGGGGGUGUGAUUAGUAUUAAAAAUUGUUUAAUUAUCAAGCGAUACUAAUAUUAUGUUGUGUUUAAGUUAUAAUUUAUAUUUGUGUUUAUACAAUAUAUUAGGAAUUAUUAAUUAUUAAUUAUGUAUUAAAUAUAUCUAAUUUUGUAUAUUUUUGUGUGUUUAUUAGGUAAAAUAUUAAUUUCACGUAAUUAGAGGCUCCAAACAGAUAAAUGAAUGUUAAAUUUGGAUUCCGGAAGUCCGAAAAUCUUAAGAUAAGCCAAGAUCGGCUUAAAAUUGGGCUUGUGUAAAAAUUGUAGACUUUUCAUAUUGACCGAACACUGAUUGGAUAAUGAAAUGAGCUUACAAUAUAUAUGAGUGCAUGAGAUAGCUGGCAAUUUUGACUACAUCUCAACCGUUCAUGAUUCAAUGGCCGUGAUUGUGCCACAUGGCAAUGGUUAGUGAAGCAAGCUGUAGGAUCCAAAUCUUUGUAUUCGGGUCGACCUGAUUCACCCAUUAACCCGCCAAAUCUCAACCGUUCUUUGGCCAAAUCAGACGAGUCAAAUGAUGCCACGUGUGAUGCUGACUUUUGAAGUUUGACCAGCCAUUGGAUCUUGAUCUAAUGGGUUUGAGGAGCGCAUGCAUGAAGCUUAUGAUGGAGUGCAUGCAUGAAGCUUAUGAUGGACCGCAAAACACUGGAUUAUGAAUUUAUUUUUCUAUAAAUAGAGAUUCAUUUUUAUGUUUUUAAUCAUCUCUCCACAUUUCUCUUCUUCUCAAUUUCUCUGCAUCUCCCUGUAAUCUUGAUUUUCAGGUGUGUUUUAAAUAUUUUGUAUAAUUAUUUUUAUAAAUAAAUUUAGUUUUAUUUUCAAUUUUAGUUAUUUUUAUUACUUUUAAUUAUAAGUAAUUUAAUUUUAAUAAUUUUUUUUAUUUCAAUUAUGCUUAACUAAACAAUAAUAGUUAGGGUAAUGUGAAACUCUUAGUAAAUAAAUACGAUUUAAUCAAAUUCUUUUUUUAAUCUUAUAAAUUAAAUUAUUUUCUAUUUAAUUUUAUACAUAUUUUAUAUUUUGAAAUUUUGAUUUAUUGUAGAUAAACAAGGUAGUUUGGCACAAUAAAUUCUUAAUACCUUAAUAUAAGGUAUGGUAAAAAGGUAUUUUGACUUAUUGUAGACAAAUUAAAUUUUGGCACAAUAAAUACUUAAUCCAUCAUAAAAUUAAAGGGAAAAUAAUAAUAAUUUAUAUAAUUAAUCUUUUGGGCAAUAAAUCUAAAAAAAUGGCAAAAAGAAUUCUUUUAAGUCAACCGUAACUAGUUCAAUUUCAUAGUUUCAUUUAAAUUAAGUUUUUUAUAUUCAAUUUUUAUUUUUAUUUUUAGAUAAAAUAAAAUAAACAAAUUAAAUAUUUUCUCUGAUAAUUGACAUCGGACUCAUCAAGCUAUAAUAUAACAAGACACUCUUAUAAUUUAGAGUUAAAAAUUACUUUUAAGUUGUGUCAAUACGCUAAACAAUUCGUACAACAAUUUAAUCUAUUGCCUUAAUCAAAUAAAAAACAAUAAAUUCAAUAAAGUACAAUAAUAAAAGAGUAAGGGAAGAGAGAGCAAAGACAAUAAUUUUUACGUGGUUCGGCAAUCCCCGCCUACGUCCAUACCUCCAAGCCAACCAAGCUCAGGAAUUUCACUAUCCAAGCCUCCCAAGACUUCAAGUUCUUUACAAUUGACUUUCAAGGUAUCAAUAAAUCUUUACAACCAAGAGAUUAUCUCUCAAUCUUUUCACUCAAGUAUUUCUUACACUUAUACACUCACAAACUUGAUGAAAAAAUAAAGAUUACAAUAAUGAAACUCUCUUUAAGAUUGGAUGUACAAUUGACAGCUCAAUGAAAAUUUAAUCUAUGAUGAUUUUCGAAUUUGGAUGCUCAAAAUAUGUUGUUUAAACCUGUUUGUGCUUGCAAGAGUCUUAAAAUUAAAGUUUGAGUUAAGUUCUUAUAGCAAAAGUCCAAAAACUAGCCAUUAUAGGCAAAUUUCAGUAAUAAAGCAGCUAGCGCUUAAUUUAUUCGGCUCCCAGCUUUAGAACAGUAAAGUUACUGUUAAAUUUGAACUUUGCUACAGUAAUACUGCUUACAAAAUUACAUUUUUGCCCAAACUUACUGUAAUUAUACUAUGGCCUAAAACGUCAUAGAACUUUGCAAAUAUGUCUAAUUUCAGAAUUUCUAAAUAAUACUCGUUAUUCCCAAAGCUUUCUGAAAUUGUGAUAUGGCCCAAUACAUGAUAAUAUUUUUCAAAAUAAUCCUUUUCAAAAUUUAACGUAAUACUUAUAAAUUUCAAAGUUUUCAAAACUUUUUCAAUUUAAUCCAAAAUUUGAAAAUGUGAAGUUUUCCUUAGACGGCUAGCCGCUAACUCUCCGUCUACUUAUGAUAUUUACACUUAGGCCCUCAAACUGUCAUAAAUUAUAGUAUGGCUCAAAAAAUUUUAAAUGUUUGCAAAUAAGUCCAACUCUGGAAUUUAAAACAAUACUUAUUAAAAUCAAAGAUUACAAAACUUUUUCAUUUCAGUCAGCAUCUUGAAAAAUAACUAAUUUCACAAAAUACUUAGCUUAUACUUGUAAAAUUUUUGAUUUAUGAAAAAAUAAUGAUUUAUUAAACAAAAUCUUGAACUUCUCAAAUGCUAAACCAUUCAUAUAUUAAAUUAUACCAGCUUUACAAGAAUUGUCGCAGUAAUGAGUCUGUUGAGCUCUAAACUUUAUUCUUGAUUGCGCCAUUGUCCGUUGAGUGUCUUGAACUUGAUUGCUCGUGAUUCACUUCAUCGUAAAUAUUAUCCUUUAAGAACUAGUGAAAUGUGAAAUAUAAUAUUUUUCAAAUCACUUAAAACACAUGUUUGUUAUCAUAAAAUUACAUAAUAUGUAGCCCUUUAGGCUAACAAAGUCUUCAUCACCUCAAAGAAUGUAUAAACGAAGAAAUAAUUAAGUGUGGAUUCUUCAAAGUUUCGAGAAAGAUUAAUGAGAAAGACGACAAGUUCGAAUUAUAAGAUGAUUUGGUCUACAAGUUUCACCCUCCAGACUAUAUUCAAACUCAAGGAUGAGUUUCUUUUAAGUUGGAGAGAUUGAUGUAGAAUGUUAUUUUAGGGUUUAGAAUUUUUAUUAUUUUAGGAUUUUCUACUUUAAUUAGAGUCAAUUGUGGUAUAUGUUUUAGUGUUUUAUUUCCAUUAUAAUUGUGAUUUAGUUUUACUUUUUAAAUUAACCUAGGGAAAUAUAUUUAUUCUAUUAUAAGGAGAGAUGUCUCAUUCCCGUGUGUUGUUAACCUUUAGCUUUUGCUAGGGUCGCCUUUCUUUAUAAAAAUAAAAUAAAAUAAAAUAAAGAGGUCUUGUUAUUAUUUUCAUAACUUGAGAUUCAAUUAUUUAAUAAAACUGCCUUUUAUAAUUCCUCUAGAAUUAUCUAUCAAAAUCUUUCUUGUAGAGUUGUUUGGAUUACAGCAUAAUCUAAUCUCACUUCAUGCAUUAUUAAAAAUUUCAUCGAGUCAUUUGGAUUAAAAUAAGAUCUAAUCACAUUUCGAUUAGAGUGUAUGCUAAUCGCAUUAACUUGGUCCGCUACUAGAACGAUAUCUAGUGUUUUUUACCCUAAUAAUCCCACUUCUACUGCGCUCGCUUCCUCAGUCUGGUAAAAAAUUCCGUUCAAGUGAUGCCAACAUUAGCCGUACUGUUGCGUCGUAUGGUGACGGAAAUUUUACAUUCAUUUCUGGCUCUAGUUGCAAUUUUAUGUAAUUUUUGUGCGGAUGUUCGUUGCGAUUUAAAGAAUGGUUCAGUCCCUUCAAUUGAAUGUGUUUGGAAAGUCCCAUGAUGCUUCAAUGACCAUUGGAUCAUAGGCGAGUUAAUCCUCACCCUUGAUAAGUUCUUAUGGUUUUUAUAAGAUCAACAUUUUGGUCAUGACUUAUCAAGUAACGAUGUAAGUUUUUCAAUGAUAAUGAUAUCACAUAGUAAUCAUAUUCCAUUAAUCCUCCAACCACUAUUUAGUCAGUUGGCUUAGGUGAAUAAUUAUUGAUUCUUAAUGAAUCAAAUGUUUAAUUAAAAGCUUCUUAGAUCGUUAUUAAGGCUUUGGUGAUUAGCAAUGGAAAGCUUUGAGAAAACCCCUCCCCCACCCAUGGUUGAUGAUCGCUCCACCAAGAAGGCCAAGUUUAUGGCUCAAAGUGAUGUUGGUGAAACUUCUGAGCGUCUCUCCUUUCGAGACCAAUUAAUGAAGUCACAAAAGGAUACAGAGGAAGAGUUGUUUGGCAGCGACGACGAUUUAGAUUUAAAUCCGAAGGAUGUAAUUUUUAUGAAUACUGAUUCUAUGCCAUCCAUAACUUUUUCACUGAAAGUUCAUGAGCAGUUGAUCAAGCCUUGGCAGAAUACAGUUGUGGUUAAACUGUUGGGUCGCCACAUUGGAUACAGGGCUUUGUGUAACAGAUUGGAAUCGUUGUGGAAUUUGACACCGGGAUUUAACACCAUUGAUCUAGAGAAUGAUUUUUACUUGGUCCGUUUCAAGAAUGUAGGAGAUGCGGAUUAUGUUUUAACAUCUAGACCUUGGACUAUUAUGGGACAUUAUCUGACGGUACAACCAUGGUCACCUCACUUUGAUAGUUCUAAAAGAGAGAUAGAUAAAGUAGUGGCCUGGAUUCGUCUCCCGGGCAUGGCUCUGCAUUAUUACCAUAAGAAAAUACUCUGACGGCUUGGGCAAAUCAUUGGUUCGGUUAUCCGUAUCGACUAUACUACAGAAUCUGCACAGAGGGGUAAAUUCGCUCAAAUAGCAGUAGAAAUAGAUCUUAAGAGCCCUCUAAUUUCACAGUUUCAUCUGGAUGGUAAAAUACAAAGAGUGGAAUAUGAGAAUCUUCCGGUUAUUUGUUUCCACUGUGGGAAGUACGACCAUUACAAAGAAAACUAUUCAGAUAGGGAGAAUAAUGGUCCCACUGAGGACGAUGUGCCUAUCCCAGGUGGUCCGGUGGAGCAUCAGUGGAUGAGUAAGGCUAGAAACGACAGCCGAAAUGAGCCAAAAUUCGGGCCAUGGAUGGUAGUGGCUCGCAAAGGAAAGUCGAGAGUGGAGAAGGAAAGCAAUUCUAAUCAGGCAACUGACCAAGUUUUUUGGGGGCAGUAUGGGAAGGAAUCGCGAUUCAAUAUCUUAGCUAAUCUCGGGGAAGAAGAAUCAAACCAUGAGGAAAAACAGGAUGCCAUAUGGAACAGACACAUAGAGAUAGCAAUACAAUUAAUUCUAGCCCUACUUUGUCGCCAAAAAGUAAACCCACUAGAAGGACAGAUGCUCAUAAAUCAGCUAAGCCAACAGAACCGGGGCACAUGGGAACAUCUACUGGACUGCAUGCGAUAACCCAUACUAAAGAAAACACAGCUCCUCAAAGCCCUUUUCACACACAUGUCUCACGAGGUGUUACCAACCUCCAUGCAAACCAUGCAAGCCCCAAUCCUUUACUUAUGCCUGUGUACGUUCCUACUAGUUUAAACCCCCUCCAUCAUUCGGCCAUCUCUUUCUCUACUGAUUACGCCACUGCACACCUCCCUUGUGCUGAUGUCCAUCCUAAAACCUCCAAUGGCCAAAACAGUGCUGAUGGGCAUAUCACUCUGUCCGAAUUAGACGGUGACCCUCCCAAUCUCACAGGUUUAGCUGCUAACAUGGACAUGGAAGACGACACGAAUGAUAGUGAUUAUGUGGCUACAAGUGAGGAUAGGGCUGACUCUUCAGAAGGUGAUGUGUCCCUUGUUGAAGAAACGGCCAUGGACCUAACGGAAGAGGCAUCUCAGCCGCUACAGUAAGGUUCUAUUUUUCUCCAAUCUUUAUAUCAUGAAGUUACAAAUUCUUUUUUGGAAUGUACAGGGGGCGGCCUCGAAGGGUUUUCGUCGCUCUUUUAAUACCCUUAUAAAAAAUUAUGGCCCUUUCAUGGUUAUUAUAAUGGAGCCUAGAAUCAGUGGGAAGCAAGCCGAUGAUUUUAUUAAAUGUAGCGGAUUUGAGUAUUCUCAUCGUAUUGAAGCUACGGGUUUUUUUGGAGGUAUCUGGAUUCUUUGGCGGGGUUAUUUUGAUGUGGAAGUCUUAUUCAAUCAUAAGCAAUUCGUCCAUUUCAAAAUUUCAAAGAAUGAUAUUCUUGAAACUUGGAUCACAGCUGUGUAUGCGAGCCCUAAUCCUAUUUUGUGACAGCAGUUGUGGGAUCACCUUGAUUUCUUGGCUAGAACGGUUCAUGGCCCGUGGCUGGUGGGAGGCGAUUUCAAUUCCAUUCUUUGUGCUGAUGAGAAGAAAUGUGGCUCUACACAUAUUUCUGGGGUGUGUGGUCUAUUUAAGAGUUGGUUUAAUAAGAAUGGAAUGUUUGAUUUAAACUUCCAUGGUCCCCGUUUCACUUGGUCUCAUGGUUUUCUUAUGAAGAGGCUGGACAGAGCUAUGUCGAAUACAGAGUGGCUAAACAAGUAUCCAGACAAUGCAGUUUUACACUUGCCAAAAAUUGCUUCAGAUCAUAGACCUAUCUUAGUUCGGUUUAAUAAUGAUGCCAGUAGCGUUAGGGGACAAAAACCUUUCCAUUUCUUAGCUGCAUGGCUUACAGACAAUUCUUUUGAGGAGUUUGUCUCUAAUGCUUGGAUUAAUAGUUUGCCGUAUCUAAAUGCUGCUGAUAUUUUUGUAAAAAAGGCCUUGGAAUGGAAUAGAGACCAUUUUGGGAAUAUUUUUCAAAAGAAGCGACGGAUCUUAGCACGCCUGGGGGGGGAUUCAAAAGGUGUUAGAAACUAAGUCCCGACGAAGUUUGGCCAGGUUAGAGCUCAAGCUGAAGAAGGAGUUAGAGGAAAUUCUUACACAAGAGGAAAUUUUGUGGCUUCAAAAAUCUCGUAAAGAAUGGCUUCUCCAAGGGGAUAGAAAUACGGCUUAUUUUCACCAAAAAACGUUGGCCAGACGUAGAAGAAAUCGUAUCACAACUAUCCAGAAUGCUAAUGGGGAAUGGAUUGUGGAUAAUGAAAUUAUUAAGCAGCAUGCUACGGCUUUCUUCUCGACCCUUUAUAGUAGUGAGACUUUGGCUUUCCGACCAUAUCCAGUCAGGGGCUGCUUCCCUAUCCUUGAUGCAGCUCUCACUCACGGGCUCAUGGCUCCCAUCGAGGAUAAUGAAAUCCAACAGACUAUUUUUAGCAUGAAGCCACUAAAGGCACCUGGCGUGGAUGGUCUUCAUGCAAUUUUCUACCAAUCCCAAUGGCAUAUCGUUGGCCACUCCUUCUGUAAAUUUAUAAAGAAUAGUUUCAGCAGCGCCAGUAUUUUGAAGGAUAUUAACACUACGCUUCUAGUUCUCAUUCCAAAGGUUGACCAUUCGGUUAAUCUAAAAAUGUAUCGAUCGAUUAGUUUAUGCUCAGUGGCAUACAAAACCAUUUCUAAAAUUGUGGCUAACAGACUGCAAGCCCUAAUGCCGAUUCUUAUUGGUCCUCAGCAAACUAGUUUUGUGCCUGGCCGUCAUAUCACUGAUAAUAUUGUGAUUGCCCAAGAAGUUAUUCACUCCAUGCGCAAGAAAACGGGGAAGAAAGGAUUCAUGGCGAUUAAAAUGGAUCUCGAAAAGGCGUAUGAUAGACUUAACUGGGAUUUUAUUUAUGAGACGCUGCAGGAAACGGGACUGCCUAGAGAUAUGAUCCAGAUCAUUAUGGCAUGUAUUACUUCGGCUACAAUGAGAGUAUUAUGGAAUGGUGAAGCUUCUGAUGAGUUCGUUCCCUCCCGUGGUAUACGACAAGGAAACCCUCUUUCCCCGCAUAUUCUUAUUCUUGGCUGAAGCAGACAUUGAACAAGCUGGGGUGAUAAAUAUGGUCUUAAAUAAUUUUUGCCAGAGCUCGGAAGCUAAAGUUAAUAAGGCUAAAUCUCAAGUUUUCUUUUCUAAAAAUAUUUCGGCUCGGGACAUGAAAAGAAUUGGGGCUGAACUUGGUUUCUCCGUAACCAAGGACUUGGGCACGUACCUUGGGAUGCCGCUGCUGCAUACUCGUGUAUCGCAGCAUACAUAUCAGAACAUUAUUGACAAAGUGGAAAGGCGUCUGUCGAGCUGGCAUGCUUCUCUGUUGUCUUUGGCUGGCAGAAUAACCCUUACUCAGACAGUUUUACAAGCUAUCCCAGUUUACACAAUGCAAACAACUAGCCUCCCUACUGGAAUUAAUAUGAAGAUUGAUAAAGCGUGUAGGAAAUUCAUAUGGAGUGGUACCUCAAAUCAGCAGCGGAUGAGUAUGGUUAGCUGGGAUACAUUGUGCAAACCAAAAGCUUAUGGAGGCUUAGGACUUAAAGAGCUAAACGUGAUGAAUAAAGCGCUUUUAAUGAAGCUUAGUUGGGGAAUCAUCUCAGCUAAGGAUAGCUUAUGGGUUCAGGUCCUAUGUACAAAAUAUGGGGUUAAUAAUUCCAACCCCCCGCUGUCCUUGCUGACUCGCUAUGGAUCUCAUAUGUGGAAAGCUAUUGGAAGGAUUUGGAGUGAUAUGAUGUUAAGUAGGAGCUGGUCUGUUGGUGAUGGUAAAAGAAUCCGUUUUUGGUGGGAUUGUUAGGUGUAUAAGGAUAAGCCCCUUGCGAACCAGGUCACUUCUCAUAUUCCCGAUCAAAUCACUAACUUAAAUGGUUGCUGAUUGUAUGGCAGCGAAUGGGCAAUGGAACUGGGCAUUAUUUGAUCAUUUUCUCCCUCACUCGGCCAUCAUGAAGAUUGCGUCCAUACAUCCUCCCUCAGAUUUGUUAGGUCCGGAUCAAUUCUAUUGGUCGCAUUCUAAUAAAGGGAAUUUCUCAGCCUCCUCGGCUUAUAAUGUUAUCAGCUCUCUGGAUAAUUCUUUACAGGAUACUAGUUGGAAUAUGGUUUGGAAGUGGCAAGGCCCUCAGGGUGUUAAAGUUUUCAUUUGGUUAGCUCUUCAUGGCCGGUUGAAAACCAAAGCUGAAAUUGCAAGGCGCCACAUGGUGAUAAAUACUGAGUGUGAUAGAUGUGGGGCCCCGGUUGAGGAUAUCUUGCACGUUUUAAGAGAUUGCAUGGGUACGAAAGGUUUUUGGUAUCGAGUGAUUCCAGUAGCAAUGAGGCAGCAUUUUUUCCAAGCUCCUUUUAAAGAAUGGAUGAUGAAUAAUCUCCAGAAUGCAUGGCCUAUUUCUGGAGUUUGAAAUUGGGUUUGCUUUUUUGGUAUAGCGAUAUGGAGACUAUGGUUUUGAAGGAACCAAUUCUGGGUGAAUGGAUUAGCUAUGGACAGUUUAUCCAUGGUUAAUGAUGUCAAGGCUCGCACGGAGGAGGUGAUUUUAAUUCAAAGGUCUUCUUUGAGCUUGACAAAUAAAAAAGUCACCAAAUGGAUUGGUUGGUCGCCUCCGAAUUGGCCAUGGUGCAAGUUGAAUUCAGAUGGUGCAUGCAAAGUGAAUGGUGUAGCUACUGCAGGGGGCCUGAUUUGAGACCACAGUGGUCAUUGGGUUGCUGGAUUUGGGAUGAAUAUAGGGAAUUGUUCAGUGACUACGGCGGAAUUAUGGGGUCUUUACCAAGGGUUGACUCUUGCGUGGAAUAAAGGGAUCCGUUGGCUUUGUGUUGAGGUUGAUAGUCGCUGCGUUACUCAACUUGUGAAGAAUAACAUGGUGAAUCCCAAUGAGUUUUCUACCCUCAUUCGUGCUAUUCAAGAACUCAUCAGACGCAACUGGCAGGUGGAGAUUACUCAUGUUUACAGGGAGGCUAAUUUUGCUGCGGAUUAUUUGGCUACUUUAGCUUGUUCCCUCCCGCUAGGACUUCAUGUUUUGAACUCUCCUCCUAAAGGAGUGUUCCAGUUUAUGUCCCAAGAUAAUUAUGGGGUAGUCUAUCCCCGCCUUGUUAUUUCUUAGCUCUGUUAAGAGCCUCUCUUAAUCCAAAAAAAAAAAAAAGCUUCUUAGAUCAUUCAUAAUGACAUCGCAUAGUAAUCAUAGUCCAUAACUCCACAAACCAUAUCCUUUUCCUUUUCUUUUUUCUUAUUAAGAUAAAUGGAGAAUCGUGUGUGAGAUUUGAUUUUCCUCUAGUAGUUCAUAAGAUAAGAUAGCGGAAGUCCACCAGUUCAUAAAUUUGGCUAAUAUCAUAUAGAACUAACUCAAGAUGUAAUUGAGAAUUCUUAAUUUUCUAUUCUUAGUCCAUGAACUAUUCUCAACUGAGCUAUGGAAUAUUAUCAAUAAAUAAAAAGGUAUUUAUGUAUGCUAAAAGAAACAACUGUGAGAUCAAGAAAUGAAAGCAAAGAAGCAUGGAUAUACUUUUUUUCCCUUAAUUAAUGAUAUGCAAGGAGUUACGAUUUCAAUGAAAAUCACAGUUAAUUUACAAACAUCAAACUUAUUUAUGAGGAUGAAAAACUCGGUACAUAUUUUAAUAAACAGCCACAUUAUUCUUUCAAGCAAGGCUCAAUACAAUACACAAACAAAGCCUCUUAAACAUUACUGACACCAAACAUUACUAGGCUGAAUACAAUCAGACAUUACAUAAACUCAUCUUUAGCUGCUGGAACGAAAACAAGAUGAUCUGUUGGGAAGUAGUGGCAGACGGGGAUAGUUCCCGGCUUAAUACCAAGUAUCUGAAAUGAUAGAUGGUCAGGAUUCCACUGAGAGGUAUCCAGAUGACAAGCUGAAAUAGCGUCAGCUAUAUCUCCAUUGUCACCGACCAGAGAAACCCUGAAUACUUUGUUGAUGUUCUCUGUCAUAUGGCUAUGGCAGCCGUAAAUUGCAUAAGGAUAGGACAUGUAAUGACAAGCUACCAUCUUGGAAGCAGGGAUCUCUUGCACCUCUAGGAUUGUAUAAUUUUGGAAAGUAUUACUGGUAGACUUUGUGGUCACAGUUUUAAAACCUGUCUCCGAGCCAAAGAUGCUGCCAGCAAAAUCAAGCAUGGAUUCUAAAGAGGUAGCACAAGUUUUGAUUUCAUCUUUGAUGGGAUCGGUUUCACACAUCCUGAGAGUGUCUUCCAUGGCUUUGGCUUGCGGUGAGACGCGUGGGAUGGAGGUUAAUUCAAGAAUAUAAGGAAGUUGUUUCAAUGAAAAUGGAAAGGAAUCAGCUUCUUCUCUAGGCAAAAAGUGAGCAGAAUUUGAAUGAUCUUCAAUUGGAAGAUAGAGGGCCAUUUUAUUACCUACCUUUAGAUCCCUCAAGGUGAAGAAUAUCUUGACCUCGCUUGAGUUUACGUCCACAUGGGAUGAAUGAUGAGCUAUAUGCAUAUGAUGAAGUUGAACAUCCAUUUGAGGCAGAGACUCCUCUCUCAAUUCCCUGGCACCGCUUCUGUAUGCGCACUGAAAAAAGUUCAACAGUAAAUAAACAGCAUAAACUUUGAAGGGUCGUAUCAACUCAAGAAUUAAUGAACAAAUUAAAAUGAAAAACUUAUUUUGCAAAAGGAAAGUUUAACCACAGUUGAAGACUACCAGGAGGAGGAGCUGUAGAAGGAUGUUCCAAGAAGCUAAUCCCAAACCCAUCUUGCUCUGGAUAACUCGUUUGUUUUUUGGCUACUGAAUGAGGUAUAUUGUAUAACUCGAUCGAGUGUCGACAAGUUGUAAAAGAAAAAUUUUACAGAGGCUGCCUCAGUACUCAGGUGAAAUAGAUUAAAAUUCGGAACUGUGACUAUGGAAGUAAUUGUUUCUUUUUUUAUUGGGGCUAUUUUACAAUUUAAAAACACUUCGAACACUCUUUUUCCCUUUUUAAAUUGAUGGGACCCACCAAACUACUCUACAACCCGUUUUUUAAUAAUAAUUUUAAUUUCUAAAAUAUCCUUCUCGUAGUUUACUAAUAAAUACGAAAACAAUAUAACUAUAUAGAAAUAAUUUUAAACAAUUAUCACCGUUCGCCCUAUAAUGGAUUUACAUCACUAACAUUCAACAAUUUCUCUCUUAAAAAUGAUUAAAUAAAUUUAAAGUAAAAAUUACUUCGAUCUAUUUCUUUAUGAUGUCGAGUCGAAGAUCAAGAUCAAGUUUUAUGCAUGAAACCUAUUCUGGAAACAUAAUUCAUAAAAGAGAAUAUAAAAACAAAAAAUGAAUAAUUUUGAAUAAAAAAAUUCCAGUAUCCCAUUAUUUUACGCACUUCCAUCUAUUUAUCCAUUAUGUUUAGAGUUUCAAUUUCUUUUAUAGAGUUCCCUCUCCCCCAAUAAAAAAGCUCUUUUAUAACUAUUACAGUUUGACUUUUGUAGAUAAAAAUAAAAAAUAAAAAUUUGUUACUGCUCCUUGCACUAGCAGUGGAAAAGAAUGUUGUCAAAAUUAUUGUUUUUGCUAACAAAUGGUUCCAUUGGCCAGGUUGAGGAAAAGAAAAGAGAAAAAUGGGAACGAAAUCUUUGAGCGACAGUUGGUUAGCGAGAGAAAUUUCUUUCCAAGGGUACUUUUAGGCCAUGUUUGGUUUGAAAAAAGGGGAGAACAAGAAAAAAAGUGGAAUGGAGGAGAAGGAAGAAGAAAAGAGUGGAGGAGAAUAUUGAAAUUAAAUUUUAUUUUUUGCUUUGAUAUAAAAUUUGAUAAGAAAAGUAAUUAUAACUUUUUCUUUGGACAAAUUUAUCCUUCAUCUUAAAUAUUAAAUUAUCUAUAUUAGUAAUUAAAUAUAAUUUAAUAUCAAUACCAAUUUUUUUUAAUUUCAAAAAGUCCUAAAACAAUUCAUGAUUUAUUUGAACUAUAUAUAUAUAAUGGCGGUCUGGCGGAGUUCCGACAACCUUCCGAUAACGAUAGAUGGCUAUCUAGCGGAGUUCCAACGAUUGUCCGGUGGAGUUCUGGCUAUAGUCGACAGCCAUCCGGUGGUUUUCUGGCAAAGUUUCGACAACUGUCCGGCAGAGUUUCGGUGAAGCUGUGGGGAUUUACACAAAUAAUCAAAGUUAUUAUUGAGAUCUUAACUAUAAUUAUUUCUGUCGCCAUUAAUCAUAAUCAAUAAAUAUAUGGUUAAUUUUAGAUUAUUCUCUCGUUAAUUAAUUAUUUUUAAAUAAUUUUUAUACUUUCAAAAACCGCAGUUUACCCAUAUUUUUGUUAAGGCCCAAAAUAUUGAGUCCAUCUCAUUUGGGUGGCCGAAGCCCAAAGUUUAAUAAGUUUGGGCUAUUAAGUAAUUAAUAAAAACUCGAAGGGGUAAAUGAAAAUUGCCAUGCAAUUUGCCAAGGGAUAGCAAUGGAUUGGAUCUUAUCCAAGAUCCACGUGAUCCAAAUCCAAUCGGAUCGGAUUUGGAUCGGUUUAAAAUGAAUUUGGAUCGGAUUUGGAUAUCGAUGUGUGGAUCUAAGACGGAUUUGGAGCAGAUCUGGAUCUAUCUUAAUAUCUAAAUCCAUAUCCAUAUCCACUCAUCUUUUAAUUUUAUUUUAUUUUAAAAGUUUCUUAACAAUUAUGAAAUUAUAAUGAUAAUAAAUUUUAUUCAUAGCAUAUUAGUGGUAUUUACCAUGCAUUUAAACUCUUAAAACUUAAAGGUUAGUUUUGUAAAUUUAAAAGUCAGACAGCCCCAAGUAUGUACAUGCAAUAUUCAAAUUGCAAGCCAAGUAAUAUAACCUGGCAAUUUAUUUUAUUAUAUUGGCCAAAUAGUUUUUAAGGAAUAUAGUUAUUCAUAUGUAUUAGUCAAAUAUGAUCAUAAUAAAAAUAAUAAAUGACCGAUUAUAAAUUAUAUUUAAUUUAUAUGUCAUUAUCUAAUAUUGUAGGAAUGAGGGUAGGUGUGUCGUGGAUAUUAUAAUGAUGAAGGAGACAAUAGAAUAUUAAAUUGAUCUUACUUCUGCAAUUACUUUUGAAUGAUACUUUAUUAUCUUUCUUAUUUGUUGUUUUGGUGUAAAAGUAUAAGCUACAAUAUUUAUUAUAUUUUUUAGAAAAAUUAUAUAAUUUAUUUGUUAUCAAUACAUUUUAGCCUUCAAUUUUCAUUUUAAAAAAUUAUUUUUUUUUAUUACUGAAUUUUAGAAUUCAUGACGGAUCUAGAGCAGAUUUGGAUUUUAAUUUUUUUUCGAAUUUAGAGCAGAUAUACAUAUUUAUUUCUUUUUUGGAUCUGGAUAUGGAGCGAAAACUAUGGAUUCAUAACGGAUCUGGAGCAUAUACGGAUCUUCAUUUUUAUUAUGGAUUUGGAUCAGGAGCAGAGUAGAUCCAACCUAUAUCUGUCCCAUUGCCAUCCCUAAAUUUGCCUUUAAAAGCAAGCGGCCAAAAAAAAAAAAGAACGAGUGGAGAAGAAAAGGCGGCAAGAGAGAGAAAAGCUAGUGGAAGUUCCAAUUUGAGAAUAAUAAUUGUAAUCUUUGAUUGGACGAUCAGAAGUCGAUUUUAACUUUGUUUUCUCCCAAAGUUUGAGUGCAUGUUCCCAAGACAUCGCCCUCUACUGGUCUUAAUUUUUAUUUUAUCCUCUCUUUGGCUAUUAUUUGAGAUAUCCACUUGUUAGAGAGACAUUUUUUAAACUGUUACUGUAAACCAAGAAUAAUGAGAUUCUUGAUGUUAGUGGCAUUUAAUAUUAUUUAGAGAAGAAUUAGUGUUGUAAUCCCAUUAAUAUAGUGGAAGAUUUUAUCAGACUACGAUCUCAUGGUUUUUCUCGCUUUAGGUUUUUCACAUAAAUUUUUUUUGGAUGUAUUGGUUUAUUUUUCUGCCUAUUUAUUUGUGUUAUACAUCAUAUUUUUAUCGCACAAAGAGGAAAAGAGUUUUGUUUCCGCUUAAUUUACAACUGCUUGGUAGUCCCUUUCCAAACAGAGUGGUAUCAGAGCUUCAGGUUUUGUAUUUUUAUUACUCUGUGGUUGAGAUGGAGGAGUCCUCGGCAUGCACGAUUAAAUUAAAAUCAUAGAAUUAUGGUAUUUGGAAGUCUAGGAUGGAGGAUUUGUUAUAAAUGAAAGAUUUACAUGAACCCAUUGAAGGCAAAGAAUGUAACCGUUUCAUCUGGUCAAUGUUACCGUUGGGCUAAUUUUCAAAUAAACGGUUUGCCGUUUAGGGUUAACAUUUCGCCGUUAAAUUCCAGAGACCUGCAAAAUGAACAUCAGUUAUCCGUUUACAUUAAACGGUUAAGAAUUUGCAUAAAAUGACCUCUCUAGAAAUUAUCGAUUAAUCGUUUGUAAUAAACGGUUCGCCAUUUGUUUCCAGUAACCUGCAAAACAAAUUAGCCUUAUCCGGUUUUGUUAAACGGUGCCAGAUGAGUACAAUCUUCAAUUCUGGAUUUUAUCGGCUAACCGUUUAGAUAAAUGGUUCACCGUUAAAUUCCAGUAGCCUUCCCAGCUUUUUGUGUUUUUCGUUUUUCUUAAUCGGUUAGAGCUUAGGCAAAUGUUGCUCUCUGGUUUUAAUCGAUUAACCGUUUAAAAGAAAAUGGUUCACCGUUUAUUUCCAAAAUCACAUUUUAACUAGAUUUUGCAGAAAAUCAUUUUCUAAUUUGAAAGUCCAUCUUUUAUUAAUAUAAUUGGAAUUAUUAUAAGGAUUUCGUUUAUUUAAGAAAUAGCUCCAACAUUUUAUAAAAAAUCAUUUAAAGUUUGUUAUUAUCAAAAUCAAUAUUAUUAACAUAUUCAUGUUAACAAUCUCCCGCUUUUUUAUGAUGACAAAUUUUAAUCAAUAUUUUGCUCCCCUUUAAUAAAAGCUCCCCCUAAAUGUAUGGCCAAAUUAAGAAAUGUCUAAUAAAAAGAUUUUUUCUCAAGAAAACAUUUUAAAAUUCAUUUUAAAUCUCCCCAUAAUUCCAUAAUUAUCUCCCCCUUCAUCAUAAAAAAGAAAAGAGAGAAAAGAAAAUCAUAAAUCCGUUAAAGAAAGAAGUUACCCAGUUUUGGUAAGCGAAAAUUUUGGCAGAGUUUUCCCUUAAAAAGGAACAAAACCACUAAUACAAGAGGAGAUUUAAAAAACACUUCCAAAAUAUAGUAACAAUAACUCCAUCAACCAAUAUCAAAUCAGCCAAUAUCAAGUCAUCCAACAUCAAGAACAACACAAAAAUAUGUCAUCAAAAUCCAUCAAGAUCAUAUAGAGGUAGCAGUGUAUAUAAAAAUAUAAAUAGCAACACACAAACAAACAAAAUAUGAAAAUGUAUGUGCGAAAAUAGAACUCAGAAACUAUGGAGGUGGAGAAGAUGUGCUCCCAAGAUCAUAACCGAAAUAGUGGAGAAGAGUACGUUGUCCAGCGAUAAGCUCAAGCUGCUGACCAAUACUCUGCUGCUGGAAGGUCUAAAAGUCAGAACGUAACUGCUGGUGGUCACGGGAGAAAGUGUCCAAACGAUCGAUAAUCAGCUGCUGCCGCUCCGAAAUCCUAUGAACAUCAGCAACCAACUGCUGCAUAAUGUCCGAAGCAGGGGGCUGAACUGGAGCUUGAAGUGGCUUAGAAGCAGAGGGCUGCUCAGGAACAGCAGAUGGCUCAAGAGCAGGAGGCUACUUGGGAGCCAAAGGCGGCUCGGAAGAGGAGGGAAUGUCAGCAUCCAUCGCACGCUCCUCAGAGUCAGAGUCAGCUGGAGGCCGGGGGACAAAAUGGCGACGCAGAGGAUAAAGAUGAGCUCCUAAUCUAAAAUCUGGAAGCUUAUCGGGAAGAUAGACAUUAUUGAGCAUCCGAUCAUCCUCUGGAGCAAUUAAGGUAUCCCGGUUUUUGGAAUUUUUAGUCUUUAUCCACUCUCCAUUCUUCUUAGAAAAACCGAUACUAGUGUUGGCCUCUGGACCAAUCCGUCUAAUCUCCAUAUAACCGGUAUCGAGAAGAGGCACCUCAAAGUAUCGCAGUAACUUAAUAAUGAUACUGCCAUAUGGAAGCAAGCGGUGGUUAACCACGGGAGUACUCAACAUGUGCCGCACAAUAACAUAGCUGAGGUUAAUGGGACGACCUGAAAUAAGGCUAUUUAAUAGGCCAACGUCCAACCUCGUAACCUCAUCUAAGUGACCCUUCCUAGGUGUCACUAUGUGCUGUAAAAUAGUGUGAAGAAUGCGAACUUGGAGAGGUAAAAGUUGAGACCGAAAAGGUAGAUUACAAAUCUCAUUAGACAAGUCUCGACGGCGACAAAUAUUACGAACUCCAUCAACAUGACUAAAACCGUCAAAAGAAAAGGCUUUCCUAGAGGUAUAAAUUUCAUGACCCUCACUAGCGAUACCUAGAAAGCCAUUUAGAUCCUCAUCAUCAAAUUCUAUAGGCACACCGCCGACUUAAGUAACUAUCAUAUCUAGGCGAGUUGCGGAGAUUUCCAUGCUUGAAUAAAAGACUCGCACUAAAUUGGGAUAAACUCGGUCAUCAAAAUCAAUGGCAGACUCCCAAGGCUGAAGCAUAUCCCUAAUGCUUCUACCACACACAACUAAGGUACUGAAAUCAUCUGAUUCAAUAUAGAAAGAGUCAAGUACCUUUCUACCAUUGAAGCGAUCUUCGAACUGCUUGGCCAAGGAAGGCAUGGGGAAAUGAAUUCUUUCGAAUUCAGAAACUUCCCGUGGUGGUAUAGGAUUCCUUGGAGGCACAAAUUUUCUCCUGACAUUUCUUCGAAGGGGCUCAGCUAUGGUGAAGAGUAAGGAAGUUUGAAAUUUUUUAGAGAGAUAUGAAGAGAAGAAGAUGAACUGAUUAUUUGUUUACGAAUGAGUAAAGAAUAUGAUUUUGACGCUCAAUUUGGUUGAAGAAGGGCAAGAAUCAGGUUCAAAAUGAAGAAACCCGAAUGGCUGCACUAAGGGUUUGGAUUUCGGAUUUUUCAAUUUUGGGCUUAAUUUGAAGAUUUGAAUCGGUGAAAGUGUUCUAAAGGUGAUAAAAAAUGAUGCUAUAUGUUUGAUUUGGCAAGAAAAAUAAGAAAAAUUAAGGUUUGAGGGCAGAGGAAGCUUCGGCUGCGCAACAAUGCCUGAAACAGUGAAAGGGCAACUGGAGAAGGAGAAGAAAAACCUUUGAAUAGUUUUAUAUUCACGAAAACGAUAAACCGUUUAUUUAAACAGUUAAGGGGUAACUUCCAGAGGCUAAGGAAUGGGAAACGGUGAAAGGUUAAUUUCUUAAUACUAAAGAGUAACUUCAAGAGAGCUAUUUGUUUUUAAACGGUUUACCGAUUGCAUCAAACGGUAAAAUGAUUAAAAGGCAGACAUCAUAAUCUAGUUUCUAGAAUAAAACGGUACACCGUUUAUUGGAAACGGUUAGCCAUUUAUUUUAUCUAUAAUUUCGCACAUUUGAUUUAAUUUUUGGCCAGCAAAUAAUACAUUCCAAGAUCAUUUAAUUGAUCUAAAAAUGUUUUAUGAGUCAUUUUAAUAUAUAAUUCAUGAACAUAUAUUCAAGCAAUUAAUUCAUAUAAUCAAUCAAGAAUUAACAAAGCAAGCACAUCAUUUGAAUAUCAAGCUUAAGCAUUUAAAUCAUCAAAUCACCAAUAAGUCAAUCAAUUCAAUACACUCAAUAGCAUGAAUAGAGACGUUAAUGCGAAAAUUUCAUCAUACCAAAUUCAUACCGAAUCUUUGAAAAUUGUUCUUCGCCAAGAGGUUUGGUAAAAAUAUCGGCGAGUUGUUUUUCUGUAGAAAUAAACUCUAAUGCAAUAUCCCCCUUUUGAACAUGAUCUCUCAAGAAAUGAUGUCUUAUUUCUAUAUGUUUGGUUUGAGAGUGUUGAAUGAGAUUCUUUGAAAGAUUUAUAGCACUAGUAUUAUCACACUUAAUAGGAAUUUGUUCUAGGUUAAUACCAUAGUCUCUAAGUAUUUGUUUCAUCCAAAAAGCUUGUGCACAACAACUUCCUGCAGCUAUAUACUCAGCUUCGGUAGUUGAGAAUGCAACAGAAUUUUGUUUCUUGCUAAACCAUGAAACAAGUGAGUGACCUAGGAUAUGGCAAGUUCCACUAGUGCUUUUUCUAUCAACUUUAUAGCCGGCAAAAUCCGCAUCCGAAUAGCAUGUUAAAUCUAUAUGAGUUCCCCUAGGAUACCAUAGGCCAAUAUCUAUGGUUCCACUCAAAUAACGGAAAAUUCUUUUAACAGCAAGCAAAUGAGAUUCCUUGGGACAUGAUUGAAAUCUUGCGCACAAACAUACACUAAACAUGAUAUCGGGUCUACUUGCAGUUAAAUAAAGUAAAGAUCCUAUCAUAUCUCGAUACAUUUUGAUAUCUACUUCUUUGCCUUUUUCAUCUUUGUCAAGUUUAGUUGUUGUGCUCAUUGGAGUGUUUUUGGUCUUUGAGUCAUCAAUGCCGAAUCUUUUGAGUAGAUCUUUUACAUACUUGGCUUGAUUUAUGAAGAUUCCUUCCUCAUUUUGUUUUAUUUGCAACCUAAGGAAGUACUUCAACUCUCCCAUCAUACUCAUUUCAAAUUCAUUACUCAUGCAAGAUGAAAAUUCUUUAUACAACAAUUCAUUAAUAGAACCAAAAAUAAUAUCAUCAAUAUAAAUUUGAACAACAAGUAUGUAAAACCAGGGGGUUGUUUUACAUACAUUUCUUCCAUUAUAAAACCAUUCAAAAAAGCACUUUUCACAUUCAUUUGAAAUAAAAUGAAAUCUUUAUGACAUGCAAAUGCCAACAACAUUCUAAUUGAUUCUAGUCUAGCUACGGGUGCAAAUGUUUCAUCAAAAUCAAUUCCUUCUUCUUGGUAGUAACCUUGAGCCACUAAUUUAACUUUAUUUCUUACAACCACACCAGAUUCAUCCAUCUUAUUUCUAAAUAUCCAUUUAGUACUUAUGACGGAUUGAUGUUCCGGUUUAGGAACUAAUUCCCACACAUUGUUUCUUUCAAAUUGAUUUAACUCCUCUUGCAUUGUCAUAAUCCAAGAUUCAUCAUUUUCCGCAUCCACAAAGGUUUUGGGUUCAAUUUGAAAAAUAAAUGCAUUAUGCUCACAAGUAUUUCUAAGUGAUGAUCUAAUUGUAACACCUUCUGAGAGAUCUCCUAAAAUUAUAUCCUUAGGGUGAGAAGAAACAUACUUCCACUUCUUGGGGAGUGCUUGAGAAGUACUUUCAUGUUGCUCCAUAUUUGUUUGCUUUUCUUGUUCAUCCUCUUGAUUUCUUUGUAGUGCAUUCUCUUGUUUAUCCUUUGAUGAUUCUUCUUGUAACUCUCCAUCUGCAUCAUCAUAAUUUAUUCAUUUCUCCACAGAGGAGGGGUUAGACUCAUCAAAUGUAACAUGCAUAGAUUCUUCUACAACUAGUGUAUUUUUGUUAUAAACUCUAUAAGCUUUGCUUGAGUUUGAAUAUCCAAGAAAAAUACCAACAUUAGAUUUUGGAUCAAAUUUGCCAAGAUUGUCUUUUGUGUUCAAAAUAAAACAUUUGCAUCCAAAAAUUUUGAAAUAACCAAUAUUGGGUUUUCUAUGUUUCCAAAGCUCAUAUGGAGUUUUGUUAAGGUUAGGUCUAAUCAACACACGAUUUAAAACAUAACAAGCGGUGUUGACGGCCUCGGCCCAAAAAUACUUAGGCAAUGAAUUUUCAUUCAACAUAGUCCUAGCCAUUUCUUGAAUGGAUCUAUUCUUUCUCUCAACAACUCCAUUUUGUUGAGGAGUUCUAGGUGAUGAAAAUUGAUGCUCAAUGCCAAAAGCAUUACAAAAAAUCUCAAAUGCAUGAUUUUCAAACUCUCCUCAAUGAUCACUCAUAAUGCAUGCAAUACCAUACCCUUUUUCAUUUUGUAUUUUCUUACAAAGCACUUUAAAGACAUCAAGAGCAUCAUCCUUAUUGGCUAAGAAUAAUACCCAUGUAUAUCUAGAAUAAUCAUCCACUAUCACAAAUGCAUAAUAUUUGCCAUUUAGACUAACAUAUCUAGAAGACCCAAAUAAAUCUAUGUGAAGAAAUUGAAGUGGUUUUGAAGUAAAAAUAUGAUUUUUAUUUUUGAAAGAUGUUUUGAUUUGUUUUCCAAAUUGACAAGCUUCACAAAUCUUAUCUUUUUGAAAACCAAUUUUUGGAAGACCUUUAACUAAAUUAUUUUUCGAAAUUUUCGAAAUCAAAUCCAUACUUGCAUGUCCUAACCUUCUAUGCCAUAACCAACUAUCAUCAUGCAAUGCGGAAAAGCAUUUAUCAAGAGUAGAUGCACAUUCUAUGUCAAUGAUAUAAACAUUACCACAUCUAUUCCCAACAAAUAAGAUCUUGCCAUCACAUGAAUUCUCAAUAACACAACUAAAUUUAUCAAAGAUAACUUUAUAACCUUUGUCACAUAAUUGACUAAUACUAAUUAAGUUGUGUUUCAAGUUCUCAACCAAACAUACAUUCUCAAUUAGAGUUGAGGAAACUUUACCAACAUUUCAAAUUCCAAGAAUUUUUCCUUUUGAGUUGUCUCCAAAAGACACGUCUCCCCCAUUUUCAAUUUUGGUGAAACUUGAGAACCAUGCAUAGUUUCCGGUCAUGUGCCUCGAACAACCACUGUCCAAGUACCAUUUAUUUUUCUUCUUCUUCAAGCCCUACAAAGAAAAUCUCAAGUUUUAGGUACCCAAAACUUUUUGGGUCCUUGAGAGUUAGUAGUGAUUCCUUUUGGAACCCAAAUGCAUUUUAUACCAUAAUAUGCAUUUCUUUUUACUGGACAUCUAUUUUUCAUAUGACCAUCUUGAUUACAAAAAUGACAUACAAUUUGAUUGUUACUAGAUGUACUCUUCACAAAGUAGUUUUUAUAAUAUUUUUGUUUCAAGUUUGGCUUAUAACCAAUACCUCAUUUGUCAAAUACACAUUUUUGUGAAUUAAGCAUGUUAUCCAACAUCUUUUGCCCAUUUGUAAAUUUCAAAACAAUCUCAUUCAACUCAUUGCUCUUUUUUUUAAACGUUUCGUUUUCAUUUUUCAAAUCAUCUAUGUGUGAUUCUAAAUGCUCAUGUGAGAUGUUAGGUUUCUCAUUUGAUAAUGUAAUUUCAUCAUGCAAUGUUUUAUUCUCUACUUCUAGGCAUGUAAUUUUUGCAUUUGGAGAUUCAUUUUCAUUUUUAAGCUUUGUCAUUUCCUUUUUAAGACAUACAUUCUUUUUACCAAUCUUCAUCAACUCAUUAUACAAUUCUUUAAAGGCAUCAUACAAUUCAUCAUAGGUGGGAUCACUUACCUCAUUGAGAUCAUCAUCCUCUUCUAUUGACAUAAGCGCUAGGUUUAAUACUUCUUGCGAUCCUUCUUCAUCACUUGAAUCUUCCUCGCUAUCAUGCCAAGUUGUAACCAUGGCUUUCUUCUUAAGUUUGUUGAUAAGUGGGCACUUCGAUCUUAUAUGGCCAGGCUUCUUGCAUUCAUAGCAUGUGAUUACCUUUUUCUUCUCCCUUUGGUUCUUGAAGUUUCUGAAAUUUCUUUGCUCUCCGGUUUUCUUAAAGAAUUUUCUGAACCUCCUUGCUAGCAUGGCCAACUCUUCAUCAUCCGGUUCACUCUCCCCACCACUCUCAUAUUUUGAAACUUUGAGAGCAAUGCUUUUCUUCUUCUCCUCAUGCCCUUUUUCUGCUGCCAAAUCUUCUUUAUAUGAAAUGAGAGAACCAAUUAAAUCAUCAAGAGGUAAAGUAUUUAAAUCUUUGGCCUCUUCAAUAGCGGUUAUUUUGGGUCUCCAUUCUUUUGAAAGUGACCUAAUGAUUUUCUUAACUUUCUCGCUAUUUGAGAAAGUCUUUCCUAGGGCUCCUAGGGUGUUUACUAUGUCCGUAAAUCUCGUAUACAUAGAGUAUACACUCUCAUUUUAUUCCAUUUGGAACAACUCAUAUUGUCUAGUGUACCUACUAAUUUUCGACUCUUUCACUUGAUUUGUGCCUUCAUAAACUACUUCAAGUUUGUGCCAAAUUUCAUUGACACUUUCACAACUAGAUACUCGAUAAAAUUAUUUCUUAUCAAGUGCACAAAAUAAAGCAUUCAUAGCUUUGGAAUUUAGAGAAGCUUUUCUCUUUUCCAAUUCAUCCCAUUCCCUUGAAGGUUUUGGAAUAUCUUCCCCGACUUCAUUUUUAGUUAGGGGCAAAAACGGACCAUCACAUACAACUUCCCAAAUUUCAUAAUCCAGUACUUGUAAAUAAAUUCUCAUCUUAGUUUUCCAAUAUGGGUAGUCAUUUUCGUCAAAGAACGGUGGUCUAGUUGUGGACUGUCAUUCCCUAAAAGUUGAGUCAUUUUGGGUUGCCAUGGAUCUUUUACUCUAGACGGUUAAUUCCUAAUAAGAGAACCAAGCUCUGAUACCAAAUGAAAUACAAGUGUGCAACCCAAGAGGGGGGGUGAAUUGAGAUUCUAAAAAUUAUUUGAUUCUAAAACAAAUUAUCAAGCAAAUCUAAGAUGAAUUUAAUGGAAUAACAAUUAAAUCAAUUACAAUAUAAAAAGAUAAAGGAAGAGAGAUUCAAACACGAAGAUUUUUACGUAGUUCGGCCAACCUCGCCUACGUCCAGACCUCCAAGCUUUCCGGGCUUAAAAAUUUCACUAAGUAAGCCUCCAAGGCUUCAAAUGCAUACACUUGACUUCCAAGGUGUCAAUGAGCCUUUACAACAAGAGAUUAUCCCCAAUCUCUUAACCCAAGUGUAUUUCAACACUUACAAUCACUCAAAGUAAAAGAUUAAAAAUUAUUUUUCUCUCACACAAUAUUUAAAAUUACAAAUCAAUGCCCAAUGUGUGAAUAGAUGAAGCAAGAAUGUGUUUUAAAGCUCUAUGAAGAUUGUAUUCUCAAUUAUAAGCUCAAUGGUCGUGUUAUGAUCAAUCUUGUUUGAUUUUGAAUGAGUUUAUUUAUAAUUGGAGAUAAAAAAAACUAGUCAUUAUAGAUUGUCUGCUCGAAAACGGUUCGCCGUUAGACAUUAACGGUUAACCGUUUCAUUUGGUCAAUGUUACCAUUGGACUAAUUUUCAAAUAAACGGUUUGCCGUUUAGGGUUAACCUUUCGCCGUUAAAUUCCAGAGACCUGCAAGAUGAACAUCAGUUAUCUGUUUACAUUAAACGGUUAAGGAUUUGCAUGAAAUGACCUCUCUGGAAAUUAUCGAUUAACCGUUUAUAAUAAACGGUUCGCUGUAUGUUUCCAGUAACCUGCAAAACAAAUUAGCUUUAUCUGGUUUUAUUAAACGGUGCCAGAUGAGUACAAUCUUCAAUUUUGGAUUUUAUCGAUUAACCGUUUAGAUAAACGGUUCACAGUUAAAUUCCAGUAGCCUUCCCAGCUUUUUGUGUUUUCCGUUUUUCUUAAUAGGUUAGAACUUAGGCAAAUGUUGCUCUCUGGUUUUUAUCGGUUCACCGUUUAUUUCCAGAAUCACAUUUUAAACCAGAUUUUGCAGAGAAUCAUUUUCUAAUUUGAAAGUCCAUCUUUUAUGAAUAUAAUUGGAAUGAUUAUAAGGCUUUUGUUUAUUUAAGAAAUAGCUCCAACAUUUUAUAAAAAACCAUUUAAAAUUUAUUAUCAUCAAAAUCAAUAUUAUUAACAUAUUCAUGUUAACACUUGAGAGUGUUUGAUUGCAGAGCAUAUAUUCACAUCCCUAAAGAUGAGAGAUCGAAGCUUUAUGAUAAAGUCAAGGAAUGCAUUUUCUUAGGCUAUAUGCAUGAAGAAUUUGAGUACAGAUUAUGGGAUCCAGUGACAAGAAAAUUUAUCAGAAAUAGAGAUGUGUUUUUAGAAGAUCAUUUAGUUGGUGAUGCAGAGAAGAUUAAUGAGUCUCAAUCAUCUUCAGAGAUUCCUAUUAUUCUAACUUCAGUUUCGCCACCUGUAAUUCAUGAUGAUCAUAGGGGAGCUGAAAAGAAUAAUAAUAAUGGUCCAGCAGAACCAAUUGAGCAAGCACCUUUAGAACUACCAACACCACCAGUUGAGCUAGAAUUAAGGAGAUCCACCAGAGAACGACGACCUUCCACUAGAUAUCCUCCACAUGAAUAUGUGAUGCUUACAGAUGAAGGGGAGCCAAAAUGUUUUGAAGAAGCGAUGUCUCACUAGCAUAAAAGUGAGUGGGUUAAAGUCAUGCAAGAGGAGAUGAAAUCUUUGAAUGAGAACUACACUUAUGACUUAGUAAAGCUUCCUAAGGGAAAAAUGGCACUGAAUAACAAAUGGGUUUAUAGGUUGAAGACUAAAAAUAACUCACAACAAUGGUACAAGGCUAAAUUGGUUGUGAAAGGUUUUGGUCAGAAGAAAUGUGUGAUUUUGAAGAAAUAUUUUCUCUUGUGGUGAAGAUGUCUUUUAUCCGAGUUGUUCUAGGAUUAGCAGCUAGCUUGAAUUUGGAGAUUGAACAGCUUGAUGUAAAGACAACUUUCUUGCAUGGUAAUUUCGGGGAGGAAAUAUACACGGAGGAACCUGAAGGAUUCAAUGUUAAAGGCAAAGAAGAACUUGUAUGCAAGUUGAAGAAAAGUUUGUAUGGACUGAAACAUGUACCAAGACAGUGGUACAAAAAGUUUGAUUCUUUCAUGGAGAAUCAUGAUUUCAGCAAGAUUAUAUGCGACUAUUGUGUUUUUGUGAAAAAGUUUGGUGAUAAUGAUUUCAUCAUUCUUUUGCUUUAUGUUGAUGAUAUGUUGAUUGUUGGGUAGGAUGUUAGUAGGAUUGAUAAUUUGAAGAGAGAGCUUAGCAAGUCUUUUGCAAAUAAAAGACUUGGGACAUGCGAAACAGAUUCUUGGCAUGAAAAUUUCUCGUGAAAGAAAAGCUGGGAAGUUAUUGUUAUCUCAAGAAGCAUAUGUUGAAAGGGUUUUUGAAAUAUUUAACAUGAGCAAGGCAAAAUCUAUUUGUUCUCCACUUGUAGGCCAUUUCAAGCUUAGUUCUGAGCGUUGUCCUACAAGUGAGAAAGAGAAGCAAGAGAUGAAAUGAGUUUCUGGUUUGUACAAGACCAGAUAUUGCUCAUGUAGUUGGUAUAGUUAGUCGGUUUCUCUCCAAUCCGGGUAAAGAACACUAUACAACAGUGAAGUAGAUUCUCAGAUAUCUCAGAGGCACUUCCAAGGCAUGUUUAUGUUUUGAUGGUAACAAACAUGUGUUACAAGUGUACACAAAUGCAGAUAUGACGAGAGAUGUUAAUUCUAGAAAAUUCCUAUCAGGAGAUUUGAUCACCUUUGCAAGGGGAGAAGUCUCAUGGCAGUCUAGACUUCAACAGUGUGUUGCAUUGUCUACCACUAAAGCAGAGUAUAUUGCAAUCACUGAAGGUUGCAAAGAAACUUUGUGGAUGAAGAAUUUCCUACAAGAGUUGGGUGUAAAGUAAGACAAUUUUAUUGUGUACUGCGACAGUUAAAGGGCCAUUCACUUGGUAAAAAAUUCGAUAUACCAUUCGAAAUCCAAGCAUAUUGAUGUGAGGUAUCAUUGGAUAUGAGACAUGCUUAAGAAGAAACAGUUGCAGGUUAAGAAGAUACACAAAAUGGAAAAUGGGUCAAAUAUAAUGACAAAGCCAUUACCUAAAAGAACCUGAAAAGUUGUAUGUAGAAAGCAGGCUUGGUGAUGCCCCCUACAUGAUCUGGAGGGGGAGAUUUAUUGGGUCCAUCUCAUUUGGGUGGCCCAAACAUAAAGUUUAAUAAAUUUAGGUAAUUAAAUAAUUAAUAAAAACUCAAAGGGAGUCAAUGAAAAUUGCCAUGAAAUUUGCCUUUAAAACCGAGCGGCAGCACAUGUUUUCUUAUUUAAAAAAAAAAAGAACGAGUGGAGAAGAAAAAGCGGCAAGAGAGAGAGAGAAAAGCCCGUGGAAGUUUUAAUUUGAGAAUAAUAAUUAUAAUAUUUUAUUGGACGAUUAGAAGGUAAUUUUAACUUCGUUAUCUCUUAAAUUUUGAGGAUUUGUUCCUGACAUCGCCCUCUAUAAUUUUGGUAGCCUUGCUUUUUAUUUUUUUUUCUUUUUGGUUAUUAUUUGAGAUAUACACUUGUUAAAAAAAUAAUUAUUAAAUUAUUACUAUAAGCCAAGAAUAGUAAAAAUUUUUAUGUUGUUAGCCUCUAAUAUUAUAUAGAGAAGAAUUUGUACUAUAAUCUCAUUAAUAUAGUUGAAGAGGGUGGGGUUAUUUACACUCGGAAUAAAUUUUCUAUUAAACACCUAUUUAUUCAAGGCACCAAUUUCAUAAAUUUUAAAAUUUUGACUUUUUAACUCGACUUUGAACAUACAAAAAUUAUCCUCAAAUUAAAUCCCUGCCAGUAUACAUUUCUUUUUUUCAUUCUAUAUUCAUAAAAAUAAAAUUAGUUCAAGUGAUUGCUAAGCUUGUUGUUAUAAGAAUAAACGCAGAUUUUUUCUUUUUAGAAAAUAGCUAAACAUAUUUAAAUGAAUGAAUUCGUAUUUUUUUUCAGCUUAUUCCAUGUAAAUACAUAGAGCUAUUUAGUCGAAGAUUAUUUUUUUUUUUCAAUAAUGUACCCUCAUUAAUGCAUUGGCUCAAAUAUAAAGGUUGACAAUCAUAGAGCAAAAGAAAACAUUAAUAAAAUAAAACUUCAUUGAGGGUAUAAAUUUGAGUCCCAGCAAGAUAUUUCUAUUCCUAUAAAUAUUAAGGGGAAGAGUAGAGAUUUUAGACUUUACAGUAAAUUGUUUAUUAUAAAUAUCGAUAGAUUAUAUUUCUCAUCGACCAUUAUUUUAAGACUAUAUUUUAAGAGCCGUAUAAUUUCCCACGUUACCAUUGUAAUCUGGGUCGGCGGAGCUUUUAGCCUUGUUAGUCGUGCGUAUUUUGGACUUAAGAUUAAAGAUUAAAGAAAGAAAAAUCUAAGCAAAUUUUCAAGAAACCGUGUACCACAAGACCAAAACACAAAAAAUUGAGCCGCUGAUUGCACAAGGCAUCAAAUCCAGUGGUCUAUAUUUUUUUAGAAUAUUUUAUUACAUGCGACCUAUCAACAGAUCUAAUGCACGGUAGUCUUAGCCAUAAUAAUUAAUUCUAAUAUUCUAAGGCAGAUAAGAGUUUGACCAUUUGAUGUCUGAGGUGGAACGGAUAAUGCACUAUUCAACUGUCUGUAUUUUUGGAUAAUGUAACUCAAUAAUGUCCCACGGGAUUGAUAAAACUUUCUGUUUUUCCUUUUUUUUUUCUUUUUUUUUUCCAUGUUUUAACACCGUGUGAAUCUCUGCUGUAAGCCAAUAACGUGACGAUUUUAGACGAUAAAGUUUACAAUGACCUAGACUUUUGCCCUACCCUUCGUUUUUUUGGGAAACGGAAAAGUUCUUUCGUUUUCUUCCAUAAUUGAUAAUAAUGCACCUUAACGUCAUAAAAUAUUGCAAUUGAUUGAAAAAUAGUAAAAAGAAUAUGUUAACACUAUAUAAUAUUAUAAUUAAUUGAAAAAUAUGUUAAUACUACAUAAUUUUAUAUUUUUUCUGUUGCUGUUAAUCAUAAUGAAUAAAUAUAGGGUUAAUUUUGGAUCCUUUCUAGUAAGUUAAUUAUCAUUAAAUAAUUUCUUAUUCUCAAAAAUUUUAAUUUACUCUUAUUUUUAUUGAGAAGAUAAAAAAAUAAUUCAACAACUGAUCUCUAUUUUUUCUUAUUUUUGAAAAAAAAUAAAAUAAUUUAAGAUUAAGAUAAAAACAUAAUUUAAAUAUAAUUAAUUCACAAGUGGAGAUAAUUAUUAUUCUCUAUAUUUUUAUAAGCAACAAAGAGAUAUAAAAUGAGAAAGUCCAGACAACUCUUCAUAUCUCUUAAAAUAAUUCCACCCAGUUUACAAUAAUUUACAUGGUCGGUUAUAUAAGUGGUGAUGUUUUUGUCAAUCUUUAUGACUUUGAGGACCAAAUAAGUGGGUGGAAUUAUUUCAAGAGAUGUUGAGAGUUGUUUGGACUUUCUCUUUUCAUGUCGAGAGUUACUUUAUUCUAGCUAUAAUUAUUGUCCUUGUUGCCUAUAAAAGUUUUUGGGAUCCUUAAUAAGCUUGUAACUUUUCGUUUAUUAGUUAGUUCCUUAAACUUGUGGUAUAGAAUGAAUUGCUUGUGCACUAAUGAAAAAGCUUAGUUCAUAGUAAACCUGUGACAGUACCUUUAUUACUUGAAACAAUAGCAAAUAUACUUGAAAAAAAAUAGUAUUUUUUAUAACUUGUGACCUAAAAACUAAUAACUAAAAAAAAAAGUCAUACAUACUAAGAAAGUUGUGAUUCCAACAAAAGCUUACAUGCCUGCAAAAAAUGAAAUUUUUAACAAACUUGUGAUGUAAAAUCAUCCACUUGGAACAUUGCGUAGUGGAAGAGUUGAGACUGCAACCGAGUAAUUAUUUAAUUAUCAAAAAGUAAUGGCCACUUGUCAAUUGAUUUAUGAUUGCAUGGCAAAUCUAAGCAAAGCAUAUAUGCACCGGUUCCAUCAAAGGAAGAGCAAUUUACUUCAAUCUUAUAAUAAUUUAUAUGGUGGGUCAUAUAAGUUGUAAUGUUUUCUUUCUUGUUGUCCAUCUUAUGAUUUUGAGGAUUUAAUAAAGGGGUGGAAUAAUUUUAAGAGAUAUUGACAGUUGUUUGGAGUUUCUCUUUUUAUGUCGAGAGUUUCUUUUUUCUAAGAAUUAUUAUUGUCCCUGUUGCUUAUAAAAGUUUUUAGGAUCCUUAACAAACUUGCAACCUUUAUUACUUGAAACAGUAGCAAGUAUACUUGAAAACAAAUAGUGUUUUUUAUAACUUGUGACACAAAAAACUAAUAACUAGAAGAAAAAAAAUAGCAUACAUACUAAGAAAGUUGUGAUUGAAACAAAAGCUUACAUACUUUAAAAAAAAGGGAAUUUUGUACAAACUUCUUACUUAAAAUCAUCAACUUGAAACAUAGCGUAGUGGAAGAGUUGAGACUACAACUGAGUAAUCAUUUAGUUAUCGAAAAGUAAUGACAACUUGUCAAUUGAUUUAUGGCUACAUGACAAAUCUAAGUAAAGCAUAUAUGCAUCGGUUCCAUCAAAGGUAGAGCCAUUUACUUCAAUCUUACAAUAAUUUACAUGGUAGAUGAUAUAAGUUGUAAUGUUUUUUUUCUGUUGUCCAUCUUAUGAUUUUGAGGACCUAAUAAGUGGUUGGAAUUAUUUAAAGAGAUUUUGAGAGUUUUUUUUUUAAAGUAAGGGGGUGGGCAAAGUCUAAAUAGGUUUUUAUUUUUUUCUCCCUUACUAUCCCCAAGACUUAAACUCAGGCAUCAACUACUACAAGUUUGAUGCUGUUACCAACCCGAUCACUCCCUUGGGGGCUAAGAAAUUUUUUAGAGUUGUUUGGACUGUCUUUUUUCAUGUUGAGAGUUGCUUUAUGAUAAGAAUAAUUAUUGUCCUUGUUUCUUAUAAAAGUUUUUGGGAUCCUUAAUAAACUUAUGACAUUUUGUUUAUUAGUUAGUUCCUUGUAACAUAGAAUGAAUUGCUUCUGCACUAAUGAAAAAGCUUAGCUCAUAAUAAACUUGUGACAUUACCUUUAUUACUUGAAACAGUAGCAAAUAUACUUGAAAAAAAUAAUAUUUUUUAUGACUUGUGACCUAAAAAACUAAUAAUUAAAAAAAAAAGGCACACAUACUAAGAAAGUUGUGAUUCCAACAAAAGCUAGCGCAUCUGAAAAAAAAAAUGAAAUUUUGUACAAACUUGUGACUUUUUUUUUUUUAUUACAUGAGACUAUUGCUCAAACUAAAACUCAUAUUACAUGGUACAAUAUCUGAUAUUUACAAAUCAGACUAUUAUUGGGACCAACUUACAUCAAUGCUUAUGGAGCUCUACCUAGAUUUUAACCCUCACAAAUAUUCGAGGGAUGUCUACUCCAUUCACACUUAGGUAAGAGAGACGAUUAUCUUCACUCAAUUAUACAAUAUAAUUAAGAAAGGAAAUACCUCCAUAUUGCGCUUGUGGGGGUUUGAACUACUACCCUCCAAAUUGGAGGGCAGCAGCCCUAACCACUCGGGUAGGGAUGGCAAUGGGCACCGCCCGCAGUGGGUUUGUCAUUACCAAAUUCAAACCCACACAAAUUUUAAAUUACUAAACUCACCCGUAACCCGCAUCAGAUUUUAAUUUUUUUUAAGAAAACCCACCUGUUGCGGGUCUUGAUAAUUAUCAAACCCGCAAUGGUAUCCAGCGAAUUUUUUGCGGGUUUGUACAUUUAAAAUCACAAAUGUUCAAUAUAUAAAUUUACAAUAAUAACCUCAAAUUCCACAUAACAUACUCAAUUUAAAAUUUAACCAAUGUAAAUAAAAAAAAUUAAAAUUUCAACAUCAAUCCAAUAUAAAUUCUCAAAUUUAAGUAUAAAAUAUACAAAUUCAUUAAAAAAAACCACAAACUAGUAUAUAAACAUAACAAUUACAUUUCAUAUUAUCGUUCAACACAAGCUCCAAGAGAAGAUUUCAUUUCAUUCACCAUCAUUAGCACCCAUCCAACAUGAUGCCUACAAUAAUGAUUAAGAUUAAUAUUUUUCAAAGAAUAAUAUUAGAAAAUCUGAAAAAAAUUAUAAUAAUGAAAUAAUUCAUGCAUUAAGUUAAAGAAAAAUAGUCCGUACAAAAACACUUUGAUUAUUUGGCACUUUUCAAGUAAAUAUUUCAAAAAACAUUGCGGGUUUAGCGGAUAUCCAUGCAAGUAUCUAUCGGAUAUUUAGUUAAUACCAAACUCAUCCGCAUCCAAGUGCGGAUUCCAAUUUAUAAUACCAAACCCACCCAUAACCCGCAAAAUUAUCCACAACGGGUGGGUUUUGGCGGAUUUGUGGGUUUGUUGGUACAAUUGUCAUCCCUACACUCAGCCAAAGGCCGAGUGGCAUGUACAAACUUGUGACUUAAAAUCAUCAACUUGGAACAUAGCGUAGUGGAAGAGUUGAGACUUCAACGAGGUAAUUGUUUAGUUAUCCAAAGGUAAUAACCACUUCUCAAUUGAUUCAUGGCUGCAUGGAAAAUCUAAGUAAAGCAUAUAUGCACCGAUUCCAUCAAAGGCAAAGCUGUUUACUUCAAUCUUACAAUAAUUUACAUGGUGGGUCAUAUAAGUUGUAACGUGUAACGUUUUGUUUCUACUGUCCAUCUUUAUGAUCUUGAGGACUUAAUAAGUGGGUGGAAUUAUUUUAAGAGAUGUUGAGAGUUGUUUGGACUUUCUCUUUUCAUGUCGAGAGUUCCUUUACUCUAGGUAUAAUUAUUGUCCUUGUUGCUUAUAGAAGUUUUUGCGAUCCUUAAUAAACUUGUGACUUUUAGUUUAUUAAUUAGUUCUUUAAACUUGUGACAUAGAAUGAAUUUCUUGCGCAUUAAUAAAAAAGCUUAGCUCAUAGUAAACUUGUGACAUUACCUUUAUUACUUGAAACAUUAGCAAAUAUACUUGAAAAAAAAUAGUAUUUUUUAUAACUUGUGACCUAAUAAACUAAUAACUAUAAAAAAAAAAAAAUUAGCAUACAUACUAAGAAAGUGUGAUUCUAACAAAAGUUUACGUACUUGAAAAGAAUGGAAUUUUGUACAAACUUGUGGCUUAAAAUCACCACCUUGGAGCAUAGCGUAAUGGAAGAGUUGAGACUUCAGCUAAGUAAUCGUUUAGUUAUCAAAAAAUAAUGACCACUUGUCAAUUGAUUUAUGACUACAUGGCAAAUCUAAAUAAAACAUAUAUGCACCAGUUCCAUCGAAGGCAGAGCCGUUUACUCAAUCUUACAAUAUUUUACAUGGUGAGUCAUAUAAGUUGUGAUGUGUAACGUUUUGUUUCUGUUGUCCAUCUUUAUGAUCUUAAAGACUUGGUAAGUGGGUGGAAUUAUUUCUAAGAGAUGUUGAGAGUUGUUUGGACUUUCUCUUUUCAUGUCGAGAGUUACUUUAUUCUAGCUAUAAUUAUUGUCCUUGUUGCCUAUAAAAGUUUUUGGGAUCCUUAAUAAACUGGUAACUUUUCCUUUAUUAGUUAGUUCCUUAAACUCAGUGACAUAGAAUGAAUUGCUUGUGCACUAAUGAAAAAGCUUAGUUCAUAGUAAACUUGUGACAUUACCUUUAUUACUUGAAAUAAUAGCAAAUAUACUUGAAAAAGAUAGUAAUUUUUAUAACUUGUGACCUAAAAAACCAAUAACUAGAAAAAAAAAAAUGGCAUACAAUCCAAGAAAGUUGUGAUUCCAACAAAAGCUAACGUACUUGAAAAAAAAUAGAAUUUUGUAUAAACUUGUGACUUGAAAUCAUCAACUUAGAACAUAGUGUAGUGGAAGCGUUGAACUUUAAAAAAAUAGAAUUUUGUAUGAACUUGUGACUUGAAAUCAUCAACUUAGAACAUAGUAUAGUAGAAGAGUUGAGACUUCAACCAAGUAAUAGUUUAGUUAUCGAAAAGUAAUGACCACUUGUCAUUGAUUUAUAGCUGCAUAGCAAAACUAAGUAAAUCAUAUAUGCACCAAUCCCAUCAAAAGCAGAGUUGUUUACUUUAAUCUUACAAUAAUUUACGUGGUGGGUCAUAUAAGUUGUAUGUUUUGUUUCUGCUGUCCAUUUUUAUGCCUUUGAGGACUUAAUAAGUGGGUGAAAUUAGUUCUAGAGAUGUUGAGAGUUAUUGGACUUUCUCUUUUCAUGUCGAGAGUUGCUUUACUCUAGGAAUAAUUAUUGUCUCUAUUCCUUAUAAAAGAAAAGGGAAUAAUUAUUGUCUCCACUUCUGAAUUGAUUAUAUUUAAAUGAUUUUUUUAAUUUUAAUCUUAAAUUACUUUAUUUUUAUUCAAAAAAUAAGAAAAAAUAAAGGUAGGUUGAUGAAUUAAUUUUUUAUGUUCUCAAUAAAAAUAAGAGUAAAUUAAGAUUUUUAAAAAUAAGAAACUAUUUAAAAAUAAUCAAUUCAUGAUAAGUGACAGCAAAAGAAAUAAUCAUAAAAUUAUAUAGUAUUUAACAUAUUUUUUCAAUUAAUUAUAAUAUUAUAUAGUGCUAACCUAUUCUUUUAUUAUUUUUUCAAUUAAUUGUAAUAUUAUAUGAUGUUAGUAUGCAUUAUUAUCAAGGCAAUGGUUUUGUUAGAGAUACUCUCCUGUGGCGUACUUCUUCAUAAGUACACAAUUAAAUAAUAUAGAAUAAAAACCACGAUAUAAUUUUAACCGGACCGUAUUAUCAAUUAUGAAAGAAAACAAAAGAACCUUUCCUAUUUUCCAAAAUCGAAGGGAUAAGGCAAAAAUCUAGUCCUUGUAGACUUUGCGGUCUAAAAUCAUCACGUUAUUUGCUUACAGCAAAGACUCAGAUGGUCUCAAAGAAGUAAAAACACAAAACAGAAUUUUCUACCAUGCAUUAUGUUAGGUCGCGUGUAAUAAAAUAUUUUAAAAAGAUACAGACCGCUGGAUUUGAUGCCUCAUACAAUCAGCGGCUUGAAGUUGUCUUGAAAUAUAAUUGGGAGUUUGCGGGCAACCGAUAGCAACAAUAUACCUAAAAAAACGAGAAAGUCAAUGUACUGCUCUUAGAAAUUGGUGACUAUUGUUUCUCUUUCUUUUUCGGGUCUGCCUCAAUGGAACCGAUGCAUAUACUUAGAUUUGACGUGCAGCCAUAAAUCAAUUAAUACGUGGUCAUUACUUUUUGAUAAACGAUUAUUCGGUUAAAGUCUCAUCUCUUCUGCUACUUUAUCUAAGCACCUUCACUAAUAUUUGAAAUAUAUCAGUUUUACUCACAUUUCAUAAAAAAAUUAUUUAUCCAUAAUUUCUUUCAGGAUUCAAAAGCAGCUCUAACCAUUUGGUUAAAGGCCAAAUGACUUAACUUUUGAUGGAAUCACAACUUUCUUAAUAUAUAUGUCUUUUUUUUUAAGUUAUUAAUUUUAGAUCACAAGCUAUAAAAAAAAUAUUUUUUUUUAAAGUAUGUUUGUUAUUGUUUCAAGUAAUAAAGGUAAGUAACAAAUUUACUAUGAGUUAAGGUUUUUCGCUAGUACACGAGCAAUUCAUUCUACGUCACAAGUAUAAAUAAACUAACUAAUGAAUAAAAAGUCACAAUUUGACAAUUUUAUGAAGGAGCCCACUCAAUAUUUGCAGAAGAUUUUUUUUUUUUCAUUUACAAUAACUCAAGAUUAUUAUAACAUCAAAUAGUGAUCAAUGUAUGAAAUAUAUUUUUAAUUAGAAACAAUGACGAUUAUAUUGUACAGUCAAUUAGGGAUUAAUUUAAUUAUUUAAUGACUAAAUUAUUUAACAGCUAUUUCUGAAAGUCUGUUCGUCUAUUUUCCGAGUAGUAUAUAUGAAGUCACAGCUUACACUAAUAAUGGUAAUUCCUCUUGCUAGUGAGACUGUAAAAAAAAAAAUUGAGAAUUUUUUUUUGGUUUCCUUUUUUGUUUCAUCCUUGUUGUCCCAACUCUUUAUGUGCUUCUCACAACUAUAUUAUUCAAUGAUCCAAUUUCUUAUAUAUCUAUCCCACUAAAACUUAUUGUUCACAGAUCUCUCUAUUAAAACCCAAGUUCCAAAGUUUGUUUCAUUUUUAUAUCAAUUAAAAGUUGUAUGUAUCACAGGUUAUAAAAGGAACAAAUUUUCCGAAGUUUGUCUCUCAUUGUUUCAAAUAGAAAAUUUUAUGUCACUAAGUUAUCAAAACAGGAUCAAGUUUUUUAUCACUUAGUUUCGUAUUAAAACCUAAUAUUAGGCGGGCAUUAUGCCGCUAUUUUACAGCAUAAACUUUAGGCGGCUAUUAUGCAAAACUUAUAAAUAUGAGGUGAUCAUUUUGCCGCUAUUAUACAACUCCUAUGGAGGUAUAAUUUCUUUUUUUUUUCUUUUUAGUUUUUUUCUGUGUUAGGCUUCCCAGGCUUAUUUUUAUCGGGAUUUAGUUGAAUAUUUAUGUGGGUUUAUAUGUAAAUUGUGUCAUAUAUAAUAUUUAAUUAUUAGUGUCUUUUUGUAAUUGAGUUAAAAAUAAUGGAAAAAAAGUUCCAAUUGCUAUGAAUAGAGAGAUGACAAACUAAGAAGCACUACUUUUUUUUUCUUCUGACGUAUCGCGAAUAGAGGGUUUCAGUUCUCAUAAAAUCAUAAAUGAAUUUUGAUUUAUAAGAAUUUAUCGUUAAUCCAUAGCAAUUUAGAAUGUAAAUGAACAGCUAAUAAAAUUUAUUUCUUUCCGAAAAAAAUUGAAGAUAAGUGUUAAAGUAGUCAAUGAAGAAAGAGGGAGAAGAUAUGAUUCAUCACGAAAAUGGAGUGGGAAAAUACCUUUUAUUUUUUAAUUAAAUUCUAUUGUCCUUGCACGCAGUUGUGUUUAAGGAUAAAUUAUUAAUUAAAAAAUUUAUUAAAUAAUUGGUUGACAGGGUAAAGUCAUAGCUUCAAAUAACUCCUUCCUUAAAACAAAUUGUAAUUAUAAUUGAUAUUCUAAUUAUUGUUACAAUUACAAUUUUACUAUUGCUAUUGUUACAGUAAUCUUAAUUAAAUAUUAUUAUUAUAACAAUUGUAACUGUUGAUGGAAUUAAGAUUAAAUUUGUUAUUACGAUAAUUCUUAUAGUAAUUACGGUUAUAGUUGUAAUUAAAAUUGUAAUUGUAACUAUAAUCAUAUUGUAAUCGGAAUUACAAUUGAAAUAAAAGUUGUAAUCGUUGUUCUAAUUGAAUUUGGAAUUAAUAUAAAAAAAAUUAAUAUUGGAAUUAUUGUUGUAGGAUACAUAAUUGUAAUUGCAAUUGCAAUUGUAAUUUUAAUUGCAGCUGCAAUUGAAAUUUAUAUUGCAACUCAAAUUAUAAAUUGUAAAUAUAAUUAGAAUUGUUCAACAAACAAUUGCUCGAAAAAGGUGUCCGCGCCAUUUUUCAUCUAUGAAAAAGAAAGAGAAACAACAGUAACCAAUUUCUGAGAGCAGUACAUUGACUUUCUUGUUUCUUCGGUAUGUUGUUGCUGCCGGUUUCCCGCAAACUCUCAAUUAUAUUUCAAAACAACUUCAACCGCUGAUUGAAUAAGGCAUGAGAUUAGGGAUGGCAAAAAUCCCCACGGGGACGGGUACCCUCGGAGAUUUUUCCCAUUCGGAGAGAGUAUGGGGAUAAUUUCAUACCCAAUUUCUUAUUCGAGGAGGGGACGGGGAAAUUUUUUUACCCAAUUUCUUAUUCGGGGAGGGGACGGGGAUGACUUGGAAUCCCCAUCCCCUACCCAUUUCCCCAUUUUAAUUUUUAAUUUUAUUUUAAUUUUUUAAAAUUACUAGUAAAUAAAUAAUAAAAUUUAAAUUAUAAAAUUAUAAAUAUUGGUAAAAAUAAAAAAUAUCAAAAUAUUUAUAUUAUUAAACUUUUAGGCCUAAUUAACUAAUUAAAAUCCUAAAUUUUAUUUAGGACAUUAAAAAGACCGAGUAGAUUCUAUUAGCCAAACGUUUUUUUUUAAAUUUUAAUAUUCUUUAAAUAUUUUAAACUUAAAUCUAUUUUUUAUUUAUUUUUAGAUGUUAUAAUUGCCCACAGUGAAUCACAAUUUUAAUAUCUAAUCUAAUCUAAUAUUUGCUUUUGAUUUGCUUCGAUUUAACUAUUGUGUUGUAAAGGGAAUAAUCCACAUUUAUAAAGUGCCCACGCCACCAUUGAAAAGUUAAUUUUGAAUCUAAAUUCGAUUUUAUUUGUAACAAUUUUGUAUUAGACUAUUAAUUUGUUCAUGAUAGUUUGUAAAAGAAGUUUGUAUCUCUUGCAUAUUGCGUUACUUACUAAUUUAAUGUAUAUGACUUUUGUAAUAGAUAUUAAUGUAAGAUAUAUUUCAAACUUUACUUUUAUUUGAAUUUUUUAUUUUAAUAUGAUUAACUCAAAAUAAAAAAAAUGUAUUAGUUAUUCGGGGAUCGGGGACCCUCGGGGAUCCUCUGUUAUUAUUCGGGGAGGGGAUGAGGAUUCUCUCAAGUAAUUCUGACGGGGACGGGGAGGGGACGGGGACAUACGUAAAAUAUCGGGGAUAGGUACGGGGAGAUCAGUCCCCUCCCCUCCCCUCCCCUCCCCAUUGCCAUCCCUACAUGAGAUCCAGCGUUCUAUAUUUUUUUAAAAUAUUUUAUUACAUGCGACCGCACGGUAGAAAUUUCUGUUUUUCUGUUUUUUCUUUUUUAAAGCCAUCUGAGUCUUUGGAGUAAGCCAUUGACGUGAUGGUUUUAAACUGCAAUGUCUACAAUGACAUAGACUCUUGCCUUAUCCCAUCGUUAACAGGAAAGGCUCUUUCUUUUUCCUUCAUAAUUGAUAACAAUGCAUGUUAACAUCAAAGAAAAUUACAAUUAAUUGAAAAAAUAGUAAAAGAAUAUGUAAACACUAUAAAAUAUUAUAAUUAAUCGAAAAAAUAUGUUAAUACUAUAUAAUUUUAUGAUUAUUUCUAUUACUCUUAAUCCUUAUGAAUAAAUAUAAGGUUAAAUUCGAAUUUAAAUUCUCGUGUAAAUUGUCCAUCUUAAAACAAUUUCUUAUUUUUAAAAAUCUUAAUUUACUUUCAUUUUUAUUAAGAAAACAAAAAAAAUAAUAAUUCAUUAACCUACCUUUAUUUUUUCUUUAUCUUUUUAUUUUUUAAAUAAAAAUAAAAAUAUUUUGAGAUUUUUAAAAGUAAAAGACCAAUUUAAAUGUAGUCAAUUAAAAAAAAUUAAUCUAAAAUUUAUCCAUAAAUAUAUAUUUCGUUUUAUAAAUGCAUGGGUUCCAAAGUAUGACCGGAGAGAAAGUCACGGGCAUUGAUCUUCCUCCGGUUCCACGGAUCCUUGAAAAUAUUAUAUUGCCUAAUAUAUCCCCGAGCUAUUAUUAGUUGAAUGUUUAUAUUCAAAAAGAGUAUUUUAUUCUCUAUCUAACGAUGAGUUAUUAUUAAUAAUGAUAAUAAUGGGGCACUUUUUUUAUAUUAAAUUAUUUGGUAUUUAAAGACUCCAUUGAGCCCUACUAAUUCAAAUUCAAAUCAAAUAAGACUAUUAGAGCGACAAAACUUUUCGAAUAAAUAUUGAGUGAAGCCAUUGGCACCCUCUUAUUAAACUUUUAAAACCCAUAUUUCUACAAUUACAUUUAAGGAUAAAUAUAAAUCUACUAUAUUUUCUCUUUAUAAAGUACAAACAUACAAUUUUUCACUGUUUACAAUUUCUUGGCAUUCAUCAUCAAUUCCAUUCCAAAUAUCAAUGAAUUGUUUGAAUCUCAGGCAUCCAAAAAACUAAAACAAAGUGUUAUAGACCCAACAAUCUUUUGUUUGAAAAAUCUCAUGAUUAUCCAAUGGCUUAGCAUAAAGGAGUGGGACUAAAAGAAUUUAUAAAACGGCAAAAUUACAAGAGAAAAAGAAUUCAAGAGAUGGACGGGAAAUUACAUGAAUGACGAGACCAAAAGCAUAACAUGAGAUAGUGGCAUAAAUAUUUCUGAUAUUUAUUGUUGGGUAUUGCAAAGAAAAUCAAAUGUAGAAGAAGGGCAGUUUUGGAAUUAAAGUGGGUGCUAAUAAUAACGAUAAAUUUUAUAUCAUUGUUUAAUGCGGUGUACUUAUAAUAGGGGUUUUAAAAAGAUAUUAGAGGGGUGCCAAUAGCCUCACUCUAAAUAUUUAACGUAGAUGCAUUCUCAAGAUUUAAACCAAGGACUUUCAUUAAGUUAGAACAACUUUAUGUUAACUUAUCUACGCACUUGUUGGUAAAGAGACUUCAGUCAAAUAAAUGGGUGGGAAUUAGUUUAAUGUUAGAUAUUACUAUCAUUAUUAUUAAUACUAGAGAUGAGCCAAUCAAUUUUCACUAUUACAAUCGACUAUUGUUAAUGCCUAAAAUAUUGUUACCAUCGAUGUGUCAAUCUUCUAAUUUAACUAAUAUUAAAUAUAUCAUUUAAUUAAAUGCAAGGAAAGAUUAAUAAUUCCUUUUUCAUUAAUACAAGCAUCUUUAAUUAAUAAGAUUAUUUUUCUAAUUAUUCUUUUGUUAAGAAAAAAAAAAGGUUGGACGUGGAUGAAAAAUGUUUGUUCAUUAAACACUAAUUCUUGUUCCUUAUUAUUACUUUAAACCAUAUAACUAUCGGUGCAGAGCGCAAUCACGACUAUCUGAGCAAAGCCUAUGGCACUAUUAUGAUUGAUAAAGCAAGGGAUAGGUUAUUCAUCUUUCAAUAUUGAAUCAUCAACUAUUAAUAAAACACUUACGUGGUCUAAUAUGUCUCACACAUAAUUAAAUAUAAUUGAUAGUAGUAAUAAAAAUAGUUAUAAAUUAUGAUUCUACUUUACAUCGACUGAAAAUAAAUAUUAGGUUAAAUAUCAUGUUCUCCAUGUGUGGGUCUCACUUCGAUAUUAUAUAAAAAUCCACUAAUUUACUCAUAUUUAAAAGCUAACUCAAGUUUAAGGGUUGCUUCAAAUUUAUAUUAUUAGCCCAAUAAUUAUUAUCAUCAGUUGGAUAUUAUCCUCAAUAUUAACAUACAACUCUAUUGAUUACCAUAUUAAUUAGAUACAAAAUUUCAGAUCGAUUGUUCGGAAAAAUGCUUGGCACGUAUGUGCCGAUGUUAUUGAUUCUUUGACUCUAUACGGAGAAAUAACACUAUCCACUUUGUAAUUAAACUUUGUAUGCCAUAUAUAACGGUCAAAAUUUUUUAUUACCUGUCACAUUAUUUUUCACAGUACCUAAAUAAUCUUUUGUUAUAUUUAUAAAUUUAUACAUCAAAAUUAGAGUGUACACUGAAUGUGACAAACAAUCUAAUAAAACGAACAAAAAAAUUUGUAACUAGCGCACCGUGGCAGGCGGCUAUAAGGGGUAUUGGUGCCUUGUGCGAAAUUUUUUUAGGUCUUUUUUAAAAUUGAAAUAAGAUAAAAUUUAUAAAGUUAUAAAAAAAGCUAAAAAAAUAAAUCUUAAAUUCAUAUUUUUUAAAAGGUGAGACUACUUAAACUGUGAAAAAUAUUCUGGAUAAUUUUUUACUUUAAACACUCAUCUGUUAAAUUUUUAAAAUAAUUUUUUACUAACACACUUUGAAAAAUGACAAAAUAGCCCUAAAUCUCUUUCAUUAGUCGGACAAUUUUAUUCUCUCUACAACCCCAUCAAGGCAGGCAUUCACAAUCAAACUGGGGUUAUAUCUUCUUGUUCAACAAAAAACUCAUCAAUAAUCUAGAAUCAAAUCUAAGCCAUUAUGCAAGUCUUGCGUUGUAUCCAACGGUGAGUUUGAAAAAGACAAAAAAUGGGACACCAAACCCCAGAGGCAACGUAGCUGGACCCUUAUCAUGAACCAGACGCUGAAAAGAAAAUUGUUGGAAAUUUUGUUUCCAUAAAUAUCAACGAAAGUUGAACAAAAUUCAAAGACUGCUAAGAAUUCUUGUUUUUGAAUAUUCAGUAUACACCUUAAGUUAAACAAUAAUAAAAAAUAAAAAAUCUUGUCAGGGAAAAAUCAAGCCGCAGGAUUUCUUAAAAUCGAUUUUAAGAAGAUUACAAAUAAAGUGAAGUAACAAACCCGCUCUUCUUUAUCAGUAGAUAAAAAAUAAUAAUAAUAAUAAUAGUUAAUUUGUAUAUCUCACGUAGUCUUAUUGUUAUUGCUGUACGAUUAAUGAAUUGAAGUAUAAAAAUUAUGGAGAUGUAGAUAUAUAAAAUUCAAGUGUAAAAUAAUGAUCAAGAUGUAGAUAGAUAAAAUUGUAAUGGGUGUUAAAAGCCAUAUAAUUUGUUUGGUUUUACAAAAUUGUCCUUUAUAAUAAAUUAAAUGGUGGCUAUUUCAGGAAUACAAGAUUUGAUUAAAAUUUAAGUGUUCAAGAUAUUUUUUGAUGGACAAACAGUCACACUUUUUUUAAAUUAAAAAAAAAAUCAUAUCUUUCUACGGUUUGUUUGUAGACUUUUCAUACCUAGAUUUUCUUUGUAGACAUAAUAGUAAACGACGAACAAAUAAUACCAUAAUAUUUUAGGAAAUGAAAAUAAAAUAUAAAAACAUAAUAAUUUCUAAUUGACUGUAACUCCAUAUGGUAUUAUCAUGUUUUUAUCAUUAUAUUUUUCAAUUUACGGUAACUCCAUAUAGUAUUAACAUGUAUUUUAUUGUUACUGUGAAAAAUUUUCUGAAUUUUGAUAUUUUUGAGGACCCAAGCAUCAUGAUAAAUAAACUUGCACUGUUAAUCCAGUACACUUUAUCUUCGUGUAUAUAAAAGAGUAGCAAAUAUAAGCCUUGUCAUACAACUCAAUAUCUCACAAAGGUUAUCUCUGAGGAAUCUUGGUUUUAUUGACAACAUGAGACCACUCUUUGUUCUCUGCACACUUUCGGUGCUUCUCUUGGUAUGAUUUUUAAGUUGAAUGUUAUUAUUCAUUUAGAAGUUAAUUUCUGCAGAAAUAUUAGAACUGGCAAUUUCUAAUCUUUUUAUUAGUUUUUGCAUUAAUAUAGUGAUUGGUCUAAUUGCUAUCUUUGUUUUUCUUUUCGUAUUUCAGCUUGCAAGCACAAUUGAUGCAAGGAAAAACCUGGAGGAAUAUUGGAGAAUUGUCAUGAAAGGACAGCCUAUGCCUGAAUCAGUCCAAGACCUACUUGCCGUGGAUCGUGCCGCUUCUACCACCGAUGAGAAUGCUGAUCAAAAGUCAAAUCCUUUAAUUGUAUCCUAUAAUGUUCAGCCGUCCGAGGUGGAAUCCUUGGCCAAGAAUUUUAACCCGAGGCCGAAUAUUUUUUUCUACGGUUUCCACAACAGUCAUAACGACCAGCCAUCCGAGGUGGAAUCCUUGGCCAAGAAUUUUAACCCGAGGCCGAAUAUUUUUUUCUACGGUUUCCACAACAGUCAUAACGACCAGCCAUCCGAGGUGAAAUCCUUUGAUAAAGACGUAUUGAAACCUGAUAAUAAAGUUGACGCUAAUGCUUAAAUGAAAAUCAUGUUUUCAUCAACGGAGAGAAUUAGCCCCUAAUGAUGUUAAGCAACUGGUCUACUCUCGUCUGUCGUCAUAAUAAGCGUUUGUAUUAGGUUUUUCAAUUAAAUAAGUGGCCGGCGGCCUAGUGCUCUGGCUAUGUUAUUGUGUGUGCGGGUCGUUACUUUUGCUGUACAUGGUAAUGCGAAAGAGGUAUGCAAAUAAGUUGAUGCAGUUGAAGGAUGUGAUCAGUGUAAAAUAUUAUUGGAUAAAAGCGUAUGUUUAAGUUCUUCUUCUCUUUAUUUAUUUUUGUAAAUGGGCCCAAUUGAAUUUUCUUACUGAUGAAUGACAUACAUAACCCUUAUCAGCGCA
rnacentral:lncRNA from 1 species